CUUAAGGUUAGUUUAGCGUUGGUGUCAGACGUAGUUAGUCCCACGUUAACUAAAAAUGACCUAAAUGAAAGAUAUAUAAGAGGGUGAUUCGUCGUUGUUGCUACUGGACCGACUUGCAUUAAUAGCUUAUAAUAUAAAUUUCCUUUUAUUGUAUUAGGUAUUGAUGGGAUUAAGCUUAAAGAUGGUCGUCUAUUGAUUGCAUAUAAUACAAUUUCAAGGGGUGUGCUUAAACUUGCUCUCUCUGAGGAUGAUGGUGAUUCAUGGCACCAGGCACUUACAUUAGAGGAUACUGUGGGAAUGGAAUUUUCAUAUCCUGCUGUUAUCCAAGCUAGUGAUGGGAGAGUCCAUGUCACCUAUACAUAUAAUAGAACUCAAAUUAAGGUAUAUAUAUUAUGCAUAUGGCAGUUAUACUUUCUUCUUUUGAUGGCAUUAGCAUCAUUCUGUAAAGAUGAUGGCAUGCAUUUUUUUAUAUAAUUGAUUUGACUAACUUUUUUCCUUGUUUUUAUUUGGACAGCACGUUGUUGUUAGGCCAAGGUGAUGCAGACCAACUUGUUUUUUCAGACAGAGAAGCAUAGAAAACUAUACAAUUUAUGCAUGCAAUUCAUAUGGCCUUUUUUUGUGAAUGAAAAGGGGGCAAGCCCCGACAAAAAGAAAAACGAAAAACUAGAAGCCUAUAGGAAAGGUUACAAAACUACGAUCAGCCAACAAGGCUUGCGACACAAUGCUAGGAACAAUUCCAGACGACCUCAAAUCAAAUUUUGCAAAAGCAUCUGCAACUUGGUUAGCCUUGCGAAAAAUAUGUUGCACCUUAUAACUCGACAAAUCUCAAACGCAAUCGGUGAUUUUGAGAAACCAAGAAGCAAUGACGACUUCUUCCACACCCCUUCAAAAUGAGCGAAAGAGCAGCUUGAGAAUCUGAUCCAACCACUAUCUUUCUAAAUUUAUACUCCAGAGCGCUUAAAGGCAAAAUGUAUAGCUCAAAGUUCAGCCACUGAUAGAACAAGCACCAAAAUUAGAUGACAAACCACACGAGUAAUUUUCGUCUUGAUCAUGGACAACCCCCACCACACGUUGCACGACCUCCAAAAUCGGUAACAGCGCCAUCUCCAUUAAAUUUAAGCCAACAUUCUUACAGAACCAACCACACACUGCUACUUAGACUCUCCACAUAAUUAUGAUGCAAAUUUAACUUCAAAUUUUGAUCAAUUUUUUUAAAAGGGGGUCAAGAAUGUUCUCCAUUCUUCCCCUUCGUAACUCAUAUCCAGUACUGUCAUUUGAUUGUAGAUAAUUUGUCUUACCAAUUAAGUUGCGCUUUAAAUUUAAACGAGAAUAGAAUGGUUAAAGAGAAGUUUGUCUAAAAGAAGUUCAACGAAAUAUAGUUAUACAUAAGUUAACUUUUGAGUUAUCAUGGAUAUAGAUGAACUGAUUUCUAGCUUGGCAACUUAUAAUUGUUCGCUACGAGUUAAAAAAAUAUUAUAACAACCGAACUAAUUGGUUUGUUGUUCAUUAUAUAUAUGUUGUAGGAGUAUAACUUAUUAUGCUAUAUACAACAUUGAUGGUGACAAUUUAUUAUGAUCUUAGAAAAUAUUCAUUUAUAUGGAUAGGAAAUUUUAAUUUUUGAAGUAUCACCCAUGAGUCAAGUAUUAUUUCUUGCAUAUGCAUGCAUAGUUAGAUUAAUUUCAGACUAGUAAUGAUAUUCUUAAAGAAAAUAAAAGCUGGUGGCCAUAUCCUGUCAGGUGAUGCAGAAACAAAUAAACAUUUCAAAUCAGUGGCAUUAUAUUGUAGUUAAAAGUUAAAAGUUAAAAUUAAAAUUCGUUGAAUGUGAACGCAACAUGUAGUGAUCAAUCAUCCAUCUGCCAAUCACAGCCGUGACAUGACAUUGAUAUAGUACGCGCAAACAACAGUUACGAGUGGAUUUUGAUUUAGGUCAACACUUCCACAUAACAGUGCAUUUUUUAGGGCUCAAAUCAAUUUUGCUUUCUUAUCUAUGUCGUUUUCUUUCAUUUUUUCACAUUUACACCAGCAGCAACCCUCAUCACGUUUUUGCAUUAACUAAAACCUACUUUUCUUUCUCUUUUUAUCACCUAGUUAGAUUAGUUAGGAUUUAGUUUAUCUAAUUUUUUUUUUUUUUUUUUUAAAGUUGAUCAAAUUGACUAUAUAAUUUUUAAUGUACAGCUACUUAAUGUAAUAAUUCUCUCGUAAUCAAUAUUAUUGUUUCCAUUUCAUUUUUCGAAUCAAGAAUUUAAUACUUUCACUCCAAUUUCUACUUUACUUAACAUGGAAUGGAAAAGUGAUUCAAGGUGUGUUUGGUUAUGCCAUAACAUAAUUCUAUUUUUAAUGAAUUGAUUUUGUAAAAUCGUCUAUGGAUAAAAGUGAAUCGAAAGCAAAAUAAUUUAUGUUUAGAUAUUAUUUAUGUAAAAAUGGAUUUAACAAUAAAUUUAAAGUCUAAAUCAUUAAAAAAAAUUAGUCUAAAAUCAAUUGUAGAAGUCAAAAACCUACAAAUUCUAGCUUCUACUAUAAUCAAUUCUACAAGAAAACAAUUAAUUUUCACUUGAAUAAUUCAAACAUAAAAAAGUCAAUUAUACGACCUCUAAAAUUAAUUUUGAGUCCUCCAACAUACUACACAGAAAAACAAAAGGAGCAACAACAUAAAUAGAAAAUAUUGGCUUUAUUAUUUGAGAAAUGAUAUUUUGACAACCAACAACUUAUGUGACAACUUUAUCUCUUAUACUCACAUUAUUUUUUUACUUUCUCUCUCUAUUGUUUUAGUUUCCGUGUCACUAUCUACUUUCCUUUGUAAAUUAGUGGUUGUCACAAAAGUUGUCAUUCAAUUAGUUGUUCAAAUAACACAGCUCUUAUUAUUUAUAUCAAAGAAAAAAAAGUCAAGGGCAUGCUCAUGUAAUGGAAAAGAUCCUUACUCUUUGUUAAGACAACUUAGUUCGUGACUACAAAGACAUUGAUAUGUAGGGAGUACAAAUAUAAAUUCUGUAAAUUUCAAGUACUAUUUAGUAUGUGGCAAAAAUAAAAAUUUGAAGCAAUUAUAAAAGAGUGAACAUUAAAAGUUUUUUUUUUUUUUUGAGGGGUUUAAAAGAAUUAAAUAACCUCAAUAUUUAUAGUGAUAUCAAAUUGAAAAAUUCACAAAAUUUGACCUUGAAUUUGUACCGCGCUAUCAAAAAGAUCUCUAACUCUAUUAAACUCUCAAAUUAGUCUACAUAUUUAAUCACUUACUAGUAUCAAUUUAGUAUCAUAUUUUAACUAGUUACUGUCAAUUUGAUUUUUAAGCUUAUUCACUUACUAUCACUUUAGUCCCUAGCAAAAAACCUUUUUAAAAUAUUCAUAAAGUCAAUGACCUAUUUGAGAGUGAACUACAAAAUCAAAGAUUAAUUUGAUAGUUUACUCAAUAUCAAAUUCAUUAAAUUACUUCUCAUGAAAACAUUGAAUUAAGUUGCUUUCAUUUUAAUUAUAAAGAUAUUGAUAGAUAAACAAGUUUAAAUAUUUUAUUUGCUUUUAAAUUCUUAAAUAAAUUAAAGCAAAAAACUUGUGAAUGCAAAUAUUUGCAAAUGAAAAGUAUAUAUAAUUUGCAAAUGAAAAGUGUUGUUUUUGGAUUUUAAAAUUACGACAGAGCUUUGAAACUAUUACCGGGGUGAGUCACGACCAGGUCGCUUUCUUUAAGACGUUUCGCGGCACUACCUAAAUUGUGCAAGGUAGACUAGCAACCGCGCCGUCUCCAGGAUAAAACAGCCCAGAUUCUUUCUGUACGAUUAAAGGCUGCACUGCUAGAAAUCGCUCGAGAAUAACACCUCAAUAUGGUUUCGAAAAACCACUCUAAUAUGGCACGUAGACCACUCAAAAAACCAAAGAAGGAGGAAGAAAAGAACAGUUCGUCAACACAAACCGAGGGAGAUGAGAAGGGGAGAAAACCAGAGAAGAGGAUUCGAUUCUCGGUUUUGGAGUGAAGAAUGCUAAUCCCGAGCUCUCUAUUUAUAGAGGGGAUUUGACCUCGUUUUAUCCGCCGACCCGGUUCGCGACCCGCCAACGUUAGCCCACGACCCGUAACGGUAACCCACGACGCGGAAACGUGGAGCUGAAGCAUGCGCGUGUGGAAAACGUGUGAGACUUGGUCUCUGCGUGGCGGGAAUCUCGGAGCAAAAAAAUAAAAAAUAAUUUUUCAUUUUUCUGAGCACCAAAAAAUAUAUUUCUUUAUAGACAAGCCCAAGCCGGUCGGACGGUGGCGUUGCGCGCGCGUGUGUCUUAUAUAUAAUUUUUUGCAAGCGUUCACUCCGUUCACAAAAGUGUGUACCCCAAAGGCACACCCUUGGAAGUGAUAUCCCACAUAUAUAAACACUACUAGAGUGUGUGAUCUACCCAAUGUAGGACAUAAAAUUUUCAAUUCACACUUUACACUAGUUUCUCCAUUCUUGUGUUUACAUUCCAAAGGCUCCACAAACCAACUAGUAUACUCCAAGUUUUUUCCAAUAUACACUAAUGUUCCAACAAAAAGUAUAUAUAAUUUGCAAAUGAAAAGUAUAUAUAAGUAAGUAUAAGUAACAUCACAAAACCAGAAAGAAAGUUUAGACAAGUACAUUAUAUUAAAUGUGAGGACGUGUAGAAAUAUCGUGAAUCAAAACAUAAAAUUAGUGAUAUAGGUACCAACAAUGACAUACUAUUUUUUUUUUAUAAUCUUCUGAUUUUUAAACAAAAGUAUCAUAUAAUUUUUUUUAGGGGAUAUAUAAUUUACUUGAUCUUUAUUUAUUUAUUUAAUAAAUAGUAUAAAAUUUAAGUUUACAAAUACUCUUCUAGACAUAAGUUAGAUUAAAAUAUACUAUAACAUUGGAUGCUCAUUGCGACCACUUAACUAAUUUAAUUCCAAUCAUCUGCGUUGAGAGACAAAGGCAUCAAAUUGUAUAUAUACCUUCAGCCUUAAGGACAAAGCAUAAUGAUGAAGAGGAAAUUUCAAAGAAGAAACCAAAGAAUGUCAGACUUGAAAGUGAGAUGAAUUAAUCACCAAAACGCUGACGCCAUAGGGUUAAUUACCAUAAAAAAAAACCGUGUUAAUUAUCAAACUAUAAAAGUACAAAAUAUAUCGACAGCUGAGCUUGGUAUACUAUGCUUAGUUUAGAAAAUUUAUGAUUUAACUUUAAGUACAAAAUAUAUACAAUAAUAAUAGUAAUAAAAAAAAAAAAGUUAUGACAUAUAUUUACUUAAGUAUGACAGGCUAAUAAAUCUAAAAGACUUUUUUGGUGGCGGAAAGUCUAGAUUUUUAGAUUUUUUAGUUAAAUAUACUUUUAAAGAAAAAUCAUUGCUCUAUUUUAUUUAUCUGAUCUUACAUGAGCAUGACAUAAGCUAAGUGCAUAUUAACCCUACUGGUUGACUUGCCCUAAUUAUUUCAAAAAACGAAUUCAAAGACCUUGAAUAUCUAUCCUCCUUUUUCCGUGUUGAAAAUAUUUUGAUGACUUAACUAUAUAGUGCACCACAAUGAAUCAAUUCAAUCCAAACCACAUAUUAAUCUUCAAGUCGAAUGAAUUGUGAUCCUUAUAGUAUUUUGAAUAGCUUGAACCAUAGUAUGGUUGGGGUUUGUCCAUGAGGUUUAGUUUAACCUAGCAUCCUUGAUUAACAAUGUUUCAAAUCUCACGUAAAAAUAUCAGUGUCACUUUAAUUAAUUCUAAUAAUAGUUUCCUUUAUUCCAAUCGUCUUUCAAAAAGAAAGAAUAGUAUGGUUUAACCAUUUAGUGAUUCUCUUUUAAAAGGGUUUGACUUAAUAUAAAUAAAUGAAACAAUGAAAAUUGUAAACUUAUACAAUAGGAGUGCUACUAGUUUUACUAUAUCAAUCUAUCAUUUGACUGAACUCAGUGAUGUCGUUAUCGUCUAUCCCAGGGAUCCCUGCUAUUAAAUAUACACCUAAACCCAUAGAUGUAUUCAACAAUGGUGAUAGCAAAGGACAGAGAUUAUCCAAUGCAAUUAUGAAUUUGGUUGGAAGUAGUUUAAUUCUCAAUAUAUAUUCCAUGCAUUUUUAAUGUGUAGGUCCUAAUAAUUAAAAUGAAUGAGAAUAGCAAUGAAUAUUGCUAGCUUCCUGAGCAGUACAUUUUACUAAAAAUGGCCUAUAUAUGUUUUUACCUGUCAUCUAGGUCACUAACUUCUAAAAUACUCCUAGUACUCUAAAUAUAAGCCUUAUUUGAAAAACUAUUUUAUCUAUAAAUGUUAGUGUACUUUAAAUUACUAGAUAUAUAAUUUAUUUUUGUACAAAAAAAUAGUUUUUGAGUGACUUUUAAAAAAUCUAAAAUAUUCGGGCCAAAAGUUGGGGGUGCAAAAAGUGAUUCUCCUAUGAUACUUCUUUUGAGUCGCUUAGCAUGCUUUUAGCCGAUGCAAUUAAUGAACGAACCUUCAAAAAAAAAAAAUAACCCUCUUUUUUUUAGGAAAAUAAUUACGCUCUCUUGAUUAUCCACUACAAAUAUUAUUAUUAGAUAGUUUAAAAGUUCACCGAUAUGUACCAUAAAUCCUAACUUAACUCAUAAAAUAUCAAAAUUGUUAGAUUUGAUGUUUUUAUUGUGGUUCGAACUUCGGCACCUCCACUUUUUGCGUGUGAAUUAUGAUAAUGAUUUUGUCAUUUUCUCUAUGUAACAAAAAAAAAAAUAUGUGAAAAAUGAUUUCUAUAUUCCCAACAUUUUUGAAAUUCAAUCAACUUUUAUAGCGAGUAUCUCCAGUCCAUUGACACUGGCAAUUAGCAAAAGCGAGUAUUAUGGAUCUUUAUUUAUUUAUUAUAUUUGUCUUUCAGAUAAAGUUAAUUAUUUUUUUAUUUAUUAUAAGGAGGUACACUAUGGAAUAUUUGAUUUAAAAAAUAAUAAUGGAAGUGCAUUAGUGCAAUCAUUGGGAAUGCAUAGUCAAUUGUUUAAUUAAAAUUAAAAUGAAAGAGCAAAAUUUGAAUAGUAGUAGAAAAUUAGACUCCUAAUUAAAAACAAUACUUUAUUUAAAAAUAAUCUAAACAACCCUAAAAAAGAAAACCUCAUUUGUAUAUUAGGUGGUCUAAUUUGACCAAUGACCAUAUACGUUAGUUAUAUAACAUAUUUUGAUCAUAUUUUUCUAAUACAAUAUAAAAAAAAAAUGUUUUUGUAUCAAUUGUAAGAUUUGUUUCAAUAAAUAUUUUUCAAAAUCAAUUUUUCAUAAUUUCUACUAACAGAUAAUUAAAUAUAUUAAAAGUCAAAAUUAUACGAUAAAAUGUGUGAAAUAAUCAAAUAGGAUACAAUCAAUUUAACUAUUGAUAGCGCUAUCGUAGUUAGAAAAUUGCUCUUUUCCCAACAAAAAAAAAAACUCACUUUCAUAUAAACUAACAAAGAUACCUCCACGUGACUUAAGUGAUGCUGAUGUUAAACAAAACGUGACUUAAGUCACAUUCGCUACAUUGACACGUCCUACAUGAGUUAACUCUCGUAUGUUAUAACCCAACGUGAGUUAACUCAUGUAGGUUAUAACCCCGGCGUGAGUUAAUUCAUGUACGUUAUAACUCAGCGUGAGUUAACAUUUGUAGGUUAUACUUCAGCUUAUCGAACGUGAGUUAACUCACGUGGAGAGUAUUUUGGUCAGUUUGUUUGAGAGUGAACGUUUUUUUUUUUUGGGAGAAGAGUAAUUUUCUUGUAGUACGGUCAAAUUUAUUAGGGCCUUUGGUAUUGAGUUGUGUUAUUUGAACAUCCAUAUAUGUGACAACUUUUGUGACAACCAAAAUUUUACAAAGGAAAUGAGGUAUUGACACAAAAACUAAAGCAAUAGAGAGAAAGUAAAAAGAUAAUGUGAGUAUGAAAAAAAAAGUUGUCACAAAAGUUGUAAAAAAUGGUUGUUCAUAUUACUAUCUCUCUGAAAGAACUGGUGUGGGUCCCUUGAAGGAAUGGGUGUCUAAAAGAUUUUUGUCACAACUUUAAUGAGCACAUUUUUAAAAACAUGGCUUUUGAAGCUUACAAGAAUCUUAAGUUAUUUACUACAACUUGAAUUGAAAGGAUUAGGUGGUAUGGUUAAAGGAUAUUACGUAUGCAAAGCAUGCUCCCUUUUCAAUGUAUAACCGGGUGACUCAUUUUCACGUCAGAGAAGAGCUUUUGUUGAUUUGUGCUAGAAAGAUAGCUAAAAGCUUGUGUGUAAAGUAUUGAUUAGUAAAGUAAAGUGUUUGAGCAUGAACAAAAUUUCAUCACCAUUAGUUAGUGGAGAAAAAGUAACUUCUCAUCUGGCUUCAUCUAAGUGGGAUUUUCUAUAGUUAGUAACACUUUAAGGAUUCCAAAGUAAUCAAAAAGUUUAAAGUAAAGAUCAAGAUGCCUUGUGUUUAUUCAAACAAAAGCUUUUUGAGGUGGGAAUUUGGCAUCUUCUCCGUAUCCCUUAUAUGAUGAAAAUUUAACAAAUGUAGAAAAAUUAAGUGGACUAUAUAUAAUAAUAGGUAUUAUAUGGGGCGGUGCUCCUCUCAUUAUAAGGAGCUACCCAGCCUUAAUCUAUAAUCUAUGAUUACCUGUGGAACGAUGAGUCAUAAUUAAUAUAUACUACAAAGCAAUUCUGUUGAAUAAUAGAUACACCCACAAUUGAUAAAUAAUAAUUUGUUUUUCACUUUUGAGAUUUUUUUAUUUUAAACUCACCUUGAGUAUAUCAUGUGAAGUAUUCUAUAUCAUAAUAUCAAGCAUCUCAUCUUCUUUGCAUCGUGUAGGAUCAAGACUUGAUAAAGAAUUAAGAGGUGGGAAUCGAAGUAAUACAUUCAAUGAAGAACAAUAGUGAAGUUUUGCGAAAGAAAUGAUGUAUUUGCAAACACUUUGAUGCUCAAGUUAGUAUUUGAUUAAAUAUAAUGCAAUAUUAUUGAAAUAGAAUGUGCAAAUUUCUUCUGGUGAAGGGGUCCUUUUAUAAAUAAGUUUUCAUGUGAAUUAGGGUAAAUUUGGUUGAAGUCAUUGAGCGACUCUCAACGUGAUUUCACGAAUCUCUAUGUUGUCAAUCAUACGAUCAUUGACUUUAAGAAAGGUACAUUAUAAUGGACUGACGACCCAACACCUUAGCGAAAGAUAAAAUCUUUUAUGUGUUGUGCAUCGACCCAAUUUGGAACAAUAUCCAUCUUAAAACAAAUUUGGAUUUUGUAAAUAAAUAAGGAAAAUGCUAACAAAUGCACGUUGAAUUCUAUAUAAGGAAAAAAUAUAUAGUUGUAAGGCCACAAGCUAAGAAAUUAAAAAAUAAAAAAUUUAUAUUGAAAACAACAAUUUUGACAUUUUUAAAAGUUUGAAUACAUGACUUUUGAGAGAGAAUUAAUAUAUGUGGUUAAACCAACCGUUAGUGCUAAAACUAUUUUAUAUAGAAAAAUGAAAAUUAAUUAAGGUAUCAAAAGAGGGCUACAAGUUUGUAAAAAAAAAAAAAGGCUACAAGAUUUAUAUACACAAUUUCUGUAAAAAUAAAAUAAAAUUGUCAAUCCAUCAUAAUUGUUACAUAACUUUAACGCAUUUGAUUUUAAUGAUAAUAUUUUAAAGACAUUUAUUAGCAUUUUUUUGAAGAUAGUAUUCAAAUUUUCUUUCAUGCCAGUAGUUUCUUUUGAAAAGGAAAUGAUGGUACAAUUCUUCUAUUGUGAAAAGGGGGAACCAACGGUCCACUUUUGCUUGAUUGGUGCUCUUGUGCCGACUCAUAUCGUCUUCUCUUCAAAAAGCAAAACCACUUUCUUUUAUUCUAAUCUAAACUUGAAAAAGGAGAGGAAAAAAGGGAGGUACAAAAGUCUACUUGCUUUGAGUGCAAGAAGCUACCAAAAAACUUUUCAAGAGGAGAUGGCUCAAAUUUCUUCUCAGUUGUGAAUGAUUUGCUUUUUUUCAUUGUUUGCUUAAAGUUUGACCUUGGUGACAUGAUUAUAGUCUACUUUUUACAUAUCUCAAUAACAAUAAUAAUAAAAGACCUGCUAAAAGGUGGGGCUUGCCUUGCAAUAUUGAAAAGUGUUAUGGGACCUUUUGCCUCAUUAUAUUCCAUCAAUUACCCUUUGUGGGAGACCUUGUAUCUGUCACCUAUUGAUCAUAUAGAAUCAUUAACUUAUGGAAAAUGUGUUUAUCAUCUUCAUUCCAUAAUUAAUUUCAUAAUGUAAACCAAUAUUAAAAAUCUCUUAAAGAACGUACGUCUGAAUGAAAUGACAUGUAUUCUAACGAUUAAUAUGGAGUUCAAAUUUAGUUAUCAUCAUUAAUGCUUUAGAAAUAGAGUUUUGUUGGUUUUGUGUGCUAAUAUUUGAUUCGAAUUAUUAGUCUAUGCAAAUAUAGCAUUCACGUAGAGCUACGGCUAGAUAGUGGAUUAUAUUGUUAAGAGCAGUGCUAUAUCCAACGAAGGAUGUUUUCCCGAAUAUACAGCGAAACACCAAUGCACCAAUGAGAAAGGAGGCCUAACGGAAUUCAUGAGGGGUCAUUAUAUAAAUAUGAAAGUCAACAAAAAUAGUUUGGUGGAUAACACACAUCGGGAUAAGUCGUGAAAUUUAAAUUCGCGAUAACUAACAUUAUUGUAUUGUUAAAGCACACCAUGCAUGAAGGAAAUGAGAUCACUAUUCACUAAUUGUUUUGCUAAGAAGGGUGCUUAUAAUUUUAAAAAUAUGUGUAGUAGUAUUAUCUUAUCUUAUUGUUUAUGAUAAUUAAGAGACGAAUGUAGUAUUUAGAUGGAUCCUUGAAAUAGAAUCAAAGGAUGGUGUUGCUAUCUUUACUUAGAUGAAUGUAACGGGAGUCUUGGUAUCAUCAUAUAGGUUCUCUAUUACCCGUGUGGAAGGUAAUGGAUUUGAAAAGGCAUGGGAGUGGGAGAUACUUUUCUCUUAUGAAGGAACCAACUACUAUUAAGCAACAACAACACCUUUUGACAAUCAUACCAACGAGGUAAACACUAAUUUGGAGAGAGAAAUAAGGAUGGAAACAUUGAAAUUGAAUGCGUGGGAGAGGGAACAAGUAAAUUGCUGCUGGUGAAGAAAAAAGAUAGAAAAGUGUCGUGUUAGGCUGAUGAAGUCUUUUCGGAUGGAGAAAUAAUUACGGCAACAUGCUUAAGAUGUACUAGUACAUAAAUACUAGAGACAAAACAACCAACAUAUUUAAAGAGGGUAAAAAGAGAAAGGUAAAUAAAUUCAUGAUCCUUAUAAAAUAUUUUGUUGUUUAUCAAAUAUUUUUCGAUGAUGCUACCUCAACUCUCCGUAAUAACAUUGAAGAAAUAUAUCAUAUCAAUUAUCUUAUAAAAUAAAAUAGAAAUUCAAUUCAGAUGGUUUGAACAUACAUACAAAAUAUAUGUAGAUUAUAUCAUUGGAGACAGACAUGUGAAGUUUUCGAUGAUGUUACCGCAACUCUUUCUUUAAUAACAUUGAAGAGAGAUAUCGUACAGCAUAGCUUAUAAAAUAAAAUAAAAACUCAAUUUAGAUGGUUUAGAAAGUAAAGUAAAUAAAGAUAGUUUUUUAUUUUUUGAAAGAUAAAUAAAUAAAGAUAGUUAUAUCAUUGGAUGCACACAUAUGAAGAAAUGAAAGAAUUUCUGCAAAAAAACUAUUAAAAAGAUAUAGAGAUUAAUAAGUAUUAUAGAUAAUUACUUCAUUUGAAUAUGCAACGGACGCCACUCAAUAAAAUACAAUUUAAUUGUUCUUGUAAAAUUAUUCGCCUAUAGCCCUUGAUGAUUUUGGUAAAAUUUCUAUCUACAGGUUUUACUAGUCUUUGAAAUAAUUAAAUUAAAGAAUAUUUUGUCACAAAAGCUAAAUUAAUAGGGACUAAACAAAAUUAAUAUUUUUUGAAUCAAUGGAUCAAUAAAAAUAUUGAGUAAAUGGGCAAUUACCCCAUAAAAUUGUAAAUUUCGUCAAUUACCCAUCUGAAAUUGCACAACGUUAAUCAAUUUACAUCAUUCGUCAAAUUUUUCUGUUAGUGAACAAGACAUUUUGCAAAUACCCCUAAAAUUUUGCACUUAUGUGCAAACAAUUAACCUUAAAAAUUUAUAUAUAUAUAUUUUUUAAAGGCAAACAAUUAUCCUUAUUUUUUCUUAACCAUGUUGUAUUUUUAUGGAAGAAUACACUAUUAUAAAUAAUACAUGUAGGACACUUGUGAUUAGAUCUAAAUAAGAAGUUAUGAACUAACUUAAACAAUAGUAAACUAAAAUAAAUAUAAGUAUAAUACAUUGAAUAUUAACUUAGAAUACACUUCUUCAAAAUGCAUGAAUAUUGUAAUUCUAGUUUUAUUAUAUAAAAUGGAGGUUAAAAAAGUUUUACUAUCACAAAAUGAUCGUACAAAGAAGUUUUUCCUAGAGUAAGAUGAUUUCACAUAUUUGCAUCAACAUAUAAAAAAAAGUUGAAAAAGGAAUAUGAAAUUUUAAAUUGUUGUUGCAGUAGUGAUUGCCAUUACGAUGCAAACCUCGAUAUUAUCGAGAAAUACGGUUAAAUGUUGCCACAAUUAUGGUUGUGAUGUCGUUGUGGAUACAUCUAAAACUUUUAUAUUGCGGUUGCGGAAAUAAUCACCAAGAAUAUUCAAACGUGAUCAACAAAAAUAAAGGAGAAUUGCAAGAAAAGAUGAUUUCUUGGGAAUAUGAAAUGUGAUCCAAGCAUAGAUUAGGACAAAUUGAGUGAGAAAAAAAAUGAAAAGAUAUAAACAUUUGAUACCAUGCUUCACCCCUUUUUUUUUUACCCAGCCACAAUAGAAAAAAUGAAAUAAUAUAAAUUUUUAAAUUCGGAGGCAUUUUGUACAUAAGUGCAAAACUUUAGAUGAACGUCAUGUUCAUUAACAGAAAAAUUUGACGGUAAAUUGAUUAAAGUUGUGGCAAUUUCAGGGAGUAAUUGAAGUUUUGUUAAUUUAUAAUUGAUGAAACUUACAAUUUCAGGGAGAUAAUUAUUUAUUUACUCUAAAAAAAAAAAAAAAUUUGUAGACACCAAAAUUAAUAAAAUAGAACCUUAUCGUAAAAAUGUUUUUGGGCCAGAGUAUAGAGUCCCUUCUUACCCUCUAAACUUUGCACUCAUCUUCCCGUUUUAACCCCGUAAACUUUGCUAUCAAAAUCAAUCGAUUAAGUUGCCCAAAAUUGGAUAAUAUGGACAAAACAUUGUUUUUCAUUUUCAAUACGUAAUGGACAAAAUUUUGUUGGUACAGUCUCUCCAUUAUUGUCCAUUCACAUUGUUUUGUAUAGAUUCCCUUCCAUCUGUUCCAUUCAGUUGUUAAAUUCAUUCUUCUCUCAUAAUUCAAUUUUUUUCUUUUUCAUAUAAAAAUACACUGCCUUUCUUUUUUUAUUGUUAGUUUUUUUUUUUUUUUAAAGAAAAACAUACUCCUUUAUGUCGUGUUUAAAUUUUAAUGUAGUGGAGUAUAUAUUAUAAUUUUAUUUGUUGUUGUUAAUUAUACUUUUACAAUGAGUGGAAUGGACCAAUAAAAGGUAUAGGUGUUGGAAUUAAUUAUAUACAAUCAUGUUCAAUGCACAAAUUAAAACAUUAAUCACAUUUUAAUAAAAUAAACUUACAUGCAUGCAAUUCUCGGAAGUUUAACUUAAUUGAUAAGGAUAUUGCAUAAUAUAUGUUGCAGAAAUUAAAAUUUGAAUUUCAAACACAUUCAUAUUAGAAGGUGAAUUUUAAAUAUCUAAGCUACUUGACAAAAAACAAAAAUAACAUGCAUAUAAAUUAAAAUCUAUGUUGCAUACGUCACAUUGAUCAUCUAGGGUAUUAAAAAUACCCAAAUCCAUUUUUUAAUAUAUCUCAACUGUGAAUAGACUUUUUCAUAUUUGUACAAAUCGAUCAAUUUCAUCCCGGUAUUAAUCGAAAUAGCUAGAAUGUCCUUGAACUUUAUAAUGUUGAAUCAAUUUAUUUACGUUAAACUCUAACAUGGAGUUCCAAGUCAGCUUCCUAUGUACAUGGAUGAAUUUAAUCGAAAAUUUUGGAUUUUUUUAGACUUUUUUUAAAAGGAAAGUCGUUACAAAUUGUUACACCGACAAAUUGAUCCUUAAAUUAUUCAUUAAAAAACAAGUUGGUCCCUAAAUUAUGUCACCCACUAUCAAAUAGAUCCCAUAAUUAUUUAUUACAUUUUGCAUGUUCAUCCAUGUUGAACAUAGUCUCUAAAAUUUUCAUACAAAAGUGUUAAAAAUCACUUCAAAAACUCUUUGAUUUCUGCAUUCACAAGCGUUAUUACAAAAAUAUGGUUGUUUCCAUCUUGUCGCACAGAAAGAAGUUGUCCACCAACAUAUUCCUUCAAGAAACACCCAUCUAACUCAAUCAAAGGCCUAAAACCCGUCUUAAACCUAUUUUGCAUGCAUCCAAGCAUGAAUAAAAGAAUUUGAAUUGUCAUACAUUUGUGCACAUCCUUGAAAAGAGAGAGUGAAAUAUUCAAAGUAAAAUUAUCUUACUCCUAAAGGGAAUUGCAGUGAGAACUAUCUUAUUUCUUGAUUUAUUCUUUAUAUUACAUAACUAAUAUUGAUUUUUGUCAUGCCUUAAACAUUGAUCCUAAUGAUAUUUGAAUAGUAUUUGUCCUCUUACUCUCCAUUCAUUGAUGAUGGUUACAAAUUGUCUGUUUAUCCUCGCUAAAUUGACCAAAUUGUCAUUUUAAAGAGGUUUUGAUUCUAUUAAACUAUCAAAUUGAUCCCUAUAUUUAAUCAUUCACUAUCAUCAAAGUCACUUUAUUUUAACAACUUAUACUUUCAAUUUAAUCCCUUAGAGACAUGUUUUAAGAGUCUUCUACAACGUCAUUAAUUAAUUUGAUGACCCUUACUAGUUCUCAACAUGCCAUGCCAUGAUUGUGUUACAUUGUACUAUACCAUCCUCAUAUGGAAGCUAGUACCCUUCAUUAGAUCAUUAGAAUAGACAUGCCCAUGGAAACUGUUUGUUAUAGUUAUAGAUAACACCAAAAUUAAUGUAGGCUAUAGUUCUUUGCGACCGACUUAAUCUAUUCACACUUUUAAUUAGACAACGAAACACAACGUAAUUGAGAAGGUGCUUCACUUAUGCACAAAAAGACGUGAAUAGAGUCAUUAAAGUCGAAGUGAAGAACACCGCUAAUCUUUUUCUAAGAAAAAAAAUUAACACCUCAAAAUGUGGGUUAAACUUUGAUAUAUUUUUUGAGUGUGUUAAAUUAUAUGAAAAAAGUAAUAAAUGUCAAAUGAUACUUCAUGUCUUGUCAAAAAAAAGAAAGUUAUACUUCAUGUGACCUUUUUUUUUUUUUAAGGGAAUACUUCAUGUGACCUAGUCACCUAUUCUCAUGUGCAUUUUAUCGCAAACCCCCCCUCAAAUAUCAUAACACCACUUGUCUUGCAAGCGUAGGAUAGAACUAUUCUUUUAGCUAAACUUUUUAUGUUGUAAAAUCUUGAUAAAAUUAUAUAAUUCGUCGUUUGGUUUAAUUUCAUGUAACAUUUUUGUUCUUUAUUUAUUUAUGAAGAAACCAAACUGAAAUUAUAUAAUCAAAUCAAAGAGCGGUUCCCAAGGACAAUGUGUGUCUAGGAAACCACUACAAAGUUACAGAGUCAGUAUACAAAAGCAGAGAAUAGAAAAAUUAGCCAAUGUUCAGUCAAGUUAAAGGGCUUGACCACCACCUCUGAGUUUCGAACACAAACAUAGAAUUUUUUUGCCUUAAGCCACCCUAGAGAUAACAAUUUGACUUAUCCAAUAGACAGGGAACAUGAAUUACAAUAUUAUUGAACAGACGGUUGAUACGUUCAUUCCACACAACCCAAGUACACAAUAGCCAAAUAAGUUGCAUGAACGAGCGUUUAACUUUACCACCACCUGUCAUAUACGUAAACUGCACCAAAUGAUCGGAAAUAUUAUUAGAAUUCACCCCAACAAAUCCAAUCCACUCGUGCACCUGCUGCCAUAAAGAUGCAAACACUUUGCAAGAUAGAAAAAGAUGCUCUGUUGUCUCCACGUGACCACAGCCUGAAACACACACAAUGUCGUCCGUUGCAAUAACACCACGCAUAACUAGAUUAACUUUUGUAGGUAAGCGGCCCCGAAUGAGUCUCCAUGCAAAUACCGUGACCUUCAUCGGAACCUGUUUAUGCCACACUAACUCCAGAGACUUGUCCAUCUGAGGAGUAUCACAAUUAAGUAACAAAUCAUAGGCACCUCGCACAGAAUAUCCGCCAGCAAUGUCUGGAAGCCAUACCCAUUUAUCUGAAACAUUUGGAACCAACAAAACAUCAAAUAGUAACGUCCUACACUCCUCUAACAUAUCUUCCUCCCACGCCCACAAUCUGCGCCGCCAAGUCCACCCCUCCCCUUCCCGCGCCAGACCCAUUGAGAACAAGUUAGCCACCGUAAUGAUUUUGUUCUCAGCCAAGUCAAACAAACGACGAAACCGCACACUAAGCGGUAUACCACCAAUCCGCUUAUGCGACCAAAACAAAGUUUCAGCCCCAUCACCCACCCUCCACAUAACACUGUGGCUGAACCACCCAUCACCAGACUCACCAUCUCCAUCACGAGUCCUACCUAUAUCAAGCUACCAAGAAGAAUCACUCCGGCCCCCCACCUCCAACCUCCCACCUACUUCGCCAUAACAGACGACUAAAACAUGGUACCACAAACCUUCUCUAUCGACUAACAUCCUCCAACACCAUUUACAUAGUAAAACAAUAUUAAACUCCUUCAAUUUCCUAACCACCAAACCUCCAUGCUCUUUUUUAAAACACAAGGUAUUCCAACCUAUCCAAGUAUUUUUAUUUAAUUAUUUUUAUUUUAGUUAAGUAACAUUUUUGUCCUUUAUUCUUUUUCUUUGUAGUUUUUUAUGUUAUAAAAAAAUAUCAACGUUGUUAUCAUUUUUUUUUAUCAAAACAAAAUAAAAAAAUCAUAAAAAAAUAUAAAAAUAAUCAUCAAACUUAGAAACAACCCAAAAUUUUCAUCAUACAAACAUAGAAACUCAAAUGUCAACGUUAUUAUUGUCUGUUAGCCAGCCCUAGUUUUCUAGUGGGAGAAACUCCAGCUUCUCUCUAAACUUUCUUCCUCCUUCGUUCAUCGAGGAGGGGUGGUUUUAGGUCAUUUUUUGACCUAUAAUCACCCCUCUACAUCUUUUUCCCCCUUUUCUUUCAAUUUAAAUAAGUGAUUUUCACAUCUAUCAAGUUAUUCCUUUUGUGUUUUUUGUCAUUUCGUCAUCUAAAUGCGGCGUUUUGUUGUUCGUCGUCUUGUGCGGCGUUUGAUUUCGCGUUUUGUCGCGGGGUUUGUUCAGUUCCUAUUGAAAGAUCUACAUCAGUCAAUUACAAAUUCAACCAAUGAUUUGGACGUCAACGUUGCAGAUCCGGAAGCAUGAGUAUUUCGGUGACUUAAGUUUUAUCAUAUUAUUUGUAGGCAUUUUGGCGUUGUAUGCUAUUAACUUGGGUGUUGUGAGUUGUUCGCAGAUUCACCCUUUACGUUUUUAGCGAUGUAUGUACUCUAUCGAUUUAAAUGAAUGAAUAUCGUUUUGUUUUUGUCAAAAAAAAACAUAAAAACUCAAAUGUCAUUAAAAAAAUCUUAUAAAAAAUGAAAGUGUAGUCUGAUAUAAAAAAAAAAACAAAUAAAUAAACGAUGUAAAUGUUACUUAAAAUAAGUUAAAUGACUAAUUAUAUAAUUUUGCCUAAAAUCUCAUAGCCUCUCAUAGAUUUUAAACUCCACCAGAAUCGUUUACAUUUUUCCGUUUUUUUUGCAAUUGAUUGACUUGUAAUAUAAUAUGAGCUCCAACUGUCACUUUCAGUCUAAAUGGAUUAAAAUGCAAAACAAUAUUUCAUUUUUCUAAAACAAUUAAAAAUAGAAGGAAUAGGGAGUAAAAAUUUAAAGAAGUCCUUUUCUUCUUUAAUAAAGGUUGAUGUUUUGUGGAUUCAAUGAAGGUCGGUCCAUAUAAAACCAAGUUGAAUUUGUCCACGUAAUUUAAUGCUAGAUAUAAUUGGGCGGCUGGCCCUCGGAAGGUUAGGCCACAACCAUUUUCAAUGCAUUUAAUGUACUUCUUCUUUCAUCACAAAUUACAGAAAGUGAUAUCGACAACUAUUUUUAUUAAUUUAUAGUAGUAGCAUAUAAAUAUCUUUGUACUAAAAUUAAAAUAGAUGAACAGUACUAUCUUUGAAUUACUCAAAUUCAAGCAAAAUCUCUGCCAUGCCAUCAUUCUUCAAGAGCAAAUAUUAUCGUGACCCGGAUAUAGAAAAUUAUGAACCAACUCAUUUACAUCUUUAUCAAAUAUUUAAAUAAUAUUCUCUGUUAACAAUUGAAUAAAAGAAAAUUAUAAAUCAGCAUGAACCAUCUAUUAUGGUGAUUUAUACAAGUUAAUUUUAGGUCCAGACUACGUAUUUUAGACAUGAAUUGAUCAACGCUGUAAAGCAAGAGCCGAAAUUCAAUAUUAUUAGUAUCAAAUUGAAGCCCAAAGUCAAUUAUAUACCAUAAUUAAGGAAAAAAAAUAGUAGUAUCUGAUUAUAUAUAUGGUCUAUCUCAAUAGUUAAGGCUUUCAUUUUCAUUCCUAACAAACAUGAAGUCAUGCAAUAAGUUUAUUAAAUCUAAACUUUAACACAUGAGCUAACCUCAUACUAUUAAUUAAUAUCACCAAAAUGACUACCAGUAUAUAUUUUUAAAUAGUUUUACCAAAAAGUUGAAUUUGAAACUUUGUGCCGUCCUUGAAAAAAAUUGUGACACUACUCAGGAGAGAAUAAUUCAGUGGUAGUACUACAACUUCUACUGAUUUGGACGGUUUAUCUUGUUUAAUAGUUCUUUCAAAAAAAAAAAAAUUAAUAGUUGUACUCCUUGAAUUUAAAAUAAGUAGUUUAACCCACAAAAUUGUACCCAAAAAAAAAAUAGUUUAACCAAAAUCAACUUUAGAUUACCAUGGUCACCUUGCGCUUAAAAUUGGAGAGUUAAGACCAAAAUAUAUUAAGAGUUUUUUUUUCCUUUUCUUUUGGUUACAAAAAAUAUAUUAAGAGUUUAAAUUGACAGUUUUUAUACAUCUGAAAAACAAAUUAAUUGGUUAAAAAAAAUAUAUUAAGAGUUUAAAUUGACAGUUUUUAUACAUCUGAAAAACAAAUUAAGUUUGAAUUAUUGUUUUUAUGUCAUUUAUUUACUAUUUUUUUUUUAGGAAUUAUUUAUUUACUAUUUUAUGAAUUCAUAGUUUUUAAUACAAAGGCUAUAAUAUUUUCCUAUAUAAAUAAUCUCACAAUAGCAAAUUAUCUAAAUACUAUAUCUAAGGAUCGUAUUGAAGAAAAAAAAAGUUGCGUAUCUAAAUAUAAAUACUAUUUAAAAAAGAGAUUAAUUUCAAAACAUUGUAGAUGUAAAGUAUUUUAUAUUAUAUUUGAUGUAGCGUUGAAUCACCAAUUCCCGCAUUUUGAUGCAAAUAUUGUCGUGAUAUUUGGAAGUUACAAACUUGAGCUUCUCUAAACGUGGUUUUCCUACCUCCCACUGCUUCAACAAACACACCAUUAGUCUAUCAACCAAUUGCAAAUAAUAUUAUGUGCACAUAAUAUAUGAAUGGAAAAUUAUAAGAAAAUUUAAAUACAAACAUAGUAUAAAUAUGUAUUUUUUAAAGACAAACGUUAGUAGUUAAUAUAAUUGUAUUGUCAUCACUGCACAAGUUGAUUUUGUUAAAUUAUGUUAGGUUUAAUCAAGUCUAAUAACGUCGAAAGUGAGGGGUUUUAUCAAAAAAUUCAAAUCCCACAUUCAUUAAAGAUAGUAUUGUUUAUAUUUUUUUUUAAGCCAAAUAGAAAAUAUAAUAAAUAAAAACAAACAAAAACAAAGACAGGGGGACAUUGGACCUAACCCAGGAAUAACCUAAACGGGGAUACACCGUGAUAAAUCUGUCCAAGUGGUACAACUCUAAUCUAUCCUAACAAAUAUAUACUAAUCACUGGCGCAACCCAGCGAAUCUGCGUACGGGCGCGAAACCAGGUUGCAAAAAAAGCAUGAAAAGUGGACAUCUACAUAGAAUAGUUAGAGUUUAACACUGGCGAAAAAAGCGUCAACGCGGUAACCCACCCAAGUGCCAACAACCCCCUGAAUCAGCAGCAAACAUAAAAUGCUCUUUCGAACAAACAACGCGUAAAAACUCAGAUCGAGGGAUGAGUUCAAUACAUCAGAAACCAGAUCUUUUUGGGUUUAUCGAACCAGACCCUUUCGGGUUAAACGAACCAGACUCUUUCGGAUUUAUGAAACUCAACCAUCGCAAAAAGGUCCAGAUCCACAACCACCCCAACCUCUGCUUUACAAGAACCAAGAAAACACAAACCAAACAAACGAAGCUACACGACCACCAUCGCCCAACACAACCACCGGCAAGAACAACCACAACCACCACGAUCCUUACGACGACGAACAAUCCGAGAGUGCGUUGAAGGAGGAUCAAUCGUGGAACAGACAUGACCGAGCACCAUAACAAACACGAUCCGGAACAACACCUAAAAACAAACAAAACAAAAACAGAACAAGGAAUUUAUAUAGUUUUUACAAGGAGUGAAAUUAUUUACUCCCUCCGUUCUGUUCCAUAAGAAAUGGCACAUUUGUAAAAAAUGAAAUUUUUUCUUAUUAUUUCACUCAUAUAUACUCCAUCCGUUUUAAAAUGAGUGUCGUUUUAACCAAUCGCACACAUAUUAAGGAAUGAAAUAAAGUAGUCAAAUGUCAUAGCAAUUUUACCAAAUUAUCCUAAUCAAUUAUUGAUUUGUUUUUCAUUAAAGAAAAAAUAAUACUUUGAAAGUAGUGUAACAUAGUAUUAAUUGAAGGGUACAAUUAAAAAUAAAAAGUUAUUAUUGCAUUGUUAACUAAAAGUGACAUUCAUUUUGGAACAAUUUUUUUGGCUAAAACUAUUAGAAAUCGUGGUUGGGCCUAACACAAUCCCACAAAACCGGCUUGUGAGGUGAGGAUUAUCCCCACUUAUAAACAAAUUGUCAGGCCAACUCCUAGCCGACGUUGGACUCCUCCUAACCGAUGUUGGACUCUUAACACACCCCCUCACGCUCAGGAUUGCACAUAUGAAGUGCGAACAUAAAUGACGGGUGACCCGAUAACAGAAACCUGAUAACAGGUGGCCCAAAGAAUCGUGAAGAGGCUCUGAUACCAUAUUAGAAAUCGUGGUUGGGCUUAACACAACCCCACAAAACCGACUUGUGAGGUGAGGAUUGCCCCCACUUAUAAACAAAUUGUCAGGCCAACUCCUAACCGAUGUGGAACUCUUAACAAAAAUGACUAUUUUGAAACGGAGAGAGUAUUUUUCUUAUGAUCAUGACUCAUUGAUCUUGUGAGCGAGACAAUAUUUUAAAGGUGAAUUUAUAAAAAUGAGUUAGAGUAGAUACAAAAAUCUAACAUAUGCGACCAGGAGGGAGUAAUAAUUAAAGAUUAGCAUAAGAAAAUGAGUGCAUCUUUUGAUUUCAUGUGGUAAUCGUGACUUGCGAAACCAUCACGUAUCCUUGGAGUUGAAUAAAGUAAGAGAGAGAAGUUGUAAAUGAAGUAGUAAAGUUUUUUAUUUUUAUUUUUUGAAGGAAAAUGAAGUAGUAAAGUUGAAAAAGGUGAAAGUGGUGAGAUACCUUUUUGUGGUGUUGCGUGUGAAAAAGCAGAAAAUUGGUUGAAAGGAAAAAUGUGUUGUGAGACAGUAGCAGUUUAGUGUCACAUUUUCCAGGCGCGUAAGGGCCCCGCUUCAGAAUGUGUCCUCUUCGUCUUUGGUCGUAUGUUCAACCUCCCAUUACGUGCGUGGGUUGCGUUGGGUUGGAAAACAUUCUUUUUCCUUAAUUUUUUUUUUUUAUCAAUUAUGAAAUUCGUAUAUUUUAUAUUAAAUGUAUAACUUUUUUAAAAAUAAUUGUUUUGCAAUAAAACUUAGUACCGCUGUCCCCGUGAGCAUAGCUCAGUUGGCAGGGACAAUGCAUUAUUAUAUGCAGGGGCUGGGGUUCGAACCCCGGACACCCCACUUAUUCACUAUAAAAGUGAAUUUCUAGCCACUAGGCUACCUGACCAAAAAAAAAAAAACUUAGUACCGCUCUUGUAAAAAAAAAAAAAAAAAAACAAACUUAGUACCGCUAUGUCCUGUUAUAACUAUGUUUUUGUUUUUUUUAAUGUCUCGGGAAAAUAUUUUUAUUUUUUUUAACAAAUGACUCAUUUAUUAUGGGACGGAAGGAGUACUACUUUUAGUUGUUUUAAUAUGUGCAAAUGUUAAAUAAACUCUUUUCUUUAAAAAUAAAAUCAAAGAAGCAGUGGCCGAGACAGACAAAAAAGUUUGGGAUGACCGCCGUCAAAUUAAACUAAUUUUUUUUUUUUUAGGGAAAAUUAAACUAAAAUAUAUAAAUCAUAUUUCAUACAACAUAUUUAAAUUUUAAUAAACCAAAAAGCGAUCAUUCAAAAAGUCAAUUAUAUAAUAUAUAAAGUCGAUCAUCAAAUACUUAAAGUGACUUGAAAUCAUCAAUAAUUGACUCGGAACUAAUACAUGCACUAAUUUUCCUUUCGGUAUAAAUUGACAUGCUAUAUGCUAGAAACCCAGGUCUCAUCUUGUUUCUCAAUUUAACAAUAUGUAAGGAAUAAAAAUGAUUGAAAUUUAACAAUAUGUAGUGAACAAGAAUGAUUGAAACUGAUGACUCUGUCACAUAUACCGAUGUAUAUUUUUUAUCUUUAAUAUUUUUAAUUAUCCAUUAAAAAAAAUUAUAAAAUUUAAUAUUUUAAAAAUAUUUAUCGAGACAAAUUUAACAACAUAUUAUAUGAUAUCAUUUUUCUUUAUAUUAAUAGAAAAAUAUUAUCAAAAUAUGUCAACUCAAAGGUGCACAUUGUCAACUAAAUCAUCUAAUAUAAGAUAGAGAGAGUAUAUAUUGAAUAUAAUAGAUAUGUGGAGUAAUUGAAAAACGGUUUGUUUAUAUUUAUGUCACUAUCUCCUUCAAAAAUAUGUGUAUAUUAUUAAUACAUCAUCCUAUGCGAAAAAGUGUGGUUUCGCCUCCUUCAUCAUAACUAAUGUACCACGUUGAGACAAAUUAACCUUUAAAUAAAAUAAUAAUAAAAAACAUUAUGAAAAGGCAAGUGUCAAAUAAAAUAAUAGUAAUGAUUAUUAUUUAAAAAGAAGCAUAAAUAAAUAAAAUAAUGAAAAAGUAGAAAAAGACACAAAAAAAAGGAGAGCAGGUUUAGUCUGUCAACAAAGCAUAUUUUCCAGAAAUCCUUGCAACCGAUAGUACUUUCAUUUCAUCCAUCAAUUCAAUUCUCCGUUUUACUACAAAUUCUCUCUUCUUCUUCACUUCCGUAUCUUUCUUUCUCUUCUCUCCUGCCACAAUAAUAAACAAUUUUCCUCGUUCCCCGUAAUGCACCGAUAAUUAAAAUUAAUUAAUUAAAAUAACAUUACCACUGUUUAAUUAAGUUAAAUUAUUACAAACCCUUUUCCUUAAUUCAUUCAUGUAUGUUUAUUUGUUCGUGUGUCUGAAAUUUCCUUUUCGCGUUGAAUUUGGAAACAAACUAUUUUUGGUGACACGCAGCAGCGGAAGGAGAGAAAAAGAGCAGAAAGAAGCAUAAUAUAGAAAUUAGAAAGGUGAAGAUAGAUAGAUAGAUACUUACUUAGAUCUCAGAUAGAUAGAUAGAUAAAUUAGAUGAAUCCCUGAAAUAAAAAUAAAAAAAAAUAAAUAAAAGGAAAGUUAAAAAGGACUUAAAAGCUAAAAGCAAAGCUACCCUAGAAAAGCCUCUACUUUAUUGAAUUUGUUUUUUGUGUUUUGUAAAAAGCUUGUUUUCAUUGUUUAUUGCUUCCAGUUCCACCUCUCAAAAAUGUUAAUUUGUCUUCUAUAUUCAAAAAGUUUCUUCUCUUAUCUCUCCAUACACUAAUUUCGUUUUCUCACCAGUGCUUCUUUCUUUUUCUCCUUCUUAAAGUAAAGUCAAGUUUAACAACUUUCUCUCAUAAUAAACAAAUUCAUUUCAUUCUCAUCUUCUUCAAUUCAAUAUUCUCAAUUCUCAUCUUAUAUUUGUGAAAUGAGAGCUGGGUUAAGUACAAUCCAACAAACCCUAACGCCGGAGGCGGCUAGUGUUUUAAAUCAUUCAAUCGCGGAAGCCGGUCGACGGAACCAUGGCCAAACCACGCCGCUUCAUGUGGCUGCUACUUUACUAGCUUCACCUUCCGGUUACCUCCGACAAGCAUGUAUAAAAUCCCAUCCAAAUUCAUCUCAUCCUCUUCAGUGUAGAGCUUUGGAAUUAUGUUUCAGUGUUGCUUUAGAACGGUUACCGACGUCGCAGAACGCUAGUUCCACGUCGGCGAUGGAACCUCCGAUUUCAAAUGCUUUGAUGGCAGCUUUGAAACGUGCUCAAGCUCAUCAACGUCGUGGUUAUCCUGAACAGCAACAACAACCGCUUCUUGCUGUCAAAGUUGAAUUGGAACAACUCAUCAUAUCAAUUCUUGAUGAUCCUAGUGUUAGUAGGGUCAUGAGAGAAGCUAGUUUUUCUAGUCCUGCUGUUAAAGCAACGAUUGAACAAUCCUUGAAUUCUGUUGCGCCUUCUCCGGUUACUGUUAAUUCCAAUCCGAUGAUGGGAUUCCGGCCGGGGAUGGUGACUCCUGGAGCGGCGCCGACUAGGAAUUUGUAUAUGAAUCCGAGGUUGCAACAACAAGGAGGUGCAGCAGCUCUAUCGGGAGCACAUAAGGGUGAUGAAGUGAAACGUGUUGUGGAAAUAUUGAUGAGGACGAAGAAGAGGAAUCCGGUUUUGGUUGGUGAAUCAGAGCCUGAAGCUGCUAUUAGAGAAGUUUUGAAGAAGAUUGAAAAUAAGGAAUUAGGGGAGGGUGUAUUUAGCAAUGCUCAUGCUAUUUAUUUAGAGAAGGAGCUUCCUUCAGAUAGAGGGCAGAUACCUGUGAGGAUUAAAGAAUUGGGGGAUUUGAUUGAGUCUCGGUUGGGAAAUUCGGGUUCCUGUGGUGGUGUGUUUAUCAAUUUAGGUGAUUUGAAAUGGUUGGUGGAACAACCUGUGGGAUUUGGAUUGGGGAAUAUGCAGCAGCCGGCGCUUGCGGAGGCCGGCCGCGCCGCGGUGGCAGAGAUGGGGAGAUUGGUUGCCAAAUUUGGGGAGGGUGGUGUUGGUAAGCUUUGGUUAUUGGGUACUGCUACUUGUGAGACUUAUUUGAGAUGUCAAGUUUAUCAUCCUUCCAUGGAAAAUGAUUGGGAUCUUCAAGCAGUGCCAAUUACUACAAGAUCACCUCUACCUGGAAUGUUUCCAAGGUAUUUAAUUUGUAUAAUAUUCUAUGGUUGUUUUGAUUGUUCAUAAAGUAAUUUUGUUCUAACAAUUUUAUCACUGAUGGAUAACAUUUAGAUCUUCAUCUAAUUACAGUAUACCCUUGAUGACACAAUUUUAAUUUUAGCAAAUUUUGUUCAAUUGAUCUGUUCUGUUGCAAGAAUAAUUAAAGGGAUUCAUGUUUUAUUUUCCUGUUUGAUGGAAUGGAGUUGAGAAAUAUUCUUGAACAGAAUCAACUAUGGCUUUAGUUUAAGAGAAUCUUAUCUUAAUGAAUAUGUUAAUCCUGUGUUCCUUUUGUUUUGAGUUUUAAGUUUUAACUAUUAGUUUGCUUCUUUGACUUCCUACAGUUUUGUUUUGAAAGAAAAACGUGGGAUGUUUUAGUUUCCAUAACAGUGUUAUAAGACAAGAGAAUAUUAGCUGUUGUUUACCUUUUGUGCUAUUGGCAGGCAAAAUUAGCUUGACAAGGCUAUGAAACAUGGUUAAAUUGUCUCCCACAUUUGGUAUUGGUGGUUUUAACUUUUUGUUUCUUGUGUGAUCAGGCUUGGGACCAAUGGAAUUCUCGGUACCACACUUGAGUCUUUAUCCCCAUUGAAGACCUUGACACCUACGCCAAUCACACCACUAACGCGCGCCUCGGAGAAUGUAGAUCCUGCAGCAGCAGCCGCACCAACUUGUUGCCCACAGUGUAUGCGGAGCUGUGAACAAGAAAUAGCAGAUAUGUUGAAAGAAACUGAAAAAUCUGAUAGUGAACUCAAACCAGAUGCCACUCGACCGCCUCUUCCACAAUGGUUGCAGAAUGCUAGAACUAACAACGAUAAUGCUAAAGUAAUGGAUCAGGCCCAGGUAAAUUUGAUUAAAACAAUUAUGUAUUGGUUGGUUCACGUGGUUAGGAAAUUAUAGAUGAGUUUUAAUUAUUGUGUUCUUUUGUCUUUCAAUAGAGCAAUGGCCAAGAAGGGAAUGUGAAGAAGAGGACUCAAGAAAUACAAAAGAAAUGGCAUGAUUCAUGCUUAAACUUGCAUCCUAAAUUUCAUCAGCAAAAUGUGAGCACAGAGAGGAUUGUUCCCACCCCCUUUUCAAUGACGAACUUAUAUAAUGUGAAUUUGCUGGGGCGCCAAUUUCAACCCAAAGUGCAACCAAAUAAAAAUUUGGGAUGCUCUCUUCAAUUGAGCUCGAUUCCAAUUCCUAUCCAGCAAUCAGAACACACGGCAAGCCCACGGAAAAGUACAGUGACCACUGAACUGGUUCUUGGGCAAACCAAGCCAUCUGAUACCAUUCCAGAAGAGUCACACAGAGAACGAAUUAAUGACUUUUUGAGUUCCCUGUCUUCUGAGUCACAAGACAAGUUUGAUGAAUUACAUAGCAAAAAAUUAUUUGAUACUGACUCUUUCAAGAGGCUACUCAAAACUCUGACAGAAAAGGUGUGGUGGCAGCAGGAUGCAGCAUCUGCAAUAGCUACUGCAGUGACUCAGUGCAAGUUAGGCAAUGGUAAAAGACGAUCAAAGGGUGACACAUGGUAAUGUUCACAGGUCCGGACAGAAUUGGCAAGAAGAGAAUGGCAGCAGCCCUUUCUGAACUGGUAUCAGGGUCCAAUCCAAUAGUAAUCUCCCUUGCACAGCGACGUGGAGAUGGAGACUCUAAUGCCCACCAAUUCCGUGGAAAAACAGUCCUUGAUCGCAUUGUAGAGACCAUCCGAAGGAACCCACAUUCUGUCAUCAUGCUUGAGGACAUUGAUGAAGCCAACACCCUUCUUCGCGGGAACAUCAAACGAGCCAUGGAGCAAGGACGGUUCCCUGAUUCUCAUGGCCGUGAAAUCAGUCUUGGAAAUGUCAUGUUUAUCCUCACAUCAAAUUGGUUGCCUGAGGACCUUAGUUACUUGUCCAAUGGUGCUCCACUAGACGACGAAAAACUUGAAAAUUUAGCAAGUGGAGGUUGGCAAUUGCGGCUAUCAGUGACCAAGAAGGUAUCAAAACGCAGACCCAGUUGGUUGUCGAAUGAAGAAAGGUCUUUGAAGCCUAGAAAGGAAUUGAACUUAGGUUUAUCAUUUGAUCUUAAUGAAGCCGCUGAUGUAGAGGAAGACAGGGCAGAUGGAUCACAUAAUUCUAGUGACUUCACAGUGGACCAUGAAGAGAACAAUCACAACGGAGGGUCGCCCUCUAAACCCCGUGAGCUUCUAGAUUCUGUUGAUGAUGCAAUUGUCUUCAAGCCAUUGAAUUUCGAUCUCAUUCGUCAAAAUUUCUCAGCAAGCAUCGCAAAGAGAUUCUCUGCUGUGGUUGGAAAUGGGAUCUCAAUUGAAGUGCAAGAGGAGGCUCUUGACAAGAUCACAAGUGGAGUGUGGUUAGGCCAAACCACAAUAGAUGAAUGGAUGGAAAAGGUAUUAGUUCCUUCCUUCCACCAGUUGAACAAGAGCUACAAUUCAAGCAACCUUGAUGAGCAUGAGUCUUCGUUGCUGGUUAGGCUCGAAGAUGAUGGCUACUCCGAUCGCCGGAGCUCACAAGAGUUGCUACCUGCUAGUGUGAGAGUCGCGGCGGAGUAGUAGUAGUAGUGUUGAGUAUCAAAUAUUGAAUAUUGAUUAUUGUUAAUACACAAUGAACAUGAGUGAUAAUAUCCGUUUUUGUUGGUUAUAGAAAUGUAAAUAGAUCUCUUUGGAAGGACAAAGUCAAUGACCCUUUGUAGAAUCGAGAAAAACCGUUAGAGGUGGAACAAGGGUCGGCAUGUGUCAUUUUUUCCCCCUUAGAAAAAGAUUAUUUAAUUUGUCUUAUAAGUUAAAUAUUGUUUUUUUUUUCUUCCUCUGUAAGCAUAGAUAUAUUUAUUUAUCAAUUAAAUGGAGGAUGGUUAUCAAUAUUAAUAAAAUGGAGUAUUGUUCCUUCACCCUUUUUCUUUCAUCGUUUUUCAUCAAAAUUUCAAGACUAUUGUUUUCCAUACAAACUACUAUUAUUUUCACUAUAAAAGCAGUGUAUACCAUUCAUUGAAAAUUUAAAGACUAUUGUUUUCAAUACAAACCACUAUUUUUUAUUUUUAUUUUGCAAGCAUGUGACUUUAAUUGAUGUUUUCAAAGUAUAUAUUGAAAAUCUACUUUUUCCAAAUAAUAAUAAAAAACAAAAGUAUUCUUAUUCUCCAAGUUUAGUUAUUGAUUCCUUAUAUGCUUCAACUUUUAGAUUUUUAAAUGAAGUUGUUUUCAACUUGGUAUCUAAUCAACAUUGACUCAACAAAAACAACACAAAAUAGAUAUAAAUCAAGUUUUGAAACAUUAAUAUUCAUUUUCCUUCUUUCUUUCUUUCUUAAACUACACCAAUAUGUUCACCAUCUCAAUAGUGAAGAGGAGGAUAUGCUAAAUAUCACAAGGCUUCUUCUACCUACAAAGAGCAACACAUAUUAUUAACAAAAUUUUGAACCAUACAACAUAUGCCCAAUGAUGAGCAUAUGGGACAUUUCCCAUCCUAAAAGCCACCAUCCACAAACAUAUAAUAAUUUUAUUGAAUAAAUUCAGAUAUGUAAUGAAAAAGGACAAGUUUAGAAUGACAAGAGCCAUCCAAUAUGUAGGCCACAUAUAAGGCCGUAGAGCACAACCCUUUACUAUUUGUUAGUUUAGUCACCAACCAUGUAAUGUACAUGAUCGGUUCAUGAACGUUGUUGCUGCCAAUUGCUUUUGGUAGCUGAGGUAAAAGGGACCGGCAUUACCAAACAAAUUAACACAUAUCCCUACCGACACAAAUGAUUGUUUUGCAGUUAACGUAUUUGAGUAUUUCCUUAUCAUCAAUUAGUAAAAACAAACUUUGCUAGUAAUUUAAAGAAUGAAUGUUCUUAGCUAUACCGUUAUGUGCAUACGUCAUUAUCAAUUUCCAUUCUUGGUUCAAAAGAAAAGUAAUGUAAAUUGCACCGAAGAUACCAAAAAGAGAAAAGUUUUAUCAAGAAAGAAAGAGUUGAAUACAACAAGAGAAGGGUUUAGUGUGUGAUUAAUUACUUUAAAUCAACUUCUAGAUUAAUAUUUUCCUUAAAAAAAAACUUUUAGAUAUUUGUUUUAAACAACAUAUUUUAUUUAACCACCAUGUCAAUGCUCAAAACGAACAGAGAUCGGUAAAAUUGAGAAUACAACUGAAGACAAUAUAUAUAGGCGCAUCUGAAAAUAAACACCCUAAAAAAUACCCCUGAGGAUAACACCCACCAAAAUACACGUCAUCACCAACAGACUCCUUCACAAAAAUGUCCACCAUAAAAACGAUAUCCCACACCACCCACCGACACUACUCACCCCCUGAGUUUAAUUUUUACUUAAUUUUAAUCGCAGUCCUCAACACCAAAGCUGAGCCACAUCCUAAAAGCUCCUAUCCAAAAAGAUCAAUCAACUUCCACCACCUCUCGACCUUCGAUCAACCGAAAGAAACCAUAAAAAACCCAAAACCAAACUUGAGCCAAAGAACUGACUCCCGAUCUCGAAUCAAAAGUGAUUGGUCCACCAGACUUUAUGACCAAAUCAGAAGGGCACCCCUCACCUCCGGUACACCAGAGAAACACCAAGUCAAGCCAAGCAAGAUUGCAGUUAGACACCGACUCCCGAUCUCGAAGCAAAAGUAACCGGCCCACCAAAAACUUGGAAAGAAAAAAACUUCUAGAUUAAUAUAGUCACAAUCUUUUUCAUAAUGAACGCGUAAAAGAAAUUAGUAAGCCGGUUUUUGGAACCAUAGCAGCCUCUAACUGACGCAUGUUUUCAACGCUACGCAAGGCCAUUAAUGAAUUAGUUGUAGUUUUUGUCAAGUUGGACUACCAAAAGUGCAAGUGACCAAAACAAGACAAGUAAUGCUUUGUGUAUACUUCACAUUCAUUUCAUUCAUAUUUGCCUAUUUUUUUGACUCUAUCGUCUUCUUUAAGACAACAACAACGCAUGUGUUCUCAUUUAUUUACAUCCUUUUUUGUUAUGUCUUUUUCUUACACUUCUUGAUCUAUUAGAUCUUUCUAAAAAACUUCAAGUCAUACAGAUCCAACUAUAUUCAACUCUGUCCCUAGCUGCCCCAAGAAUUUUUCCCCCUCUUCUUUAUGACCGUAGUAGCCAUGUAUGCUAAUCAUACUAUCUUUAAUUUGCAUAACCAUGUUGAUCUAACCAGGUUUAAUGGAUCAAUUAAAUAAAUACUUCUUUUUUUUUUAAAGAAAAUAAAUACUUCUUUGUGUACUUCUUUUUGGCUACUAUUAUUAGGAAGUUUGGAUGAUUCGGAAGUGCCAUAUUAAAAUUAAGUAAAAAGUUAACUUUUUACAUAUACUUUUGAACAAAACACCUUUAAGACAUACUUUAUAAUAUAAUGAAAUAAAUUAUUUUGCUUUAUAUAAUUAUUAAAAGUUGAAUUAAAAAAUAACAAUAAUUACUAGAAAUCAAAAUUUGAAGAUAUUCCUGUACGUAUUCUUAAAGAAUCUUAUCUGCACAAACUAAACCAAUACACUGUAAUUAAAAAGUGACUAUUUUAAAAUUAAAAGCUAUUUUUUUUUUAAUUUCACACAUGUUCAUUCCACGAGUGAGCUUAUUUAGAGCAUUGUUGGAUAUUAAAUACGAGUAUAUAUCCCUCUUCUAAAUUUAUACAUUGAUUCAUGUUGUGAGAUCACUAGUCUCUUCAACUAGCUAAACCCAACAGGCCAACCUUAAUAAAACUUUUUUUUAAUGUAUAAGAUAAUAUAAAAAAAAUGCAUUUAAAUGAGUACUAAUUUAAAUAAGCCAUAACUAAAGUUUUUUUAAAAUAAAAAAUAAAAAAUUGGUAUCCAAUGUAAAGGAUGAACUAAUUUGAAAGAUCAAUCUCACUGUCUACUAAUAAAGACCCAAUUAAAGUCGGAUCAAACUUUUGUAUGAAUCGACCUAACACACAUGAAUUAUUAAUACCUAAAUGACUAGAACAUGAGAAAGGAGCACAAUCUGAAGCUCAAACUACAGCCUAGACCAAACAACGGAUGUUCUCAUUAAUAAAGUCUUAAUCGCAAUCAAUUAAUAAUACACGUUAGCCAAACAGUUUAUUCAAGUGAAUUGAGUUACCACCAAUCAAUAAUUCUUCACCUGUGGAAAUUAGAAAAAGGUGAGAAUGGUACGUUUCGUGAACAUGAUCAUGAAUAUUGAAUAUGAUUUGUCCAUAGUGCGAAAUCAUUUGAUUGAGUUAAUUAAAGUCUAGCUCAGGGAUUACUGGUACAAUGCAUUAGGUAAAGAAUCCAUGAUUAUAUACGGUUCGAAAAGAAAAGAAGGACGAACAAGAUGAUUUCUUCCUUAAUUGCAUAGGACAAUUUGAUAGCAAAAGUUGGUGAAAUUAAUUAAUACGUUGAUCUUUAGGGCAACUUUGUAAUGUAAACGCUCUAACGCUCAAAUCAAUUUUUGAGUGAGAUGAGUGAAAGAUUUAACAUAAAAGAAUGUGUAUUUUUGACUAUGUUCAUAUGUCCUGUUAUAAGUUUAGUUUCGAUUGAAUUGAGAGAAAAACAUGUUGACGGGGCCAUUGAGAGUUUUUUGGUUGAUCACGCGUUGAUUGAUUAUUGGAAGAGUGACACUAGGGUCCGCGGGUAAAUUCUUAUUAUCAAUUGAAGGUUACAUAUUAUUAUUCGGUCUUUAAAUAUAAAUUGAUCUCUUGAGUUUUUUAUUGUCCUUUUUUUAUAUGAUAUCUUUCAAAUUUCAGUGGUAUAUUUAAUUCUCUUUCUUCCUUCUUCAUUCUCUCUUCCUUCUUAUUCAUUCAAUGGAGAAGGGUGAUUUUGGACCAUAUUCCUAUUUUUCUACAAUUUUUCUGUUUAAAUAUGAUAUUAUUUUGUUUGUUGCUUGUUGCGGUAAUGUUUGUCACCUUCAAUUCAUUACUAGUUGGAUCACAUUGAUUUCGUUAUAUUUGUGGGUGCUAUGUUGUUUUAUGUAAUUAACUUGAAUGUUGUAAUUUUUUUUUUGCAUAUUUAUCAUUUACGGUUUUAGCAAUAUUAAAGUUAUAUAUGAUUCUCGAGGUAUUGUACAAAAAAAUUGAUUACAAGGUAUUCUAUAAAUUUGAAACAACGGAGUAUUAUUUAGUGAAAAAAGUCAAUUAAGAAAGCUUCUCAACUUGGAUUAUUUUAUGACAAAAACAUCAAAUUUGCAACUAUAUAUGCUGAUGGUUGUCCAAACAAAAACUUAGCUACGUUAAUGGAGUGUGUCAUCCAUUUAAGAAAGAGAAUAAAAUAGUACAUAAUACUUUAAGCUCUUUUUUCAAAUAAAAGUUUGGCUGUUUUAGAAAGGAAUAAAGGAAGGUAAAAUUAAGCAUAUAUUUUUCUCAUACAAAAAUCCGAAGCAUAUAUUAAAUAGUUUUUAUUUUUAAUAAAUAAAUUAGAAAUUAUUAAAAAAAUUGAUAUAUAACUUUCCAAAUUUAUUAUUCAUAACGUGUGUGUAAGUAAGUAUAAAAAGGAAUAUUUCUGAACAGAAAAAUGAAGGGGAGAGUAGUCAUAAAAAAUUAGGUUUUGUCAAAGAUGCAGAAAAAACAGAACAAGAGAAAAGGUAGUAUGUUGUCGUAUUCUCCCAACACAUAUAACUUUACAACUUUAUACUUUGUGUCCGUUCCUCUUGUCGUCUCAAACUUUAGAAUGAAAACAAUUCAUCAACCACUCUAUAAACUCAUCUUUUCUCCCCCACUUCCACCUUUCGACCCUGCCUCUUUUUUAUAUAUUUAUAUUUCUCUUGUGCUUAAUAUUAUAUAUAAUGGGUUUCUUUCCAACCUUAAACACCAUUAAUUAAUGCAUCUAUCUAUGGUCAUUGACUAAGCUAUAUAGCUAGUGUCACUUAUUAGAAAUUAUAAUGUCAGAACUACAUGUGUCAAGUUACUAUUCUCUCCACGAACCUUGUGCAUACUUAAGGAAUGCUAAUGUAUAUUGUUUUAUUUGGUUUAAAAAAAUAUAAACGAUUUUCUUACUAAAGGAAUUCAAUGCAUUUCAUUAGAUAUUAAGAAGUCAAUGCAAAGUGAAACAUGAUAAAAUAAACAUAGAGGAACGAAUUAUGAACAAUGAUUCAUUUGCCAAAGAAUAGGUCACACUCUUCACUUGAUGUCAAACACAACUUACAUAGUUGUUCCACUUUCUAUCAGUUUUAUGAUUCAUUUUAUAUUUGUGCUAUUUAUAUGUCACUUUAUAUAAGAUAGUGGAAAUAAUUAAAACUCUAGCUCCUGUGUCCUACAGUGAGUGUUAUGAACAACUUUUGGUUGUUCAUUAAUUGAGAAAAACUACUCUAAAAAGAUUAAAAGUUACAACUACACUAGGUAUAUAACCCGUGCGUUGCACGGGUUUGAUCAAAAUACUGCUUGCAAUUUGCCCAAGAAUCAUACUCAAACAAUAUUUUUAAUUGGAUCCACCAAUUUUCCCACAUUAUCCAUCCCACCUUGAAAUAUAAUAUUGUUUCUAAUAUUUUAAAUGCACCAUAUUGUUGCCAAUAAAACCAAUUGCUUAAAUUUCUUUAUAUGACUUUGUUAUAACAAAGCUCUAAAAUGUUCUCUCGUAUUGUUAUGUAUAGAACCUAAAAACAAAAUUAAAAGAAAAACAACAUCAAUCUUGUUAAAAAUAAUAAUGUGCUCUCUCUAAAAAUAAAACACAACAACAAUCUUGUUAAGAAAAUAAUGUGCUCUUUCAAUAUAUAAUGCUGCAAAAUUGAAGAAUAUCAUCCAAGAGUUGGUUGAAGAAAGUGAUAAUGAUGAUCCAAAACCAAAACAAUACCACUGAAAUUUAUACCCAGAAGGAUGGAACAAUAGCCCCUAAUUAAAAUUAUAACCAAGCAAUUUUCAACAAAAGUGUAAAGAAGUAUUUGUUGUGAAAUUGAUAUCAAUAGAAGGCAUGGUGGAAACAUCCCAGGAUUGAGUGAAAAUGAAUGUGGCAUAAGUUGUGGUUAUAAACGGUGAGUGGGAAUUAUAAAAAAAAAUACACUUUAAAUUUUUCCAUUUUGUAGGUUAUAAUUGAAGGAAUGUUAAGAGAUGCAUCCAAUGAUGAUGGUGUAAGAAAUUACGGAACGUUUGAAUAGUUUGAUAGGUGCAUAAACUGUUACUAUUAGAUUCUUAAAACAUGGCUAUAGAAAAACAAUGAUGUUUCUGUUCAUUAACGUAACAUCUUUGUUAUUUUUUGUCUAGAGUGAGAUCAUAACUCAUUGUAUUCUAAUGCAUUGUAUGAUUGAGUUAUCAUUAUUGUGAAGAAAAAAAAUGUGAGAAGUUACGUAUUAGAUUAGUUUAUUAGAUAGAAUAAUUAGAGAAUAGAAAUUAAACCUUUUUUAGAGGUGUCACAUAGGCACAAUCCUAGCAUUAGAGUUUCUUAGAAAUUGUGAUUGGGCCUAACACAACCCCACAAAAUCGGUUUAUGAGGUGAGGAUUGCCCCCACUUAUAAACAAAUUGUCAGGCCAACUCCUAACCGAUGUGGGACUCUUAACACACCCCCUCACGCUCAGGAUUACACAUCUAAAGCGUGAACAUAAAUGACGGGUGGCCCGAUAACGGAAACCUGAUAAUAGGUGGCCCAAAGAAUCGUUAAAAGGCUCUGAUACCAUCUUAGAAAUUGUGGUUGGGCCUAACACAACCCCACAAAAUCGGCUUAUGAGGUGAGGAUUGCCCCCACUUAUAAACAAAUUGUCAGGCCAACUCCUAACCGAUGUGGAACUCUUAACAGAGUUAGUCAAGUUUAGUUUACAAAGAGAAGAAAAUAUAGAUAGAUAGAUAGAUAGAUAGAUAGAUAGAUAGAUAGAUAGAUAGAUGCGCCAAAGAUGCGACACCCAUCUUGUUCCUCAGCUCCUUAAACUUUUCAUGCUUCACAAAUUUUGUUGGAAUGUCUGCUUCAUAUAUAACAGUAGGACAAUGUAACAGUUUUAGUCUUCUUUUAUUUACUUGAUCUCGUGAUUCCUUGUCUCAAUGUGUUUACGGUAAAAUGUCACAAUAUUUUUUCAGAUAGGUAAAGUUUCAUAGUGUUUAAUUUAAGUUUAACAAUUAGAUUGGAGAAAAAUAUGACAACUUAUAAUUUUUUUCUUGAUUUACAUUGUAUUUCAAAUGGUUCAAGUAAAAAAUAAUAAUUUAUUUAAUAUGGUUCCUAAUCUUCACAUAUUCUUUUCCCAUAACUUAUAAUAUAUUAAAAUAGACCUCGAAAUUAUUUGUGUACAACUCAUCAAUUAUACGCUAGAUGAUUACCUCACAUCCUCCUCUAAUCACUACACUCCAAAAAAAAUCAUUCCAAACACUUCUUUUAAUUCAUUUCUCAUUCUCUUUUUUUAUUUUUAUUUUUUUUAAUUUUAUUUAGAGGUGACGCAUAUGCAUAAUCAUAGCUUAAGAAUAAUGAGUCAAAUUUAAUUUAAGGGAAUAUUAUCUUUGAGGUACCAUAUCAUCACAAUGCUAGAUCAAGAGUAACUCAAACUUACUUUACAAUAUAAAUAUAGAAGACAAAUAUAUAAUUGAUAUAAACACUUAUACAUUCAACCUUAACCUCAUAUUUUCUAAUAUAUAAAAUCCAUAUAAACUUUAUUAAAUUAAAUCUAAAAUAUUGCUAAUAAAUUUAUUAAACCUUAAUUAAAAGAAAACAACUAAAUAGCAAUAAUGUCAUUUAAGUAUCCUUAAAAUAAAGUAGUAAUAAAACUUCCCCAAAAGAAUGUGAGUAUAGUUAGACAAUUUCAUAAGAUGCACCCAAAUUUACUCUUAAUUGUAGGAAACUCAAUUGAUGGAAAGUAUGAAGGUCAACCAAUUUCAUGAUCAAAGGUUAAAUUUCCAUGUAAAUCAUCGAAACAUGAUUUUGAAUCUCCAAUUUCACGAAGAUCAAGAACAUUCCUUUAGAAUUUUGAAUAGAUGUGUGCUUCUACAAUUAGUUACCUAGGAUACUUGAUCUUAUAAGAACCUAUUCAAUUAAAAAUAUAAUAAGAGUAUUUUCACUUAUUACAAAGACACAGAUACUUGAUCAAAUUAAACUAACACCUAUGGAUAAAGAUUCUUACUUUCUCUUGUUCGACCCUUUAGGAUUUUUGGUGUUGAGAGUUUUGAGUUUCUUGUAAGAUCCAACCAAAUCCUCCUCCAUCUUAUGGAAAUUAGUUGAGAAGGAAAAAUCUCUAAUAGUUAUAGCAACAACCACAUGUUGGCUUGGAAUAAAAAUGAAUAAAAAAAUAUUCAUUUUUUAUGCAUUUUUAAUAUGUUUCCUUCCACAUGUUUAGUGAACUCUUGAUCUCAUAACAAUGUUAAAUAAAAAAUAAUAAUGAAAAAAUACUUUAAUUUCAAUGAAAAAAUACAAUCACCAUUUCAUAUAUGAAGUGUCCUUUCAACAAAACUCUCUCUUUUCCCAAAACUUGUGUAUUUGAAAUCAAAGAAAAAAUAUCCAUUAGAGAAUACGAAAAAUUAUAGAAAUAGAAACACACAUAAACACAAAGCUUGAAGAGAAAAUCAAAACUAUCAAAAAAUGAAAUGGAAGAAGAAAUGAAAAGGAUAACAUAAGCAACAUAUAUAUAAGCUUAGAAAAAAAUGAGGAGCUUUAUAGUAAUAAACUUGUGUGUGUAAGAGGAUUGAUUAAGAAUAUGAAUAAUUUUAAAAUGUAACCCCUCAAUAUUAAUAAAAUGGAUUAUAAUGCAUUCAUUGUGUAACUUGCAUGAAGUGAAGUAAAUAGAGUGUUUUUGCAACCGAUGGAAAAUGAAAGAUAGAUAGAUAGUAAGGAACGGCUAGUAAAGAAUCAAGAACAAAAGAUAGCCACAUGGCAUAAGUAUGAGAGAUUAGUUAAAAAGGGGGGCAUCGGUAAGGUGACACAUAGGAAAAAUGUAGCUUAGAAUAUAUAUAUAUAUAUAUAUAUAUAUAUAUAUAUAUAUAUAUAUAUAUAUAUAUUAUUCUAACAUAACUAAAUUCUCCAUCCAUUCAGUCAUUUAUUUAAUAAUGAUUACAAUGAUCAAUCACUUAUUUAGAGUAUAAGGAUUCUAACAACUUAGUCAAUGACUCGUCAAAAUGGAUCUCUCUACAUCCUUCUAAAAAACCAUGACUGAUAUCCUAGACCUAAUAACUAUACUAUUGAACUCAUCUUAAUCAUUCAUUACAAUGAGUGUCAUAUUUUCUAAUUAAAGAAAGGAAAAUUAAUAAAAGGAAUGAAUAUUAUGAUUAAUAGAUUAUUGAUUUUUUUUCCUUAAGCCAUUUUAUUUCAAUCAUAUUUUUGCUAUCUUUUAUGGCUUAAUAGCAGUUUUGGCCCCCUAUGUUUUAAGAAGUUGCGAUUUUGGUCCCCUAACUAAAUAAACUACAAAACUGCCUCCUAAGUAUUGACUUAUAGGCGGUUUUGUAGGUCAAAACUGCAAAAAAAAUCAAUACUUAGAGGCGGUUUUGUAGUUUAUUUAAUUAGGAGGUCAAAAUCGCAACUUCUUAAAACAUAGGGGACAAAACUGCUAGUAAGCCUUCUUUUAUUGUGAAUUAGAGUUAAACCUUAUAUAUGGCCUUAACUAUAUAUGAUAAUUGAUUGAUUAGACUCGUUACUUAUCUUCUUUUAUCAUUUGUCCUACUUGUUGAGGUUUUAGAAAUCAGAAUCCUUCUCCCCGUUUCCCAUUUGAUCCUGUAAAGGCCGGUGCUUAACUUUUCUGUGAAUUCUUCAUUCCUUUAACAGGAUUAGCCUAGGGCAUGAAAAAGGAGCUUGUGAGUCCAUGAUAUAUAUUAUUCACAUCUAAGUUUCUUUUUUUUGUGUUGAAGUUUAAACUUCAGAUCUUAAAUAUAUUAUGCAUUAUUUCUACCAACUGACUUAAGCAUUUGCAUCCAAGUUUAUCAAGACCUAAAGCUCUUCAGAAACAGAUCAACAAUUUUUAUUUACCUCAAAUAUCCCUUUGUAGAUAUACUGUUGGUUGGGCUAUAAUGGUAAUUUAGAAAUGGCAGGAAUGAAAAAGCAAAUAAUUACAAUGAAUAAUUUUGUGAAUGUGAAGUUUUUUCAUGAGAUAUUUAUGAGUGAUUGUAGUUUCAUGUGAAAGAUGCAAUCGUGUAUGUACUUCUCACACGUUUCAUGUCUCAUGGAGGUCCCCAGCAUAAAUGAUCAGUUUGUCAAAAGUUAUGUUGAAAAAAAAUUGAUUAAGGGAUAAAGAUGAAGUAUCAACGAACAUAAGACAAAUUGAUGAAGAAAAAUAUGAAAAUCCCCUAAUUAUUUGUUUAACAUUUCUUUUUAAUCUGCUUUGAUUAUGCUAAUUGAGUUUUUGUAAUCUCAUGUAAACUACAAAAUCAAAGUCAUAUUAUGAACUCCAACACACAAAACCAACGCACAUACUCAACUCUAUUGGGUGGUUAAUAGUAAUUUCUAACUAAAUUUACUCUAUUGCCACAAUUAUGAAUACCAAUCUUGGAACUAAUUGAUAUUCAUUUAAAUAGUCGACAUAUCUCAAUAUACUCUUUGACCUAACAAAGUAUGAAUCAGAAAUAUGUAUUUUAUUCAAAAUUUAGAACAAAAACAGUUGACUAUUUAGAUUUCGGUUGUUUAUAAUUUACUACGGUGGAAGUAUUUUUUUUUCAAACACACCGGCCACGAAUUAUCCUCUAAUCAAAUAGUUCAGGUAUUCAAACAUCGAUUAGUUGUAUCAAACUAAUGUGGUCGAUCGAUUCAAAUUUUAUCAUCAUAAAAUAAGUUUUUAAAAAGAAUUAAAUAAAGAUAAAUUAUAUUUUUAAAUAUAAAACUUAUUAUUAUUUUUAAUUGUUACUUUUGAUUAAUAUUUUUGUUUAUAUUUGAGUGGGGAGGAAGGGAAGGAGUAUGUGAUAAUAACCACCACAAUAUUAUAUUUCCCUUUUUUCUCUUCCACCAAUGAUGUGUACCACAAUCUUUUCAUUUUCUUUACCUAAACCCUAAAAAGGCAAUGGAUUGUCUUGGAAGGAACACUAAAAUGAAUCAACUUUUCUUUGCCUUUUUAAAGCAUAUGCAUGCUGACAUCUGAAAUUUCGCCUAAUCUUUGCUUAUUAAUAUUUUAUUUUACUAAAUAAUGAAAAGUUAGGAAGGCAAUAAGGCAGGUUUUGUCAAAUAUUAUUCCUCUAUCCUUGUCUUCCAGCCAAUGUUGUCUAAUCUGCUUCUUGUUCUAUGUAUUAAUUUAAUAGUAUAAUAUAAGAAUGGAUUCCCUUGGAGGUAGAAUAAUUGGUUGGCAAAUUAAUAUAUUUAUUCAAGAGAGGCAUGGCUUUUUUAAGUGCUCAUCUUUUAGUAGAUAUGCAGGCUUUUUAGAGCACCAUGCUUACCUGUUCCCUGAUCACAAUAUGUUUUCUUAUAAUCAACUUUUUUUCUUUUAACUUUUCCUGAUGAAUGCAUGGGCCCCUAAUCGAAUUGAUUGUACUUGAGCACCAUCACGUUUGCAAUUAGAUUGGUAGCACCUUUUUCUAAUCUAAUCAACUGCUCCUCCAUCCAUAAUUGACCGUAUAUAUUAUACACACAAUAAAUUUGAUUUGAGAUAUAUAUAUAUAUAUAUAUAUAUAUAUAUAUAUAUAUAUAUAUAUAUAUAUAUAUAUAUAAAAUAUAUUUUAGAUGCUUAUCAUUUGCAAUGCAUGAAACCAUAAUAUUUAAAUCAACACUUCAACAAAUCUUCAGGAGAAGAUCAUGCAAUCAACAACCGAUAGGCUAGCAUGUGAACAGGGAUACCAUCGUAAAUCAGCAUCAUGUGAAUAGGUGAUUUGUUAUGAAAUUAAUCUUCGAAUCGCAGAAAAGAAAUCUCUUUUUCUCUUUCAAAUGAACGACUUUUGAAAUUCAACUUGGGUUAUUCUAUAAGAGAAGUGAUAUCAACUCUUCCGACACUAAAUUAGUUGAUUUUUAUUUUAUUUUAUUAACCAUUUCUUUAUUGAUUCCUUAUUUAUGAAUGAAUAAUAGAUUGGUGCUACUUUGUAAAAGAUAAAUAGAUUGCUUCUUUUUGACAUUACUAAAGAAGCAUAUCCAAAUGAAAUGUAAUAUAACCGCAACGUAUAAUUUAUUAUGAAAAGGUGUAAAGAUCAUGUCUGCACCUAAUUGAAAAUAAAAACACGUGUAGUCGUAAAAGAGAAAAUAUCUAUCCAGCAUACCUGAUAAAUUUUGACAUUAAUGUCAGAUUUGAUGUAGCUGGAAAUAAGAUUUGGACAAACCUCUUCUUACAGUGACAACUAGGGUAUCCAUGGAAGAAUGGUGGGUAAUUUACUUCAAUCAAUAUACAUUAGUCACAUAAGCACAUUUUUAAGUGGUAUCCAUGAACUAUCUUGACCGCACCAACAAAUUGCUCAUUUUCAUUGAUUGUUGGGUAAAUUACCCACCAUUCUUCAAAAGUAAUCUAGAAAAAAUCUAUGCAAAAACAUUUCUUAGUGAGAUCUUAAUUAAACAUAAUAAUAAGCUUAGUUAGAGUGAGAGGUUUCUGGAUUGAUAUCUUGUAAAAAUAAAAAAAUAAUAAAAAAGCUUUAAGAGAAAGGUUCUACAAUUAUUGACAUGUUGGUGUUGAACAAAAUUAUCUUAUACUAAGAGGUAUAUUUUCGUAUAUAUUUCUUCCAAAAAAAACAAUACAUUUUCUGUGUGGAUAUUGUUCUGAUUAGGAGUUUGUAUAUUAUUGUAUCAAAGAAUGAAAAUCUAUGUUUAUAAAUAAAAUUACAAAUGCACUUUUUUUAAUAUAAUUCAUUAGUACCAUUAUGUACACUGAAUGAAGGGAACUUAAUCAUAUUCUUUAGGUAUAGAAAUCUGAGCUUAAUUCUAGAAUGUGUAUGGAUAUAAAAAAACAGAACUGUAGGAAGAGAUAAUCUAAGGAAAAAAGAAAUUAUUUAAUCAUUCAAAUAAAAAAUUAAUUGAAAAUUUGGACAAGACAUGCCCAUAACCACAUUGGGACAGCGAUGAUCUAACCUUGUUAAAUAAUAUUCGACGUCAGUCCAUGGGACCGGAACAAGCUGGCAAUUCUGAUCUCGUUAUGCCAAAAAUAUCUUUUGGUUUUAAUUUUGGAAGAGACAAAAUUAUUUCUAGAAAAUAUACUUAUGUAGUAAUUGAUCAUUUGAUUGUGGCAGGUUGUUUGAGUAUUUUGAAGUAGAAUUAAUUGCAUUAUUUUUAUCAACCAAGAAAAUUUGCAUGUUUUUUUUGGGUUGAAAUUUUUGUUGCAUGUUAGAUUGUUGGUACAUGUUUUCUUCUUCAUGGUAAGACGUUAUGUUUUUUUGACGAAACAUAAGUGUGUGUAUACUUGGCCCAUGUCAUGUGCGUGUUUAUGUGAAUCCAUUUGGUUGGCAGUUAUUUUUUCCGUCCUUUGUGUACAUUGUUUAUGUCAUGUGCGUAUUUACGUGAACCCAUUAGGUUGGCAGUUCUUUUUUCAUCCUAUGAGUUUCUCAUAUACAUUGUUUGAAUUCUACAAUUCUAAAUGUUUAAUGUAUUUUGAAGGGUUUUACGUUUUUUUUUUUUUUUGCCGUUCGGAUUCUAUAAUAUAGGGCGCACGAGAAAUUAAAUAAGUGGAAAAAGAAAGUGUCAAUUAGGUUCUCUUUCUUGUGACCAAUUUUUAUAGCCCAAAAGUUUUUAGAAAUAUAAAUGUGGGCUUCCUAGUUUGCUCAUAGACCCCCAAAACACUGAAAACAUAACAUUAUGAAAUUACAAAAACUCAAUUUCAUAGAACAUAACGAUAGAUCGGUCCUUUUUAACCGUCAAAGAUCUAAAUAGGGACUGUACAUCACCGUCAUCCUUAUGAACCGACUAAUAAUCAUGCAUGCUAUCAUUGUCGUUGGGGAUAUUUUUGUUAAUUGGAGAUAUUUAUAAGCAAGUGCCUAAAUAACAACUUUGAAAUUAAUAUGCCUGAUGUAAUGUUUCUAAAAAAAUAUCUUAUGUAGAGCUAAGCCCAAUUAAAUUGUUAGGAAGCUGAAAUAAAAAAAUAAAAGGCUAUUAAUUUUCCCACCCUAUCCAUUAUUCGCGCACCUUUUUUUUUUUUACGAUCAAUUUCUAUGUUGUUUCGGACGUGCUCAGAUUAUAUAAUUCAAAAUAUGUUUAUAUAUAAGCAGAAAUAAGAAUCAUUCCCAUUUUAGCAGUUUUUAACUUUGCUUUCAAACAUGUCAAAUAAAAUCAAAAAAAUAAAUGCCACCAAAAAAUUCUAACAAUCAAACAAAAUAAUGCAAUUCUUUUCGGAUUUUUUUCUGAGAAUAUGAAGAAAAAAAAAAGUUUAAACGAUAGAAUUUUGGAUUUUGAGGGACGGAGUCCCGUAAGAAGUCUCUUGUUCUCUGAUUUUUCUUCUUCUGAUUUUCUGUCCAAGUUUCGGAGCAAUAUGAUCAAAUAGCUCGAAAACCGUAUUUUCAACUAGCUUAAAAUGACUAUCCAUGUUGCAAAUAGGUUCAUAAUUUAUAUUGAUACAGUUCGGAUUAUAUAAUCCGAAAUAUGUUCCCUUAAAUAAGGGUGUUUAGGCGUUGUUCGGAUACUAUAAUCCGAAAAAAGCAAGGAACACGUCCUAUUUUUUGGGGUGUUCAGAUUAUAAAAUUCGAAUUGAUGAAAAACUCCUUUUUUCACCCCAAAAUAUAAGGAAAACUCAAUUUAAAUUAUAGAGUCCAAAAAUUGUAUGAGCAUUUUUGUAUAUAUAUAUAAAAAAAAAAAAAGCGCGGGGAAACUGAUAGGGUGGGAAAAGUAAUCCCCAAGAUAAAAUAAAAAAGGAUAUAUGCCUGGUCCAGAAACAAAUACAAGCUUAGCCCAUCAUUACCAAACACACGUCUGCCCAUCAUGAACAAUGUUAGAAAAUUGCUCGUUUCACUUCUAAAUUUGCUCUUUAACACAAUAUUAGAAGAACAAUUAACCGUCGUCGAGGGUAUUUUGAUAUUUUAAGGUUUUAAAUAGUAAAUUUUGAAGUUCGAAUAGCAAUUUUCAAAAUAUUAAGAUCUCAUUUGACGCCUUUUAUGACGGGUUAUCCAAAUUUGAUGAGAAUUUGGUAUCCAAAAAAUUGUUACAAUAAUUUGAUGAGAAUUCAAAGAAAAAAAUAAUUAAAAUCACAUUUUAUAUUUGUUAUUUAUCAUAAAAAAAGGACUUAUCACAGUAUAUCUCACGGAAACAUUUUACGUUUGUUAUUUAUAAUAAAAAAAACAAAUAAAAUCACAUUUUAUGUUUGUUUUUAUUUUAUUUUUGAUAGAAACAUUAUCAUCAUUGUUGUGGGACAUUGAAAGGGAAGUGGGUUUAUGGUGGUUAUUUUUUACGUUAAUGACAAUAUUUACAAUUUAAAUAUACGAUGAUUUUAAAAAAUAAUUGUUUUUUUAAUUAGGGAUCCAUUUUUUAUAUUAGAACAUGACUUCCGAUUCGAUUGGUACAGCCAGGGACGGAUCCAGAAUUUUCAAUAAGCAGGGUCAAUGCAUAUACAUAAAAUUACAGGAGAAAAUAUGAAAGUAAUACUACUAUUUUAUUUAGAAAGUCAUAUAUUUUAUGUAAAAUGCACGAGUUUCUAAACAAACAUAUUAUUUUGAACAUAUUAACAUGUGCAAUUGCACUUGAUAGAAAAACUUUUUAACAAACAUAAUAUAAAAUUAGUUUAGAAUAUGACUAGGGUUUUCCUCUAGUGUACUCCCUCCCGUCAUGUUUAUAAGAAAAAAAUUAUUUUUUAGGUUCAUUGAAUAGAUAUCAAAUACAUUAGGUAUUUAAUGAAUCUAAAAUAUAGUGUUUUGCUUAUAAAUGUGAUUAAAAAAAAGUAUUAGUUUUGUUAUAUGAGGUCAACGUACAAUUUAAAGUGGGAUCAAGAUAAAAAAAAUCAUACUAUUAUUAGUUGAAAUAAAAUAAAAUAAAGUGGGGUCAAUUGACCCCAAUGCACACAAGGUGCAUCCAUGCCUGGGUACAGCUCUACUGUUAAUGGUGUUGUGGAAACUUCGUAUCAAUAAUAUGAUAAUAAAAAAUUGCGUCAUCUAAGACAUGGAAGAAAAACGUGUGCUGUAUAUUUAUUUUUCUUUUACAUUUUUCGAUUAGCUCACUCAGAUGUAAAGUGAGACAAGUAAAUUUUAGAGUGGUCCUUUUAUUGUUGUCAUGAAACCUUAUCUUCGACAAAUGUUACUUUCACAGCCUAAUAUAGUUUCCAAUUCAAUUAAUGCUUUAAAAAUGAAAUGAAUAUUAGCCCCCCGUCUUAAAAACGUACAAUGAAUCAAAUAAAUGUCAUUUUAUCUUCUUAUACUGUAUUUAGGAUUGGAGGGAGUAUUAGGCUAAGAUUUUGAUUGAAAUGGACAAUUUCAAACAUGUGUAUGUAUAUAUAACAUAACUAGAUGGACAAAGCUUUAAUGGCUCAAACCACCAUUGUAAAUAAAUAAAUGUAAUUGAUUCUUGAUGCUAUGUAGUAGCAUUCUUGUGACUUAAGCAAACUGAAAUUCUAGUUAUUUUUUGAACUAGAGGACCACUUUGAGUCAGCAUUUCAUUACUUUUUGCCUUGGAUUUAAUCCUUUCUAGUAUCUUAAUUUAUCACAAAAAGUGGUUGAGUAAACAUUAGUUACCACUUGAUUUAAUUCCGUAUCUAGAAUUAGAAAACUUGCGGUACUAUAUUAGGAAACUUGCAUGGAUAGAAACAUGUAAGAAAACGUGGAUAAAAGUUGUUCACUGAUCCAAUUCCAAUUAACGUGUAAUUAUCAGAUUCGUCUUAAAUGAAUGAGUUGGAUUGGUAAUCACUCUUUGUCAUGCAUUGUAUCUUCUUAUUUAUUAAGCUUUAACUUUGGUUAUAGACUUCUGGGUCUAAAAGGCAAUAACUUUUUCACAUUAUGUACAUAGCCAGAAAAAAAAAAUAGUACUAAUUGCAAAAAAUAAUUGUUUGAUAACCAUUUUCACACUUCAGUGCAUCUUUGUAUGCUUCCUCCACUUGGUAGUUGCAGUGCAAGAAAUUUGAUUCUCCCUUAGAAAUAUUAUUAAUUUCAUAUUUGAGUUUUGUGAAUCAACUUGACUCAAUUUGAUAAUGAUAGCCUAUAGAUUGUUGUAUUAUUAGACAAAUUAAAACUGCUUCCCUGAUUUACAUAUGUCAAUGUAUGAACCAAUCCUAUACUGGGCACGUUGGCAACAUAGAAUUUUGUCAUAUGUUGCAUUGAUAUAUGGACUGUACCUUUACAAUUGAUUGAUUGAUUGUGUUUGAAAUUAAGUGAUAUAAUCACGAUUUUCUCAUGUUUGAUUGUGUUUGAAAUUAAGCCUAAACAUACCUUGCACUACUCAGAAGCUUUUACAAUGUGCGAUACAAAUACAAUUUGCUAAGAAAAUUAGGGAUUGACAAUUUUGACAUUAUUUUCACGAUAUCAAUAACCACCUAUACAUAUGGACAAUUUGAGUCCGUUCAACAUUAUCAAAACAAUUUUCUUAAGGCAUGUGGGAAUUACACACACUUUAAACAUGAGUGUGGAUAUUGAAGUUGUAUUUGAGUCAUGUUGUUAAAGUUUCUGAAAUAUGCAACCUAUAUAUUAUUUGAACACCCACACCUUAUUAGUUAGCAUUUCAUAGUGAUAUUCAAAUUAAUUUAACAUGUUAUCAUGUUGAGAUUUUGUGGACAUGUGAAAAUUGGACUCCGAUUCACAUUAGACGUUAUAGUGAAUAUUAGAAAUUGUAUUUGAGUCUAAAUAAGUUUAGUCACUCUCAUUAACUUUUGUCGGUCAGUUCCAAAAUUAUUUAACAAUUUUUUUAAUUUUUUUCUUAUUAUCUUAGUUGAUUUUUUUUAUGACAAGAACCAAAUUAACUCAUUUCAUUCAUAAUAUCAAGCUGAAUACAAGAUGACAUAUGCUCAUGAUAUUGGAAACUAACAAAUAACAAUGAUGCUCUUGCUAACAAACAAGCCACAUUAUUUACUUGUCACCUCUUUUAAAUUGCACGCUUCCGCUUCAUUUGGUUGUGGAAUUCAUUGAAACCAAUUUGUUUUUGCUGCUAUGUACUCGUUUUCUCCCCUCAAACACAUUCCUACUAUGUAGCACCUUUAAGAUGUAUUAACUACUAUUACUUUAUCAAUAAUAUCUUUAAUUGCUUAUUACAAAUAUAAAUUGCGUCAAAAAAAUUAUUACAAAUUUAAAAAUAUUUACAUCAUGAUAAUAAACAGACAAAAUUACCGCACACAAGGACGGACCUGAACAAGACACAGUGUGGCAAGUGCCACACCAGUUCAGGUCCAAUUCUUUUUUAUUUUUUUCAAUAUUUUUUUAUCGGCUCAUUGUAUAUUUUUACUUGUAUAUUAAUAUAAACACCUAUUUUUUUAUGUUUAUACAUGCAUCUAUAUUUUUACUCAUAUAUUAAUAUGGGGACAUAUUUUUUCUCUUAAUUUACACGUGUCUAUAUUUUUACUCAUAUAAAAGAACCUAUUUUUUUGUAAUUUAUAUAUGUGUUUAUAUUUUAACUUAUAUAUUAAUACGGGCACCCAUUUUUUUUUAAUUUAUACACAUGCCUAUAUUUUAAUUCAUAUAUCAAUACAUAGGUUUAUAUAUAUAUAUAUAUAUAUAUAUAUAUAUAUAUAUAUAUAUAUAUAUAUAUAUAAUUUCUAUGCAAUUGCAACUUGUUUUCAAAAAAAGAGCGCAACACGCUUAUCGGUCUGCAUGCACGGGUAUCCUGCUAGAGCAUUUGACAUCUCUUGUAACCUAUAUAUAAAGAGAUGUUCUUAAAACAAUUAGUAAUGAUAUAAUUUUAGUUCAUUUUCAACAAAUAGAAAAUAGAUUAUUUUCUUUGUAAUUUUGGUUGUUGCAACUAUUUUCAAUAUAACUUCUUAUUAAACUCAAUAUUAUAUAAUUAUUUGACAAAAAUUUUGCCUCACUAGUAUUUUGAAAGUCCAGAUCCGUCCCGGACUGCACACAAAAAAAAAGUUUCUAGUUGCAUUGGCUUGUGGCAUUGAUAUGUGUUUCUUUCAAGGUCCUAUAUUUGAUUUUCUUUACACUAUGUUUGGUAGAAGAGAAAUAAGCAAGAGAGAAAUAAGGGAGAGAGAAGUUGGAGAGAGAUAGGCUAUUUCUCAUGUUUGGUAUAGAAGAGAAGUGAGCAGAGAGAUACAGACGACGUGGGACCCACGCCUUUUUCACUUCUCUCCAGUGCGAAGAAAGAGAGUGAAGGCACACACUUUUUCUUAUUUUUCACUAUUCUCCCUGGUUAUAUACAACUAUAUUAUUUAUCAUUUUGUUUUCAAAUUUUUGUUGUUGCUUUCCUCAAUUUUUUUUUUGUUGUUGCUGUAGCCGGUCGAAAAAAAAGCAAGUUGAGAAUAAAACCAAAAAGAAACUAAUAUGGUUCUCCCUCUUUGAUCUAAUUAAUUUAAUCCAAAUGAAACUAUUGGAAUUCACUAAUUAGUUAAGUAAUGAAUUAGGAGAAUUUAAUCGAGAUGACUAUGUAAACACAAGAAUUAAUUUAAUUGGACAAAAUUUAAAUAUUCUAAAUUAUUAAUUGAGUAAAUAAUUUAUUCAAUAUUUAUGUAAAAAAAUGUAGUUUAAUUAAUUCUUGAAUUAAUUAAACUAAAAUAAAAAAACAACAUUUAUGUUAGGUUAGUAAAUAAUUUAUUCAAUUUUUAUGUAAAAAAUGUAGUUUAAUCAAUUCUUAAUUAAACUAAAAUAAAAAAACUACAUUUAUGUUUAUAUGAAAUUAAAUUCAAAUAUAAUAUUGUAUAUUAACUUUUCUAGUAUAAGGAUAUUUUAGUCUUUUCAAAAAUUAAACACACUUCUUUCUCUUCUAUUUCUAUUCUUUCUCUCUUAUACCAAACAAUAGCUCAAAUUUACUCUAUUACUCAUCAACUUCUCUCUUCUCUUACUCUUUCUCACCUCUUUCUCUCUUCACGCUUUCUUCUCACAAUCAAACACACACUUAAUGUCAAUUUAUAGUGGUUAGUCCAUACAAAGUUUUGCUAUAGUUUAAGUAGACUCCUACAAGUAGACGAAAGAUUGGACUCGUAGGACUAGUCAAUCCUUAAGCUAAAUACCGAGUUUUUUUUUUUAAAAAAAAAAAAAAAAACUUAAACUGGUCGAUAAGAAUGAGUUUUAUCUUUUCCAUAUCACUCUCUUGUACUAUUUGUAAGAUAUUUUCGCUCUAGGACUAUCUAACUAUCUUAAUUCUUAACUCCAUUUUCUAGGAAGAAAUGUUGUCACACACGUUUCAAUAAACUUGACCUCAUUUUUGUAUCAAUUAUCAAGUAAUAUUGGUAUAUCCAAUGAAGGGGCAAAUUAUAGAAUACACCACAAUUAUAUAUAGGUGGUUCAUGACAUGAUAUAUAUUCAUUAUCCAAUAACAAUUCAUUAAGAUAUUUGCAGAACAGUCGAUUAUUUGAUUUCAACAGUUUAAGGAAGCUUGUUGUCAUUGUCCAUCAAUGUACACUCAGCUUCCCAUAAAGAAACAAGCAUGCUUCACAAGGAUAAGACCAGUCCAAGUAAUCCACUGCCAUGUGUCAAAAAAAUGGAAGCUGCUUAAGAUAUGUUCCAACCUUUUUCAUGAUAUACAUUGGUACAAAAUUGAAUUCCAUCUAAACCUUUUUCUUCAUGCAUAAAAAUCCUAGUUUACUUGGACAAAUGCUAUUGGACCCUUUAAACUGAUUACUGAGCUUCUAAGUCGUUCAACAAAAAUAUGCUUUAGGUAGGAUCAACCACUCCAAUACAUUAAAAAAAAUUGUGAGAAGGUAGUUGGGAAGCAGCAUUGGAAGUUUCUACCGACACAACGUGUAAUCAAUAGAACAUGACCUGAAUAUCCAGCUAAUGAUUUCUGGUUCUAGUUGAAACUUGUUCUUAAAACACUCAAAUCCGUGUGAGAAUGUUGAUGAUUAACUGUUCAACAACACAAAAAUCCGUGACUUAUAAGUUAUUAACUUUUCUAACUUGUUUGCAUUGGAACAUAAAUUUGCCAGCUACCAACUUUUUCUGAACUUCAACGUGCUCUGAACCACAUCAUAUGAUGCUUGUUUGUGUCUUUCAUUCAUUUAUUUACAACCCAAAAUGCACGUUUUUCUCUCUCUAUAAUUUAAAGUAGUUCUAAGCUUCAAGUAAGAACAUUUACUAUACUCGAAAAAAACCAAACAUAUCAAAAUCAAUUUUAACUCUCAAUAUGUGGAACCAAACAUACACUACAUCAUAGCACAGCCAUCAAGAAUUAAAUGUUUUAUUUCUAAAAAAAUCAGUUUUCACCCUUAUCAAGAGAGCUUCUCCAAGCAGUCAACAAAAAUAAAUUUUAAAUUUAUUAUUCUUAAAUUAAAAAUGAUACCAAGGGUCAAGACAUCAUCCACCCACCCAAUUUGAUUAAGAUCAUUAUCAAUAAACUUUGUUUGUUAACUAAAAACUCAAACUCAUGAAGUAUUGCUGUUAGGUAAUUCAUUUCACAAAAGCAUAAACCUGUAUUCACUCCUUGUCAUACAAAACAAAACAAGAAAUUUUGCUGCUAGUUACAUGAAUAAGCAAGCUAACUAGCUAAUUUGUAAAAUUCUAAAAGUAUUGAUUGACUUUUUUUCCUUCCCAAAUGAAACAACCUAUGAAGAAGGCAUCUAUCAUUCUGUACAACAACAUUAGUUUUACUGUAUAGAUAUUUCUUUCUAUUUUGUGCUUAAAUUUUGCGCUGAUGCAGCAGCAAGUCCUUCCAGCAGUCUGAUAACGUGACCAGUAUCAUCCAAAUAGUAUUUAGCCCUACUUGGUUUAUAACCAAUAGUGCAUGCAAACACUUGUGAUGAGGUUGGUAAGGCUAAAUUUGCAAUGCUUUCAAACAUAUCUUCAUCUGAACGAUCAUCUCCUAGACAUAGAAGAAAAUCUGGUGACUUCUCCUCAUUCCUCAUGGUUGAUAUAAGCUCUUCCACCACUUUACCUUUGCUCACACCCUGCAUUCCCACAUAAAUACAUGAAACCAUUACAAAAGAAAAAAUUUAAUAAUCUGACUAUUACAAUGUAUAUGAAUUAAAUCCUUAAAAGAACUCAGAGAAAGGAAUCAUCAUUACAAAAUUCACUUUCAUAAACAACCUUCAUUCCAAUUCUAAUUAACUAAUGAAAUCUUAAAACGAAUUAUCUUUCAUUUGGUCUCUUGAAAACUAAGAAAUGACAAAAGAUUAAUAUGCAUAAAAGAGGAUGGUUUGUUUAUGAUACCUGAGGCUUUACUUCAACAAUAUGUUGUCCCCUUUUAACUACUACAGGAUCAUUGGCCAGCAUACUCUCAAGGUGAACAAGAAGCUCUUUAGCUUGCCACAGUCCAAAAUCAGGAUCUGCUUCUUGAUGUUGCCAAACCAUUGCACUUUCUUUUUCUUCAAUGAAGGAACCAUCAGUCGCUUCUGUGUAAAGCGCCAUCACCUUUUCUACAUUAAUUUUCCAAUCAAAAUCUGAUGCCAAUCCGAGAGUCGUCCAAGGAGAAUCCUUACUCCACCUGCCAUCAGUCAAAAAGGAAUCCAUAAAAUGAAUCAACAAGUAAAAAACACAUCGAGAUCAUGCAACAUUGAUGAAUGAAUGAUGAAUUUCAAUUUCAAGAACACUACAUUGAAAAGUUUAAUUGAAUAAUGUUACCUUGUGAAGUAACCAUGUUCUGCAGAGAGACCCAAUUUGUCACAUGGAGAAAACCAGUCGCUAAGGCAAACUCUUCCCCUGCCACUAACAAUGAACACUGUAUUUUUGGGAUCACUGCAUAAGGAAUUCAAGAGAGAGAUAACAUCCAAACUAGGAGCUUUGUUAAUUGAUCCCUGAGGCAUCAUGGUGCCAUCAUAGUCCAAAAGGAUCAACCUACUUUUGGUAUCUUUGUAAGCAGGGGCAAUGUCAUCAAGACAAAGCUUCUUAAAACUAGGAUCCAAAGCAAUGAUUCUAAAAUUAUCAAGUCCUAAUCCCACAUAUGUCUUGAGAUAAUGCUCCCUACAAGCUCUCUCUAAAUCCUGAUCAAAACUCUUGGCCCAAUACGCUACAUCAUGAGAGCUUAUGUACUUAUAAUUCUUCUUGUGCCGCAAUUGCUUCUCGGAAUCCUUCAUUUUGAUUGCUGAGUUCAUUUUCUCUGAAACAUCAUCAAUGUUCCACGGAUUCACCCGAACUGCCCCGCUGAGUGAAGGCGAACAACCAAUGAACUCAGAAACAAUGAUAACACUAUUUUUAGGCUCAUCAUUUCCCACUCCAAGUGUUUUGUCCAAUUCAACACUUCCUUGUCUACAAACAGUAUACUCGUAAGGAAUCAAAUUCAUCCCAUCCCUCACAGCAUUCACAAUACAACACUCUGAUAUAGCAUAGUAAGCAGCCUUCUCCUGAGUCGAAACCGGACCAUUUAUACAAACAAUUGGCCUAUACCCAGAUUGUUCAUCACCAUAUUUGUCAUUAACUUCUUUGGCAAUAGCUUCAAUCUCAAACUUCACAUCCUGUAUAUCUUUUCCGCUACUCCUUGCUUGAUUCAGAAUCUGAACCAACACAACUUCACCCCUUAAUUUUUCAUUUCCCUCCAAAAGAUUCCUCAAUGCCAGAAACUUCAACCCAAUACCUUUGAACAAAUCCAAGUCAUCAACCCCCAAAAUCAAAACCUUCCCUUCAAAUUCUUCCUUCAACUCUUUCACCCUCUUAGCUGUUUCAGAGGACGACAAAACCAAUUCGAGAAGACCCAUGUGGAUCCCCACAGGAAGAAUCUUGAUGGUAACAUUUCUUCCAAAGUAAUCAACACCAAUGUAACCUCUUUUAGACUCAUAAUCCAAACCCAACAUCCUACUACAACAAGACAGAAAAUGUCUAGCAUAAUCAAAAGUAUGAAAUCCAAUCAAAUCACAGUUCAACAAACCCCUAAGAAUUUCUUCACGAACAGGUAUUGUUCUAUAGAUUUCUGAAGUAGGAAACGUGUUGUGAAGAAAAAAACCCAAUUUGACUUUAGGAAAACGUUUCCUCAAGUAAGUUGGUAAAACCAUUAGAUGAUAAUCAUGAACCCAGACAUAAUCUUCAUCAGGAUUCAAAACCUCGCGAACCUUGUCCGCGAAGAUUCUAUUGGCCUUUUUGUAUGAAAGCCAAUGAGAGGAAUUGAAACGCACACCUUGACUCUUGGACAGAGGUAGCAUGUAGUGAAACAAAGGCCAAAGAUAAUGCUUACAAAAACCAUGGUAAAAAUAGUUGUGAGUUUCAGAAGGUAGAAAAGUUGGAACACAGCGAAACUUUUCUAACAAGACUUUGGCAACUUCUUCUUGCUGUGAUGGUUCAAUUUCAAUAUGUGAUUUUAACGAACCAACGUAAAAGAGUUCAGAAUCAGAGGAAAUACCGUCUUUGAGCUGAAAAUAUAUGCUAUCAACGUCCCAUUCGAAUUUCAAGUCACAAGAAGAAGAUGAAACAACGCGUAUUGGUAACUGAUUUGAUACUAUUAUCAUUCUUCGUUUACGAGAAAUCGGAGAUGAAGGAACUGAAACGUUGGAAUAUUGUCGUUGAAACUUCUGGAACGGUGUCAUGAGUUCUGGAACUAUGUUUAGGUCUUCUUGUUCGUAAUUGUUCAUUGUUGUUAUUUGAUGGUUUAAUAAACCUAAACAAGAUCUUGAAAGCAUUGUUUGAAAAAUGAAAAAGGUGGGAGUGUUUGUGUUUGUGUUUAUGUUUAUGUGAAAAAAGAUUAUAGAUGAGUGUUGCAAAGGAAGAUGAAGCGUUGUUGAUUAAUGGAAAUUGAAGAAAUUACUGAUUCAAAUUCCAUAUGAUAGAUAAUAUAAGAAGAAGAUUAUGAGAGGAGCGUGUGUGAUUUUGAGAAAAGAAAAAAAAUACUGUAUAUACAAGACUCUGCUUACUUUUUUAUGUGACUAUACCACUAUGGAUAAGAACGAAAUUGAACCGGUUUUCUAUAUUAUGUUAAUUAAUUUUAUCUGACGGUUUAGAUUUCUUCUUAUCUCAUCACUACAUUAGAUACUAUGCGCUUAUUCUUUGCUUCUGGAUUUUAAAAUGUUACCGGCUAUAACCGGUGAGGUGAAAAUGGAUAAGGAUAUAGACCAAAGUAUAAAAUUUGCAUUCAAUGCUAAUUCUUUGGAUCACGUGGCCUUUACGGCAACAUCAUAAAAAUAGAACAAUCCAUCAAUUUAUUUUUAAAUUGCAGUAUUCCUAACAAAUAGUACAUCUAAUUUUAUUACUAUAUUUAUUCUCAGUUAUAUUUUACGAUUAUUUGGUUUGCUACACUUUGGAUCAUUUGAAAUGAUAGGAAUAACCAUAGAUUUUAAAAUAUGGUUUUCAAUCCUAUUAACCUCUUAGACAAAGUAAAGUUUAAUUCUUUCUUAUGGUUAAGGUCGAAAUAGAUGGAUUUUACCUAUUUUUACCAUGAUUGGUGGAAACACCUCAUUCCUCGUAUGUGUGUUCUCUUGUAAUUUUUAUUCUAGAUGGUGCUUUUGUUUUGGCACCAUAAUCUUGUAAAUAUUUUCUGGUGUUUUCCUUUUACACAUCUUAUGCAGAGUGAAACAUUGUUGGUUUAGUAAUAUAUCUCAUUUUAAUUUGUUAAAAAAAAAUAUUUAAUUUCUCAAACAUAGCACUUGAUACUAAUUUUUUAGAUCAGACUCACUAAUAAUAUCAAUAAUUUUAUAUCAUUAUAUUUUAAUUUUUAUUAUUAAAAAUGUGUGGAGCUCACAAAUAAGAAACGUUUAUUAGAGACUCUCAACUUAUUAAGCAUCCAAAAAAGAAAAUCCACAAUGAUAGUACCUAAUAGGUAUCAAUACCACAAUGGUGAUAUAAUUGAGGAUGGUUUUAGGAUAAUUGUUAACAAUUUUUUUUUUUUUAAUGUUUUAAACUUAAAUGUGGUUUUUGUGGUUUGGUUUUCUUAAGACCUGAUUUUGGGUUUCCUAUUUCUAAUUGUGCAUUAUUUGUUAUCCAAUUUAAAAAAAUUGACAAAUUCAUGAUUCCAACCAUUCAAUUUGAGUAUUUCAUAAUAUAUUAGGUGAGCUGACAUAAAAGUGAAUGGUCUAAUCAUCAAGAGUCUUCAAAAUCAAGAUGUUAAAAUUAAGUCAUGAUCAAAUAUAAAGAGACAUAGGAAGAUCAUUAAAAUGAUACAAAAAUAGUAAAAGAAUUUAAAGCUAAACAUCCUUAGACUGAAACCGAUAACCUCUUUAUUCAAGAUUUGUCAGACGGAAUAACUAAAAUUUAAAUUAGAAUUAGUCAAAAAAAAAAAAUAGAAAUAAUCAUGUUAACUUAUCUCAUAAAGAACGCAUAAGAGUGUUUAGAUGAAAUGAUAUAAUAUUUUAGGAAUUAAUCUUCACAUUUACGCACGUUAAUUUUUUUAUUUUAUUUAUUAUUAUACAGCUUAGUGGCUAACACACACACAUUUUAAGUGUAGAAAAUUGUGCGUUUGAGGUUCGAACCUUAAUCUCUAUAUAAUAUUAUCAUUGCAGCUACCAACUGACUUGCACAUGCAUAAUUGUUUUCACAUAUUUCAUAUUAUAAGAUGCUUUUUUUUUUAAGAAAUAUAUAUAUACAUGUUUUUUAUAGCCAAAAUAAUAUUACUCCCUCCAUCCCAUAAUAACUGAGUCAUUUGCAAAAAAAUAUUGUCUCAGAAAAUUGACCCAUUUCACUUUUCAAUACAAUAUUAAUUAUUUUUUUCUAAUUAUAACACUAAUUAAUACUCCAUCCGUCCCAAAUUAUAAGAAAAAAAAACUCAUCUUCUUUGUCCCAAAUUAUAAGUAAAAAAGACCAACUUUUAUCAAAUUUAAUUAUAUUGUUUCAAAAAAUCAUCUUUUUCAAAGAAAAAAUAAAUGCAAAGUGCAUUCAAUUUGCUUUCUCUUUCAUUUUUUCAAUAACCAAUUAAAAUUGUUUUUACGUCUUCCUAUAAAAAUUAUUUCAAGGAUAACACAAGAAACUAUGUUGCAAACUACUAUGUUUUUGUUUUCUUAAUAAGUGUGAUUUAUUUUUUGUUUAUAAUAUGAGACAAAGAGAGUACUACUUUCAUCACUCUCAAUUCAAUAUAUUCUACUUUGCAUUUAUGAUAAAUAAUAAUGCACCAAUAGUUGAUAAGGGCACUCAAAAUCAUUUUUUUCUCUCUUACACUUAUACACUUUUUCUUAAUAAACGUGAAAUGAACCAAAAGCUCAAUUAAAAUGAGACCGAGGGAAUUCAUUUUAACUCAAUUGGUUUUAAAUUUUAAUGCAAGUAUUGUGUCUAUCUAUAUAUUUAUUUUGGAAUGCAUACAAUACCUUCUUUUUCAUACGGUUGAAAAGAUCAAAAGUGGAUGGAUAUAUUAUACGAGUAGGGUGUGUUUGGUUUAAUGGAAAGAUUAAAAGAGGAAAAGAAAGAUUGUGGAAAGAUCUUCUUUCCAUUGUUUGGUACCCCCAACAAAUAAGUAAGGAAAGAAAGUUUUGGAUGGAACCCACACAAAAAAUCUUUCUUCACUAGAUUGAACCGAAACAAGAGAGGAGACCAUGUUUUUGCUUAAAAAAGACAAAAAAUAACCCUAUUCAAUAAUAUAAUAUUAACAAUAUGUAAUGGAUGCUAUUUUAUGAAAUAAACAAUAUAUAAUGUCCACAAAAAAUUAUAUUAUACAAACAUGCCAAAAAAAUAUAAGAGAAGAGAAAGAUGAAUAUUUGUAUGUGUAAUUUUGUCACAACACUAUAUAUUAUUGCAUAUAUUAAUAUUUUAUUAAUAUACAAGGGUAUUUAUGUCAAUUAAUAAAUACAUAUCUUUCUUUUCUCUUACUUUUUAUUCUACUUUCUCUUUUACCAAACAACCAUAACAAUUAUUUAACUUUCUACUCUCUUUCAUUCCUUACAUAAUCUUUCCUUUCACUUUUAUUCACCAACCAAACAAAGCCGUAAUUGAUUGAAAAAAUCGAAGUGUUUUAAGAAUAAAAAGAGGAACACACGCCAACAAGACGAGAUCCCUCUCCGCGUUCACACGGAUGGCACAAAUUUCCUUGGAUGACGUUUAAUUCCCCUAGUCCCUAGCUACGGUUCUGGGUUAUCUACAACAGCUAGGAAGAUUUGAUUGUGGAUGGAUGUGUAAUGUGUUUUUAGACGAGAAUGAAUCCUUUCAAUUUUUAUAGAUUAAUGUUAACUUGUGUCUUUGGAACACAUGUUAAGUAAUCAAAAAGAGUAAUUUUGUAUCGGAAAAUAUAAUAUAUUAAUUUUUAGGAUUAAUUAAGUUUUUAGUUCUUAUAAAUAUUCACAGUUUUGUUUUUAGUCCCUAUAAAAUAAAAUCACACUUUUUAGUCCCUGUGACAUUUUCCUUAAGCAUUUUAGGGACCAAAAAUGUUGACGGAAAUUUUUUACAAGGACUAAAAAUGUUGAUGGAAAAUUUUUAUAAGGACUACAAAUGGUGAUGGAAAAUUUUAUAGGGACUAAAAAGUAUGAUUUUAUUUUGUAAGGACUAAAAACAAAACUGUGAAUAUUUAUAAGGACUAAAAACUUAAUUAACCCUAAUUUUUGAAAAGUUGAAUGCACGACUUUUGAUACAUGCAUUUCUUUAAUAAGUUUCUAAACAUGUGCCCUAUAAAAUAUAAUCAAAACCUAUAAAAUUUAAAAUUACAUAGUGUAUGCAUUGAAAAACAUUUCAACUUAUUUAUAGAACUAUUUUUUAUUAGAAAUUGUUUAGGCGAUUCGUACUCAGAAAGGAUUUGAAGUGAUCGGACAUAAUGAUGGCAUUUGUCAAACAACAACCAUCGAGAAGCAAUUUGACGGGUGUAUAGAGUAACUUAUUACACUCAAGUUAUUAAGAGAGCAGAGUGAAAAUGGUUAUAGAGAUAGCCAUUGAAACGGUGUUACGAAAGAUGUUAUUGUUACCAUAAAUUCCUUUUAGGUUUGUUUUGUUCAAAAUUUGAAGUCCAAAGUCCUAUUUUGGACCGACUUUGUAUAUUGUAUAAUUUUAUUGAUGUUGAAAAAAAACUUAAAAGAUUAAAAUAAACAGAAGACCAAAUUUAUUUUAAAGAAAGAAGACCAAAUUAAAUAUUAGGCAGUAAGAUAUAUAUUGAGUAAUAGAUAAAGAUAAAAAAUUUCUAAAGAAAAAGAAGAUAAAGAUCAACAUAUAUUUUAUUCUUUAAAUUUUAAUCAAAUGGAAUAUAUGUUGGAAAUGUAUGUAGGGAUCGAAGUUCGAACUUCAUCCAUUCCAUUUAUUUACAUUUAAAAUAUUAAACUACUUAACCAAAUAAAAAAGAAAUACUCUAGUUGGUUAAAAGCUAAAUUCUUAGCAAUUUUUUCUUUUAUUUGAGUAAUAGUGGGAUUAUGAAUACGAAAGAGUAAGACAUGGUGUGAAAGAAGGGGUAGAUGAAUUGUUAGAAGUAGCCACAUGGAUCUAUUGUUAAGGAACGUGGCGUGUGGAUGUCGUCUUAUCCCCAAAGACUGCUUUGACUGCCAGCUUGGCAUCCACUCUUCUUCAUGUACUAAUCUGAUCAAAUCACUUUAUGCCACAUCUCAUCCAAUUUCUACUAUGCUCUUCUUUGUUUACACGCAGCUUUCAUCUAAAAAUGAAGUAUAAUAACACAAAUUAUUAUGCUCCAAAUCAAUAGCUUUUUCUUUGUCUAUUAGUAUAAUUGUAGUAAUAAGAAUAACUGUGAUAAACAUAAAUCUGAAAUGAAAGGUUUCUUUUAUUAUCAUUUUUAGUGCCUAAUAAUAGAUAAAAUUAAAUAAAUGGCUAAAGAAGUGUAUAAAUGAACAAACGUAUAAAAUACGGUGGACGUCGGCAUUUAGAUGUGAAAAAACGUUUGUGAAUUUAGAAGAUUUGCAACGUUCUGGCAGAAAUAGGUCUCACAGAGGGGUGGGGUCAACUGAAAGAUGGGGCCCACUUUAUCCACAAACAUAUUGCUAUAAAAGGUAGUUAUUCACGUGGCUGGCAUAUAAUGUUCUAUUCUAUCUAAUUUAAGGUAUAUGAUGUUCUAUUUUAUCUACUAUUUUUUCUUCUCUACCUUACUUUACUUUUUUUUUUUUUUUUGUUGCAGAUAAAAUCUCAUUAGAAUCAUUUUUCUUUUUCAUGUUUCAAAUUCAAUGAUAUUAAUUUUAUUUAGAUAGUAAUUUCUUGCUUCAUUCAUUAGUUAAAUUUUACUAUUGAAUUAAUCAAUAUCUCACGAUUGGACUAAAUCAUAUAUGAUUAUAAUUAUUGAUUUAUAGUAGUAGUGAAAAACUCAUUUGUAUAUGAUACAAAACCAUUUUCCUUAAAAAAAAAAAAAAACAUAUAAAAUCAUUUUUUUGUUAACCUUCCAAUUUUUAGAGGAAAUGGAUCAUGAUAAUCCGAAAUUCGGUUGGGAGGUAAGUAAAAUAUGAUCAUGAAUUAUUUUACUUAGGAAUUGAACUCAGAUUCUUUUAAACAAUUUAUCCUUGGUGGGAUUCAUUAACUACUUAAACCAUAUUACUUGGUUAAUUAUUUUGAAAUUGCUUUUCUCCCUUUCAAAAUUUUUCAUUCGACAAUGAGUAAUUUCUUUCAAAGGCACCUUUCUUGAUUCAAAAAUGAAAAUGUGUUUGCUUUAAAAGUAUGAACAUCAAUUCUUAGAGAAGUGUAUCAACAAACAAAUUAUCUAAAAAUAGAAGGACUCGAAUAAAGCUAUAUUUCAUAAUUUUGUGUGUGUUUGCAUCAUACAUUUUACAAUUAAAGGCAACAUCAUUUUCCAAAGUAGCAUCAUUGAUGGAAGAACUCUUGCUCCAACUCACAUUUUGGUUGAAAGUGAUCCACGAUGUAGAAUCACUCUUCAUCAUGUAUUAGCACAAUAAAUAAUGAGUUUGUUCCUUGAAUAUAUAGAGGACGAAGAACAAGAAAUAUACUACUUGUAUAUUAGUUUAAAUAUUUAUUUGAAGACCACUGAGAACAAACUAAAUUUCAUGGCUUUCUUAUAAACAAAAAUAAGUCUCUGUUCAAAUAACAAAUAACAUCAAAUAAGUCAUGCAUUAUGCACCACUGAGAUCUUAAUCAUUUUCUUUUCUAUUGUGACAUGAUUUUAUUCUCGGUGGUUACUCUUUACCCUUUGAUCGACCAUUUUCUAUUGUUGACUGCUACCUCAACUCAUACAAUAUUUUUGUUCUUUUAAGUUAUGCAAAGUCGUUUACCCAAUACACGUACCGAGAUAAUUCAAAUAAGUCACGAGAUUAAAUUUUAUAUAUUGUCCUUGUAAAUAAUUAUAUUGUCGACAGCUCACAAUCAUUCAUAUGUGUAAUUUUAGAAUAAUUAGGUUAAAAUCAAGAGAUAUUCAUUAAUUUUGUGUACAAUUAUUUUACACGUACAUCCAAUGAUAUAUUUUCAUGUUAACUCAUAUGUUUUUUUUUUUUUAAAUAAACUUAUGUUUUCAUACUCAUUAAUUAACGUAAUAAAUGCAUGUAUAAAAUAACUACUAUACGCAACACUAAUUAAAUUCUUAAACCAAUAGUCAAGAUGAACAAAUACAUGUGAUGAUAAAAUAAUCACUCAUAUAGCUAACCAAAUGCUAUUUGUCAAUGUUUACUAUGUACUAUAGUAUUAGUUUUUUUCUCAAUUUCUAUACAGCCCACCAAACAAAAUGUUUUCAAACAUGAUAGCCUGCCAAAUAUGGCGAAAUAAAAAUUCGAAUUUGAGUUGGCCAGCCAAUCACGCUCUCUUUCCAACUUAAGCUGAAAAGUUCACGAUCCCAUCCUACUACUACCAAAUUCCAGGUUUAAUUAAUUAAUUAUUGCAGGCAUAAAUAAUUGAAACAAACUUUUGAAGAUUAAGAAGGUUGGAAUAUUCAAAAGUAUAAAGCAUUUCCCCCAUUUUUUUCUUGAUAAUAUUAAUUAACCUAACCUAUCUUUCUCUCUUUCCUCACGAUUUUAUACCAAAGAAUAUUAUUCCUAACUAAUCUAGGGCUUUUUGGACAUAAUAUAGAUCAGUCAUCUUUGUCUUUUUGGUCUUCUUGUUCCCUUUGGACCGGCUUGUUUUCUAGCAUUUUGUCUUUUGAGCAGAAAAAUAUACAGCAUGCGUUAUUGGAAUUUGGUAGAUAAGGCAGCUGACAAAGACUUUAUAGUAUGUCCAAAUUUUUGUUUAUAACCUUAUCCUUGAUGAGAAGCAAUAUAUUUCAAAAGCACAACACACAUAUUGACAACAUUCAUCAUUUGUAGUUAUCACUAAGUUGACAAAUAAUUAAAAUAAGCAGCCUCAAGUGUGCAACAUGAUCUUCAUUAUUGUAUUAUACUCCUAUUUCAAAUUGGUUGCAUCAAUAAAUAACUAAUUAAUUUUCUCAUCCUUCUUUGUACUGCACAAAUUAAAAAAUGACCAUAACCUCUAUCUCAAAUAUUUUUAAAAGUGGAUUCCAGUUGUGAAGAAAAGCAUCAAUGAUCUUUUUGGAUAUGUGUCCAAUUAACAGCUAGGUUGCUUUCCUCCCUCGUUAUGAAUUUUCUAGAGUUGUAAACAUUAUCCUCUUCUUCAAACCCAACUACCUGGUCUGGAAUAUAUUACUGCCUUCAUAAAUAAAUACAUUUCUUUUUCUUCCUUAUUUUCAUUCUUAUUUAAUAUAUAAUUUUGAAAAAUGUCAAUUGAAUCUUUUAUCUUGAUUUUAGAUAUUAAUGUAGUCAUGAUUUAUAAGAUGAAAUAAAUUAUUUUACGUAGAAUAUUUUAUCAUUUUUUCAGACGAAGUGACAAACACAAUUCGAAACUCAUACAUAACCAUGAGGUUCUGGGUUUCAACCCGAAUAAAUGAUAUCAACUAAACAAUAUUAACAUUAUCAGUUGAGUUAAAACUUAUAAACACAAAUUUAUAAUUUGAGUAUCGUAAAUAAUUCAUGGUGACAACUAGGGUACCAUGGAAGAAUGGUGGGUAAUUUACCUCAACCAAUACACAUUAGCCACAUAAGCACAUUUUUAAGUGGUAUCCAUGAACUAUCUUGACCCCACCAACAAAUUGCUCAUUUUCAUUGGUUGGUGGGUAAAUUACCCACCAUUCUUCAAAGGUAAUCUAGAAAAAACCAUAAUUCAUCCCUCAACUUGACAAGCCAAUUUAAUACUAUAGUACCUUUCUACCUUGGAUAAGAAUUUGAAUCACAGAAGGUGUAAUAUCAGACGACUUUAAGCAUUGCCGACUAACCCUACAAAUCAACACGAGUCUUUUCAACGUAUUUUGUCAUCACUCGCACGUUUACCGGUAAACUUUUUGGUAGGUCACACAUCCAAAAACUACUUCAAGUCUAACAUGCUUAACUAUGGAGUUCUUAUGGUAGUACCAAACAAUUCUUAUAAGUCUUCCUUCAACCAUAUAGUCUCAUACCUACACUGCUUCAUGAUCCCUCUCAUUCCGAUGUGAUUCGGUUCGUCUAUAAGCUGUCGGGAGCCGCUCAUUGUCGAGCCUUGUACACUGGCAAUCACUUCCCUGUCCUCGUCAAUCGUGGGUGUUACAUGAUAGAUUGGAAACUUAGGUUAGUUGGUUACAUUUUUUCAGUUACGAUAUUUAACAAAAUGCGACAUGAAGAGGGGCAAAAAAUCCAAAAGAAAAAGACAAAAUACGUCAUCCCCGUGUGAAAAUGUUAGAACUCUAUAGGACUUAAACGCAAGGGAAGCAUAUAUUCGAGAUUGGUUCAGACAAGAGGAAUUCUAUAAGUUUCUUCUUCUAUUUAUUUCCACAUCUUUUCAUGCCAAUUUCCAUGUCACUUUGCUAGUUAUUGACCGAUGCGUUGCUUUUCAUGGAUGCCGACAUUAUUUAAAUUUAUUUUAAAAGUUUGGACCAAAUCAUAUUACUCCCUCCGUUACUUUCUAAUCGCGACUUUUCCAGAAUUUUUUUCUCUAAUUAAUUAUCACUUUUAAAGUUCAAUACAACAUUAAAUAUUGUUUUGCCUUUAUUACUUUUGAUUAUUUAUUGUAGAGCGAAAAAUAUAUGCAAUGAGUUAUUAAAAGAUAAAUUGUUGUAUCAAAAAUUGUAAAAUAUAUUUGUUGUCUUGAUUUGUGGAAAAAACUCAAAAGUGAUAAUUAAAAAGGAAUUCAGAGAGUAAUACUUUACAUUUUAUAUCUGCUAGCAAUUUUUCUUAAAAUAAUCUAACAUUGAUUUAUAAAAAAAAUUAUUUAUAUCUUUAACAGAUUUUGACAGUAUUACCUCAACUAUAUUUAUUUAUCUUUUUUUACUCAAAUUAUAUUUAUCUAUCUAAAUGAAAAAAUUUACUUAAAACAAUAUAUCUAUUUCUCUUUAUUAAUUUCGAAAGUUGGGGGUUAUUUAUUUAGUAAUUUUUUUAGAAGAUUUAAUUAUUAUCCAUGCGUGAAAUUGUAAGAAUAAUUUAAGAAUCAAACUGUCGAUAACAACGAGAAAUACAUAUAUACAAAUUGUUUUCUAGAAGAUUUUUUUAUUCUUAAAUUAUUUUUUAACAUAAUUCAAAAUAUUAUUUAACAAAAAAAUUUAAGGAUAAUUAAGUUUUUAGUCCCUAUAAAUAUUCAAAGUUUUGUUUUUAGUCCCUACAGAAUAAAAUCACACUUUUUAGUCCCUCUGACAUGUUCCUUAAGCAUUUUAGGGAUAAAAAAUGUUGAUGGAAAUUUUUGACAGGGACUAAAAAUGUUAAUGGGAAAAUUUUAUAGGGACUAAAAAUGCUGAUGAAAAAUUUUAUACGAAUUAAAAAAUGUAAUUUUAUUUUAUAGGGACUAAAAAUAAAAUUCUGAAUAUUUACAGGGGCCAUUUCCUUAAUUAACCCAAAAUUCAAUUGAUAUUUAAGUAAUUUAAGAAUCAAACUCUUUUUGAGUCAUUUUAGCUUGCACUUGAAUUAUUUGGUCCGAUCAUAACAACGAGUUAUAUAUUUGGUUGCAAGGAAAUAUCUUCAUCUCAAACCAUAUUUUUUUUUUUGGCCAAAUACCUCCCCAGGUCCUUUAAGUUUCAUGUUUGUUUCGGAUAAAUCUUUUAAGUUUCUAAGGUUUCAGAUAUGUCUUUUAAGUUUGAAGUUUGUUUUGAAUUGGUCCUUUAAGUUUCUAAGGUUUCAGAUAGGUCCUUUAAGUUUCGAGUUUGUUUUAGAUAGGUCCUUUCUAUCAAUCUCCGUUAAGUCAAAGUUGAUUUAAUAGAGGUGACCUAUUUGAAACAAAGUUGAAACUUAAAGGACCUAUCUGAAACCUUAGAAAUUUAAAGGACCUAUCCGAAACAAACUCGACACUUAAAGGACCUAUCUGAAACUUUAGAAACUUAAAGGAUCUAUCUGAAACAAACGUGAAACUUAAAUGACUCAGGAGGUAUUUGACCACUUUUUUUUGACGAAAAGUCAUCUCAAACCAUCGAUCUUGUGAAAAUUCAUGUUUGAUGGUGGAUUAAAACAAAGAUCAAAUGUUUUCUUAUGAUCUUAAUCUUUGGUAAAUAAUCAUCUUGGUUGUUUAGGUUUCAAAACUUUUUUAUGUUUAAUUUCUUUUGAUUGGUUGUACCUUUCUUUAAAAAAAAAUUGUAUUUUCUCUUUUCUAUUUUUUGCACACAUACCUUGUGCUAAAUAGUCUUUUAAUACAUUCCUUUGUCUUUUUAAAAAAAUUAAAAGAAUCAAAUUGGUUUAGAUAUGUUCUCUUUCAAGAACUAAUGUGGAUUUUUGGUUUGACCAAAUAUUGAUGAUUGUUUUCCUUGUAUUAUUUCGUUUAUUGCAGUUGAUUUAGCUCGUUAAUGAAGUUUGUUUUUGUAAAACAAUGUAGUCCUUAAUUGGUUUAUAAAUAAACGAAAGUUGAUUUUUCUUUCUAUAAUACUCCCUAAAUAAAUAUGAAAGUCGAACUAUAUGGAGAGUUGAGUACAUUUGUACUCCUAAUAAAAAUAAAGAUGCUCCUUUGUAACAAAAAAGAAUCAAAAUGUUCCAUAGAACAAUUCAUUUCCGUUAUUCCAUACUUGCCGGCACCACCUAAAUAAUGAUAAUGUUAGUUAGCAGGUUACAUCACCUCUCUAAAACAUUAAACAUCAUCUUUAAUUGUUUCCAAAAGGUUUAAAGAGAUUACUUCAUUUCAUGUCGGUUCUAUAGAAGCAUCUUUGAGAGCUUUGCAUUGCAUUUAUAGACAUAUAUUAGACAUAUGCAUGUGUUUAAGUUCAUGCAUUGUCUACUUGUUAGAAAUGGAAUUAUGCUAUAAUGUCUGAAAGAUCUAGUUAAACGGAUAAUGUCGAUAUUGUUAGGUUGAUCAUUUUUGCCGAGUAUAAAUCCAAGACUUUACGUUAUAUGUGAGUUUCAUGUCGUACUUAAUUGAAUUCGUCUAAAAAAAGUUGUUUCAAUAUAUACUUACAUAUGUUAAGUAUUUGUUUAUUUGUACGGUGGUUGGAGGUGGCUGUGGCCAGCUAUAUAGUGGUGGAUCCCUCUCUCCCCACCACACUUAAACGGUUCAUUCUGAACUAUCCACUUCACUUUCUUACUAUCCAACCCAAAGCAAAUGGGAUGGUACCUAAAAAACACUUAAUUAAUUGCUUGCUAGCUAAUAUCUUGUUCACUCAAAUGGAACCAAAUCACAGACACACGCAAACAGUUGACAUAAGGAUAAUUUACAAUUUCACCUAAGUUUGGUUGAUGUUUAUAUUCAUUCUAUUUUCUUUCGUUCCACGAUAAUUGAUCUAUUUAUAAACAAAAUGUCUGAAAAUAACAUUUCACUUUCAAUUUUCAACUCAUAUUUUUUUUUUAAUGUUUUAUCAAUUAUACCUUAAGUGAUUUUGUAGAUAUCAUAAUUCAAACUUUAUAUUUAUGAUAAUGACAAAUAUUUUGGAAUAGAUCAACACUCAAUCUUAUCACUAAUUACAUCCAACCAAAUGACAUUCGUGUAAGAGAUCAUUCAAGCCUACACCACCAAAAGAAUUAGAGGAAAACAACCUCAUGGCCAAAUCAAGACUCUUUGAUCAUAAUCACACGGUGAUUCAGGAUAAUCGUCACAUUUACAACAAUUAUCUAAAUAUUUUUGGGACUAUAUUCUAUCCAUGAUGCUUAUAUCACAAAAGAUCAUUAAAUGAAAGAUACGCAAUCUAUUUUUAAUUCAACAUCUUGCUUGUCUUAAACUUUAAUUGACUUGAACAUUGAAGUUCUUACAAACGCAAAACCUUUUUUUUUAUCAACUCACACCAACAAUUUCAGACGUCCUCUACAAAAAAAUUUAAGAUCAAUAAUACACUAAUUAUUGAUUCAAGUAAUGUGGUAGAUUUAUAUUUAUUUACUAUGCAUUUUUUAGGGUUCCACCAUAUAUCUACUAAAACAUUAAUAGUAAGAUGUGAGAUCACGUGACAGGGUGACUUGGAUUCAUAACAUUGGUCCAUACAUGCUGUCAAUUUCAACAAAUUAGAUUGAAUCCACAUAUGAAAAAUUUAUUAUAUGGUCGAAAGAGUAUGUGGAUCCCACUAAGAUUUAAUACGAGAUUGGAUAAAGAAAGAAGCAUUGGCCCACAAUUUGGGAAUUAUAAAAAGCAUGAUAAAAGGUUGAAAUUUGGAAGAAGAGCAAAUUGGUUGGAAACACAAUUAGCCACGUUUUAGGGAGGUAGGUCCUACACGUAGAAAGGAGUUGAAGAUAUUAAAAAGAACACGUUUUGCUUUGUUGCUGUGAGGAUUGAUGAACUAGGAACGGGUCUUUUUCUUGCAACUACUUUUCAUGUUUUGGUGUUUAUAAUCUCUAUCCUUAUCCUUGUUGGUUUUUAAUUCAUCAAUGCCUCUUUCCUAGGAUGCUGCUUCUUUUGUUGACCCACGCUUUUAACAACCAACUUUGUAAUUUCCUUUUAACUGUAAUGAAUCUAUCUACCUAGAGAAACUCUUUUGUUAAUUUAUUUCUAUUAGAAAAAAAAUUAAAAUCUAAACUCUAAUUUUCCUUUUAUAGAGUUAGAUAGUAUCUCUAAUAAAAGGUCAAUUUUGUAAAUAUGGAUUAGAUUGAGUGUGUUUGAUUUCAUGGCAAGAAAAGUCAAAAGUGAUCGUAAACAUGUACAGUUGAUUUUGACAUGUUUCAUAAAUAUUUUUAGAAAUUUUAAGAUGGAUUUUUAUUUCAAAUACACCGUUUAAGUCACUCUAAAAAAAAUCAUUUUUACCAAAUCAAUUCAUUUAAAAUCAGUUUUUAUAACCGCAAAACUAAACUAGCAUUAAGUAUAGAGUUUCAUUUCAUUUCAUUCACGUCUUGUUAGUUGUUACUACAGGAUUUAAAUUUUGGACAUUCUUUUUUAGGACUAUUUGGACGUUACUUAACUCACCAACUAAAUUACCAAUAUCUCUAAUUUAGUAACUACCUAUUUUGAAUAAGCUGAAUCAAAGCCAAAAUAAAUUUGCUCAGUUUGGGCUGAAUCCACUAUGGAUAAGUUUGGUUCUCACUUACCACCUUAGACUAUUAUAGAAGCAUUGUUCAUUGAUAGAUAAAUUAAUAUAAUGAGACACACCAGAACCUCAAAUAUCGUUGUUUUUGGGGAAACUUUCUAGAGCAAAACUUUCCAUGGCCUUGGGGACGCUUUUCCUCGUCAUUUUCGAGAAGUUUAAAUGUUUAAUAGAACUUAUAUAGUUCAUGGCUUAGAUUACGUUACAUCCUAAUCCAAGACGCAUUUUUUUAUAUUUAAUUUUUGACGGUAGACGCAUAAUUUUAUUUGAAAGAGACCAAACUUUGUUAAAAAUUAUAAAAUAAAAUAAAAUAAAAAAGUGGAUCUUACUGAACGAAAUCUUACAAGGAUUGGGAUAUAUACGAAGGGAUAAACUCUUGAAUACGCCGCGCUUUCUUCUUCUUUACCAGCAAUAUAUAAUAUUGUACAGUUUUUGACAAUUUCAUUUUGACUCAAAACAUAGUUUAUAUUUCUUGUUUCUUUUAGUGUUUUAAGGGGAUUAUCUUCUAAUAUUCCAUCAAAAAAAGAAGCAGACAAUCUUCUAGUUCUAGUAAAACAAGAAGAUAAUCUUAAAUCCGAUAGUAGCUAAACAUUGUCCGUCAUGUAUAAUGACUGUACUUGAUUCAGAUUAUGAAAUCCAAAAAAGUGUUUGAUGUUGAAGGAUGUUUUUAACGUGUUUUUACACUUUUUGAAUUAUAAUCUGAAAUUUGUAGGGCGCACAAGAAGCUAAUAGGGUGGAAAAAGAAGUUAUCUUUUGAAAUACAUCCAAAUUGAGUACCCAAAAAAAGCCCAUCUAGUUCCAAUGUCAAAGUUCUGGGCCAAAUACCCAAUGAAGAUCGUAGAUUUCAGUUAAUCCAAUCCAAUAAUCACAUGAAAAUUGCUUUUCUCACAUCCAAUGUUUCCUAGAAACACAUGGAAAUGACCAAAAAAAUCCAACGGUAGUUAACCACCGCUGACUUAUAACUAGAAAAUCAGCGGUGGUUAACUACCACUGAAUUUUUUGGUCAUUUCCAUGUGUUUCUAGGAAACAAUGGAUGUCUAAUCAUUUUUGUAAAUAAAAACUCAUUUUUUGUGUUAUCCAAAAGUACACUUCUAAACAAAUUAUGUUUUUUUUUAAAAGAACUUCCGAACAAAUUAUGUUGUUCUAUAUGUAAUUUUUCAGAAAUGUAGAGGUAAAGAAAGUUGCUCCCUAAAAUAAUGUAGUACGUAGAAAAUAAUCUUACAAAUGUGAAAUAUACACAUUAAUCUUUAAUCACUACUCCUUCAUCUAUUUUAAGUGUCAUUUCAGGCUAUGUACACACUUAAGAAAAUAAUUAGUUACUACUAUCAAUGUUGUAGUAAACAAUAUUUAUAUCUAAAGUACCAAUAUUAAUUAGAAUUAUUGAAAGUGGUAACAAUAAUUAGGCGGACUAGUCAUCACUGGAGAAAGAGCCCAGCAACUGCGGCAUUUUCAAGCAUGCAUUAACAAAUGUACUUUAUGCAGUAACAACAAUCUUAGAAAUUGAUUUGCAGACAUUCCUUGAACUCAUUCGAUAUCUUAAAGACCUGGGUGUUGGUGUAAAACCUAAUAGUUUGAAGAGACUCGUAACUCUUUUUAUGCAACAUGUUUUUCAUAUGAAGAUCUUACUAAUAGAGGAUGUGGUAAAUGGUUUUGUCAUGUUUCAAGGAAUUGAGGAAGGUACAAGACGCAAUAACUUUGAGGCUUCAAAUAAGCUCUCUUUUCUUAGCUCAAGCUGUGUUUGCUGAAGCAAUAUCUUCUCUAAAUUUGGAUGAAUUUAACAGUAAGCUGCCACCAAAAUAUAGUGGGAUGGAGACCCUGAUGCUGGUUCAAUCAUUUGCAGCUGGCUAGACAAGCUUCUAUCAAUGAGGAUCCAAUGAAUGAGAAUUAGUUAGUGACGUGUUGAUCAUCUGUGAUUCUAUUAGGGAAUGUAAUCAUAAAGGGGGAGUAGUGGUGAGUGUGUGGGGCAUUCGUUCUGGUUAGUUGGUUAUGAGAGUUUCUCUCUGGUAGGAGUCAUAGGUUCUGUUAGUCUGGUUUAUUUUCUUUUUCUGCUGUAAGAGCACAUCUUGCUCGAUUUCUAUUCAAUAAACAUACUGUUUCUUUAAUGUAUAAUUUGUGGGUUCUAUCAAGGUGUAUGUGUCAUUUUCAAUGGGCUUUUGUGCAAUAAUAAAGAGGGAAAUCCUAAUAUCUUGGUUACAGCCACAAUUUCUUGUGUAACUGAAAAGCUCGUUCUGGUAACAAUCGAGCUCCCAAUUGAUAUAAUGAAAACUGGAAAAAUCUGAGUUUUGUUUUAUUUUAAUUAGUUGAGACCAAAGAGUUUAACCAUGGUAUCCCUAAGACUAGCUGGCAACCAUCUAAUCAACUUACUCAGUCUUCACAGUAAGGGGAAAACACGGAUUAAGAAUUCAACAAAAAAUGGCAGCACCAGGGAAAAACAAUGAGUGGGUAAACAUUCAUACCAAGUAACAAUAAUAGGCUAGCAACAAAAUUCUGUUGUUAAAUCAUGUUACAUAUGUAGCAUUAACAUGUAACAAGGAAAAUUGAGUAGUGAGAAUUGUAUGAUUUGGUUUUUGAAGAAAGAAUCUGCGUUUCUUAGUAUGUAUCCAUGCACCUUUUGGGCUGUCUACUUCACAAAAAGUGAACAAUUGCUCCAACUUAGUCUUGCAGCUGAGAGAAUGAAGUAGAUGUUUGCAUAUCAAAACACUAAACAAGCGUUGUUCAACCAAAUGAAAGUAAUCAAUGCUUCAGAUAUUUCUCGCUAAAUAUGUUUAGUGUUUAGAGUGCGUGCAAUAAUGUCAACAUCUAUAUGUAUGAGUUUACCCAAGUUCAUGUAAUGUACAUGACCCAAAGAUAUGUAAGUGUAAAAAAUAGAUAUUUUCAAAGCUCACCUGAGUCACAAUACUUUAUCCAGUUUGACCUUCAAUAGCUAGGCCCACUGUGAGACCAAUCAUUGCCCAAGCUCCAUUAGUUGCCUCAAUUUGGUGUCUCUUCUACAGUCAAAACCUUAAGUUGGUUAGGUUUAUAGUAAACCGAGGAGCAUAGUUUCAUUAGUGUUAUACUACUCGGUUUCUAGUGUCUAAACUUCACCUCGAGUUUUUCUUUUUCUUUAAUUCUUUCCAUUUGUUUGGCAACCAAUCGCUUGGCUUCGAUAGGAUCAACCAUGAUCACAUCCUUCUUUGAACCAUCCUUUCCUGAAGAUACCUGUAUAAUAUUAAUAUAAAAGAUGUAGAUCUCAUUAAACAUAAAUAAAAAGAAAAUGGCAAAAAGAGAAGGGGAGAUUUAAUAUCAAAGGGGAAUUAAAGAAUACUUUACAAUUUACCCAAGAAAACUUGUAUUUAAUUUAUUAACAAAGUAUAAUAAUAUCCAAAAGAAGUAAGGCUUGGGCAAGAAAAAGUUGUAACUUAUAUAAAUACCAUUCCUUGCAUUAAAUAAAUAAAUAAAUACACUAUGGGUCCUUUAAGUUAUUUUGAUCACACAUAAGUCAUUUAAGUUCGAGAUUUGUAACAGAUUGGUCCUUUAAGUUAUUUUAGUCACACAUAAGUCCUUUAAGUUUGUAAAAGAUUUCAAUUUAGUCUUUAUGUUAACCAAAACGACGAUGUGGCAGAAGGACUAAAUUGAAAACUUUUACAAACUUAAAGGACUUAUGCAUGACCAAAAUAACUUAAAGGACCAAUUUGUUACAACCCUCAAACUUAAAAGGACUUAUGUGUGACUAAAAUAACUUAAACGACCAAUCUAUUACAAACUUGAAACUUAAAGGACUCAUGAUGUAAUUUAACCUAAUUAAUAUAUAGCAAGUUUGCUGGCUCAGAACAGACAAUGCAUUGAUUUCAAGAAUGAACAGUUGAGGCUAAAGUUUAAAAAUACUAUUUCAUCGGAAGAUAACACCCUUUAUUUUCAGCAACAAAGCUAGGUUUCAAUAAUUAGAAUGCAACUAAUAAUGAGAGGUAAUUUUAUUGAAUCACAUUGAGACAUUUAGAUAUUAUUAAGAAAGUCAGAUAUAUUGAGAAAAACCCAAGUCCAACAUCGGAUAGAUAAGACUUUUGAUAAUAGUUUAUAAAGAGGAGACACUCCUCACCUUAUGAACCGGUUUUGUAAGGAUGAGUUAGACCACAAAUUUCAACAAGAUAUUCUCACAUUACUGUGUUAUGAUUUCCCAAUCUUAUAAUUCCAGAUUUUUAUAACUCCAGAUUUCUAUAACUAUAACUCCAGAUUUCCCAAUCUUAUAAUUUGUUACUGUGUUAUGAUUUUCUACCUCUUUCAUAUCCUGUUAGGUUCCUCUUAAGGACAAUUUUUUCUUUCUAUGUAUCUUUUGCUAUCUAUAUCAAGUCAAAGCAAUAUGUAGUGAAAAGGAGGAAGAGUGAACUGAACUUACUUGGCGAUGGUUAGAAAAGAGUGAUUAGUAUGAAAGGAAGCGAAUUGAGCAUUGGUUAGGGGAAUAAUGGAUGAAGAAGAAGCCAUUGCUCACACCCUGUGAUCUUUGCUUUAUCCUUUCCCAAUUACUAUUUUUUAUUUUAUUUUGAAAUUAAAACAUAUUUGAUAUUUUAAAAAGGAAAGUGAAAGCUUACCCCUCAUUUGAGUCCCACAAAAUACUCAAUUUACACACAAAAUACGCAUAAGUGAAAAAAUUGGGGUUUAAAGCCGUGUCAUUGUAUUCGAUCUAACAAUUUUUAAAAUGUUUAUGAGAUAGAACUUCUGGAAUACAUAGAUAACUACCUCACGUUUAGUUCCAAAAAAAAAAAAAACUACAUCAUUUUAAUUUAAUCCAUAAAUUAUAUAAAUAAAAAUAAUCCUUAAAUUAUAUGAAAUUUGUAAAUUUAUUUUCUAAAAUAUAUAAAAUUUGUCAAUUUAGUAUCUAUCAAUCUAAUAUCAUUUUAAAAAGAGAUUAAAUUAACGAAUUUUAUAUGCUUCGAGGAUAUCCAAUAGUUUUUACGUAACCUAAAACAAAAGCAAUUUCUUAUUCCCCUUUAACAAAAACAAUUUCGUCCUCUCGUGAGCUUAACUCAGUUGUUGGACAAUGUAUAAAAAUAUGUAAGGUUCUGGGUUCAAACUCCGGCCACUACAAAAAAAAACAAAAACAAUUUCUUAUUCAAGAAGAUACAAAAACUAUUUAACACUUAAAAUCCUUCAAAAGUUACACUGGUUAAAGAGGGCAAAAUGCACGGGUGCGGUUAUGAUGCAUAAGGAAAUCUUUAUGCACUCUGCAUAAAUCUAGAAAUGGUUUUGGAGUACAACUCACGAAAACCAUUUUUAUAGCAAAAUGGUUUUGGCAUAAUUUUAUGCAGGGUGCUGGAAACCAUUAAGUAUAUCUAAUGGUUUUGGAGUACAACUCACAGAAACCAUUUCUGGAUUUAUGCAGGGUGCAUAAGGAUUUCCUUAUGCACCAUAACCGCGCCCAAAAUGCACUACGCUAGGGUAAUUUCUUGGUAACUAGUAAUUUCGCUCGAACGCAAUCACUUUUUCUUAUUUGAAUUUUAGAUUUCUGCUUGCGCUUGCUUUAUCCAUGGCAACAGACCUUUCUGCAAUUCGUAUUGUUGUCGCCGGCGACAAGGAACCGGCAAGUCUAGUCUAAUCACUACUUUUGCCACCGGAAAUCCUGUUAAGGAUGUGCCGCCGGUACUCUUAUCCACCCGACUGCCUAAACAUCUGUCUCCGGAUGGCGUACGAAUCACAAUCAUCGACACCUCUUCCCGGUAUCAAAACAUCUGUGUUUUAUUUUUACAUUUUUUUAUCAAAAUAUGUAUAGCUUGAGGAUCAAGAAACCUUUUAGGAUUUAUUUGUAUUGAUAUUUCACUUUAUUUUGUUGUUGUUGCUGUAGUCCUGAGGACUGUUUUAAAGUUGGUGAACAACUAAGACGAGCUGAUGCAAUUGUUCUCACAUAUACAUGUGAUCGGCAAGAGACACUUGAAAGACUGAGUUCAUUUUGGCUCCCGCGUCUUCGCGAUUUAGGGGUUCUGUUCUCUCCUCUUUUUUCCAUCUACACUUUGUUACUAUUGUACACUGCAUUUGCAUUGAGAAAAUGUUUGCAUGAUAUAGUUAUAUACUUAUAUGGACUUAAUGAACAGGUAAACGUUCCGGUUAUAGUCGCUGCCUGCAAGCUUGACUUACAACAUGAUAAUCAAGAGGAGAGCUUAGAAGACGUUGAAAUCACUAUUCGUUGUUCAGCAUAUACAACUAUGGGGGUAUAUAUAUAUCCUUCAUAUUAUUACAAUCAACAACUUCAUUGUUUUCAAAUAUUAUUAUUAAAAAAGUAUUUCACUUUACUUUUCUUAUUGAAGGUCGCUGAUGUUUUCACCUUUGCACAAUAUUCUGUCAAUUGUCCUUUGGGUCCGUUAUAUUGUCGAAAUUCCAAGACUCUCAAACCUCGAUUUGUCCGGGCUUUAAAGCGGAUUUUUAUUCACUGUGACCUUGACAGAGAUGGCGCACUUGGUGAUACUGAACUGAAUGAUUUCCAGGUUUUACUUUUUCCUUCUCAUUUAAACAUCAAAAUUGUGGCUCAUUUAUUAUCUGAAUGUUAUAUAGCUUAAUUAUAAGAUUAUUUCACUGUAGGUUAACUUGAAACAUCUAACAAAACUAUUUACAGGUUAAAUAUGUCAAAGAUCCGGUGCCAGAAACUAGAAUUGCGAAUCUAAUGAGAUUUUUGCGAGACAGAUUCCCGGAAGGUAUGAAUGAACGUGGACUUACUUUCACAGGAUUUCAAUCUCUCCAUGCUGAUUUCAUGAAAAUUUUGUUUCGUGAGAUACCAUGGACUAUGCUUAAAAGGUUUGGAUAUAAUGAUGAUAUCAAACUUGCUGAUCAUCUAAUUCCGGAUUUGAAACGUGCUCCUGAUCAGGUGUUUCUUUUGAUAUGAAAUGUGGCCUUGUGUAUAUUUUGUUCUUUAUUUCUUUAUUAGACCAGUUUGAGAUCAAUUUUUUUACAACAUGAAACUUUCAAUGUAUUCUAAUCAAGAUUUGAUUUAACGUCUACAGAGCAUCGAGUUGACAAAUGAAUCUCUUGAUUUCUUGAAGAAAAUAUUUGUUGCGUUUGAUAUUAAUUCUGUAUGUCAGCCGCUCACACGUUCUUUAAUAUUUUCACUUUUUAAUGCUUCUCAUUAGUGAUUUUCAGACAUUAUCUCAACCGGAUUUAUUGUAAUAUACAAAUUGAAAUUUAAUCACAUUUUUUCACUCCUUCAGGAUGGGUAUUUGCAACCUGAAGAACUUAAAGAAUUGUUUUCUACUGCCCCGGAAAGGUAGAUUGCUUUCUCACAUUUUUUGCUAUACUUAUUUUCACUUUAUUAUCAUCCAUUUCAUGCUUGAUUAAUUUGCAUUGGUUUCUUCUUUAAUUGAUAAUGGGGCAGUUUGAUCUGGAAUGGUUCCUAUGUCCUUUGUUGUGUAAUUUUUCAAACGUGCACAUUCUAUAAGGAUCUGGUUUAUACUUUGAACUAUGAAUUGUUUUUUAUAUGUAUGCCUUUCCCAAGUAGGGAUUUCAAUGUUGACUUUUGCCGAUGUUAUUUAAUAUUUUAUGACUGUUAAUUUCAGUCCUUGGAUCGGAGCUCCCUACGAGGAUGCUGCAGAUGAGAGCGCAUUUAGAGGACUAUCACUUGAUGCAUUUUUGUCAAAGGUGCUCGAGUUUUUUUCCUUAGUCUCUAUUCCCUCUUCCUCGCAUUUUGUUGAACAAUGUGUGUACGGUUGCUGGACUUCUCUUCAGAGUUUUAUCAAUCAAUUAAUUUGAUAAGUGGUUUAAAUUUGCCUCAGUUUUAUAUCAUGUUUUGACACAUGUCUAGUUUGUGUAUCUUUUAAGUGCGCUUAACAUUUUAUCUGCAAUAUUGCCACGAAUUAUCAUUGAUCUUUUAACACAUACUAUAUGGUUUCUGUACAGUGGGCCCUGAUGACACUUUUAGAGCCAACUUUUAGUGUAAAGAAUCUGAUUUAUAUUGGUUUCCCUGGCGAUCCAUCAACUGCUAUUCGUGUGAUUAGGAGCCGAAGUUUAGAUCGCAAAAUGCAACACUCGGAACGAAAUGUAUUCCAGUGCUUUGUUUUUGGGCCUAGGGGGGCUGGAAAAUCUGCACUGUUGAAAUCUUUUAUUCGAUGGUAUUUUCAUUAUGUUACGUCGAAGCUUUCUGCUACAUAGAUACUAUACUUUAAUUAUCAAGUAUCACAACUUAUUGUUGUUAAAUUCAUAAUGCAGGCCAUAUCUUGAAAUUUAUGAUCCAACUAACGAGGAUCGUUAUGUUGUAAAUGUUGUUGAUAAUUCUAUGGUAAAUGAUACAUGAUCGACAUAUGGCCCGUUUCUUCAUUUGAUAUAUUUAUUUUUCAUAUCUUGCAUUUCUUUCUUCAUGCUCGUGUUUUAUCAUUUUGUUUGCAGGGAAACAAGAAAUAUCUUGUGCUGAGAGAAAUUCCUGAAGAUGGAGUUAGAGAGCUGCUGGCGAAUAAUAAGUCUUUGGCCUCUUGUGACGUUGCAGUUUUCGUUCAUGACAGGUGAAAAAUGAUAUUUAAGUGUUCAUUACGCCAAUAUAACAUAGAAAUUAUGGAUUGCCUUUGUUACAUAGGUAUUUUGUAGAGUACUUGGGUCAUAUAUUUGGUCAUGUUAUAAAUGGUUUAAUUUACUGUUCUCCCAAAAGACCCAAAAUGAGAUAAGAAGCAUAAACCAAACUAUUUUCCUCAAGAGAAACCCAACAUCCAUCUUUUUUGUCUGUUUGUUGUUACUAUUCUAAUAUUUUCACCAUUAAAUUACUUGAUGGUGUUUAUAGGACUUGGCGAAAUUACAACUCUAUCAUUGAAUUCAAGUAUUGAUUAGUUUUGUGUAGUCUGUUUGGCUAUUUUAGCUGACAGACAACAUUUUAAAUUUUUAAUCUUCGUUCUAAUAUAUACAAGUCACUAUGAGUUUGCAUGGUAUUCAUUAAAAAACACAUCAAAUUUACUUCGCUUCCAACGCAUCUAUGAACUUCCAAGUUAUACAUAAUUUCAUGUUCUUUUGGUGUCUACUGUGGACAACUCAUAUUAAGUACAUGAGAAAAUGUUGGCUGUAUAUAUCUUACUAAAUAUUCCUCAUGGAGGUCAUCAUCUGAACUCCUUGUAGAAAUUGCUCGUCACGGAGAAGAUAAUGGCUUUGAGGUGCCUUGCCUUAUAGUUGCAGCUAAAGAUGAACAGGAUUCAUUUCCAAUGGCUACACAAGAGUUAACUAGGGUAUUUUUCAUGGACUUAUUCAUUUGGAUGAUAUAUGAUUGCAUUAUCAUAUUGCUGUAGAUAAUUGUUUGAUGGUUAAAUAAAUAGCUAUUUAAUGUGGUGAAUGUGACUCGUCUUGUUAUUAUGAUUUCAUUCAAAAACUUUAUGAAUACCAACAUUUAGCAUUUUAGUUUGUGUGAAUUACUUUAAUUAUAUUCAAGUUGAAAUUUGAUUAAGGUGAUUGAAUGCCAGCUUAAUUGUCAUUGUUUCAGUUUGUGUCCUUUUCUUGUACAUUUACCUUUUACUGGAUUUUUAUUUUGUCAUCUUUAAUUGUUUCUACUGAGAGAUUGGUUUAAGUCAUCAAUUCAAUUUCCCACACUAGUGAGUUAAAUGCCUGGCAGUACAAAUUGUUUACCCAUCAAUAUCUAGCUUCCAUAGCUAUGAUUGAUUUGUUAAGCUUUAUAAUUAUUCAGUUUCAACUUUCAACUCUUAUCACAACAUUUUCACUUUCAAGUGUAAUAACAGAUUGUCAGGAAAAUAAUAUUGUAUUCUGUUGUCUUCCUUUGUGGCGUUGUAGCAUAUAUAAUCAUAUUACAUAUGUGCUUGAUGCUUAGAAUUUUCUAGCAACUACAAUAAUGCUUCUGACAUGCCAAUGUAUAUCGUAGGUUAGUCGGGACUUGGGAGUAGAGGCUCCUAUACCAAUCAGUGUGAUGUUAGGAAGUCUCAACGGUCUAUUCCGCCGAAUUGUAACUGCUGCUGACACCCUCAUCUAAAAUCGGAAAAAGCCGUAGGCAGGACCAUCAUUUAAUCAUUCCUGAAACUUAGCCGUGCCCUCCUUUAAGCAUUCCUGUUACUGAAGCUGGAAAUAGCUGCAAGCUGUAUGACAGGCUCAUAAACGAUCCUCUUCUGUUUGUUUCAGGUAUAUUGGUUGUAAGGUUGAUUUGUUGGUUUUUCAUCAAGUUCCCUUUGACUUGUGCCAACUAGAAUAAGCAUGUUAACUUGUUUGAUUUUUGGUUGGUGUGACUUGUAUGUUGGUUCAUGUAUCAUGUAUCUUUUGGUUGCAUUAAUUGUUGAUAUUCCGAAGCGUUCUCUAUUGUAUCUUUUGUUUUAGGCUGUUUCUGUUAGACACUUAGACUUUACCAAGUCUUCUGUUUCCAUGCUUCACCUAUUUUUUGUUUCAUGCCCUUCUAAUUUGUGGAGUGACAAGGUGGAUAGACGGUUUGGGGGAGAAAAAUUAUUAAUUACUUUUUAUUUUCUUUCCAAUUUUUGAACACAUUACUGAUAACUGGUUAUUACUAACAUUUGCAAUGAAAGAGAAGUGUAAUUGAGUUUAGGACGACAAUUUUGUGAACAAUUUGACAUGCCAUUUUAUGCCUAUAUAAUUUUUGCUUCGAUGUUUAUUGCAGCUGCAGCGGUGGUCGUUGGAGUGACUCUAUUUUCUGCAAGGAACAAUGCGCAGGUUUUGUGAAUGAGUGGAGUGGGUAUAACAGUAAAACAUACCCUUAUACAUGUUGUUUGGGGGUUGAAAUAUGUUGCUGCUGCAUGAUGUCGAGAUGGUUCUUUAGUCUUUGGUGUAGUGAGGGUCAAGCAAUUCUUUGCCUUUUGGUUUUUUGUGCUGAUUAUAUCGUUUUUAGACAAAUUGACAUUCCUUGUGCCAUUGUCUUUUAUUAUUGAAACGUUUAGUUACUUUUCCAAAAAAUUCAGUAAUCACUGAUCACACUUAAGAACCACUCACAAUAUGGUUCUGUCAGGAUCUUUAUUUGGCAAUUCAAUGGAAUAUCGUCAUUCACAAUGACUUAAACGAUGACAUAUUCUCAAUCAUUGGUACAAAUUGAUGAAAAAACCAGAUCAGAAACUGAUGGUGUCCAAACUUAUGAAAUAACAAAUUAGUCUUUUAAAUUAAGGAACAACAAAAAUUUUGUUUCUCAAUCAAAAUAUUUAUUUGGUUAACAUAACGAAAGUGAGUGUUAGAGAGAGUGUUGGAAAGUGAGUGUUGCUAGCAUUCCUCUUAACCGGAAUAAUCUCUUGUAGAUAGAUAAGCAUAAAACCUUUAAAAUUGAUGAUCUAAAUUUAGAAGAAAAAAAUGACUAAAUUAACACUCAUUAUUCAAUUUAAGGGAUUAAAUUACUAUUUUGUAUAUUUGAACGACUAAAUCGACCGGCCCUUAAUAGGAAGUAGGAACUCAUCCAUUACCAUACCAGCAUACCUACAAACGAAUAAUAUACAACCUUUCCUUAUUUAAACAAACACCAGACCCUUAUUUGUUGGAGAAAUUGUACUCAAAUCUCCUUGGUGAUGCUAAAAUGACACACACUUUUCUAUUUUGUAAAAAUAUACGAGAGAUAACACACUGGAAGACGGAGUGAGUAAAGUUUUCCCCAAAAAAUAUCAGAUUCUCUAUUCUAUGGACUUCUGUGAAUUAAGAAGGGGGGAUGAUCCUAAUAUCUCAGUUACAGCCACUGUUUCUUUUGGUAUCAACUAAGUUUGCAAUUGAUAUAAAGAAAACUGGAAACACCCGAGUUUUGUUAUAUUUUAAUUAGUUGAGACCUUGCAACCAUCUAAUCAACUUAGUCCGUCUUCACAGUACGGGGAAAGCAUGCGUUACUAAUUCAAAAAUAAAUGCCACCACCUCGGAAAAACAAUGAGUGGGUAAAGAUCCAUAUCAAGCAACAGCAAUUGGCUACCAGUACAAUUCUUUUGUAAAAUCAUGUUACAUAUGUGGCAUUAAUAGGUAACAAGGAAAAAGUAAGUAGUGUAAAUUGUAUGGUUUGGUGUUAAGAAAAAACCUUAUCAGUAAACCUUUAACAGAUAUAUUCACAAAGAAUGUGAGAAAGAAUCUGCAUUUCUUAGUAUGUGUCCAUGCUCCUUUUCGGCUGUCUACUUCACAAGUAUGUGUCCAUGCUCCUUUUCGGCUGUCUACUUCACAAAAAAGUGAACAAUUGCUCCAAAGUAGUCUUGCAGCUGAGACAAUGAAGUAGAUGUUUGCCCAUCAAAACAUUAUAGAGGAAUUGUUCAACCAAAUAAUGGAAGUAAUGAAAGUGAUCAAUGCAUCAGAUAUUUCUCAUUAAAUAUGUUUGGUGUGUGCUGUGUGCAUGUAAUAAUGCCAACAUAUGUCGGACCAGGAUUGACUGCAGUCACACAAUCUUCUAGCAAUUGGAUGUGCUACCGUUAUUUCAUGGCCCUUGGUUUACUUUAAUAAAAAAAAUUAGAAAAAAUACAGGUUGAGAGAGAUAGAGAGAGAUGACCGCAGGGAAUCUGUUUCCACAUAUGUCUGUAUGAGUUUAUCUCAGUUCAUGUUAUGUAUUGUCCUAAGUACAUGUAAAUAAAAAAAGUAUAUCCAAUGUUCACCUGGGUAAUGAUAUUUUUUCCAGUUUGACCUUCAAUAACUAGACCCGCUGUUAGGCCAAUCAUUGCCCAAGCUCCAUUAAUUGCCUCAAUUUGGCGUCUUUUCUGCAAUCACAACAUAAAGUCGGUAAGUUUAUAGUAAACUGAGGAGCAUGGUUUCAUUGUGUUAUACUACUCAGUUUUCUACUGUCUUUCACCUUAAGUUUUUCUUUUGCUUUAAUUAUCUCCAUUUGUUUGGCAGCCAAUCGCUUGGCUUCCACAGGAUCAACCAUGAUUACAUCCUUUUUUGAACCAUCCUUUCCAGAAGAUACCUGUAUAAUUAUAUGUCGAUCUCAUUAAACAUAAAUGAAAAGAAAACCGCAAAAGGGAAGAGGAAUGAAAUAAUUUAUUUUGUCAUAGAAAAGUAGAAGGAAGCAACAAAGCUGGGUUUUAAUUAUUAGAUUCAACUGAUAAUGAUAAAUUGAUAAUUAAAUUUAUUGAAUUACAUUGAUAGAGACACAAAUAUUACAAGAAAGUCAUUCUCACAUUAAGUAAUCGGUAUUUUAAAAUAGCUAAAGCCUAUAAGUCUAUAAUUCCCACUGAUUUUCCAACUUUGUCAUUGCUUACUAUGUUAUGAUUUUUUCCCUUUUCCAUAUCCUGUUAUCCUCUUAAAUUUUGAACCUACCACUUCUCUCCUGUACAUUUGUAUUUUUGUGCAAGUAAAUAUGUUGACUAUAGCAUAGAAUCACAGGAAGUAGAAACUAGAACAUAUAUGAAGUAUUGAAAUGUAUAAAAGCAACACAAGUAAAGAACCAUUUGAGAUCAUAACUAUAUACUUGAGAAACAACCAAUCUGAAAUAAAAGAUCAAUUAUUUUCAACCAACAACACACACACACACACACACACACACACACACACACACACACACUAGGAAGUGUUCAAUUAAUGCAUACAUUGGGAUUAGCAAGGACUCGAAAUGCUUGACUCUGGGUUCUAUUGGAAGCCAUGCUUGCGUCUUGCUCUCUUCUCCAUCCCCACCUAAAACAAUAAGGUUAAUCUCAUUAGUUAGCAAUAACAAAACAGCGUCCUUACCCUACAGGUUUGCCAUGCCGAUUCUUAUUCAAGCAGAUAAAGUCCAACAACUAUCAGUUAGAUUCUUCCUAAGGUCAAAUUUUUAUCCUCAGGGUGGUUUGUUAUUUAUUUUUGUCGAGUCAAAGCAAUGUCGUUUACUACUAUAAUGUUUAUAACAUCCAAAAAGUAACAGACGCUGGAAUUCCUAAAGCAACCCUGCUAAUUUUCUCAAAUUGAUCUGCAAUUUUCAUUGAUUUCUUGAUUGAAAUGAAUCAUUGUCUCAGAACAACUGUUGUUCAGGUAUGUCAAUGAUGAAUACUGUUUUUCAAUCAUUUUAAUUCCAGGGCAAAGUUGCAUAAAUUCUAAUUCCUAAAACUUACAAAUCUAUUCAUUUUUAGUUUGCCUUAAAAAAUAGAUAGACAAUGAUAAUGAUAAGAAUAACACCAGAUACUACACCCCAGAAGCUUCUAUUUCCAAAUUUUUAUUUCUAAAGCUUCAAUUUAACAUUCAUUUCAUGUGCUUUCACAACAACAAUAAAAAACAUGAAGAAAGAAGUGAAAGGGGAGAGUGAAAUAAUUACUUGGCGGUGGUCGGAAAAGAGUGGUGGGUAUGAUGAAAGGAAGGGAAUUGAGCGUUGGAUAGAGGAAGAAUGGUUGAAGAAGCCAUUGCUCACACCUUCGCUUUAUCCUUUCCCAAUUUCUUUUCUCACUUUCCAACUAACAUUACUACUACUUGUUUUUUAUUUUUAUUUUAUUUUCAAUUUAAAAAAACAUGGAAUUUCAAAUUUUGUCAUACUCAACUUUUCAACAAUUAGCAACAUACUUCUUUCAAAACAAAAAUAUAUUACUUCGAAUUUUGUUUAACAAUUGUUUUUUGAGUUUUUCUAUUUCCACCCCAUGUUUUUCUGGUUACACCCAAAUUUUUUUUAAAAAAAUUUAUAAUAUCAAAAUUGCCCUUUUAUAUAAAUUUUCUUAAAACUUUAAUUUUAUUCAUUGUCAGUGAGUUUUACCCUCUUUCACCCCAUAAAGCGAUCGAUCAAACAAUUUGAUGUUCAAUAUCAAUCUCUAUGAAAAUUAAAGAGUGAAUCAAAAUAUUUUUCAUCCAUACUCAAUUGGAUAUAAGUAAGUGAAUUUCUUCUUCUAUUUGCUAGUUUCAAUUUUUUUUCCUUCACCUGCACUGAUGCACUGUACGAUUACGGUUUUAAUUUACAUUGGCAAGGUUAACUUAAAUUCAGUUUAAGUAGGUUCAUGUAAACUAAGUUUACAUGAACCUACUUAAACUGAGUUUACAUGAACCUACUUAAAUUGAGUUAACAUGAACCUACUUAAACUGAGUUUACAUGAACAUAUUUAAACUGAGUUUACAUGAACAUAUUUAAACUGAGUUUACAUGAACAUACUUAAAUUGAGUUUACAUGAACCUACUUAAACUGAGUUUACAAAAUCGCAGAACUGUGAAUCGCAGAACAAGGAAAACACAAAAUCAGAACUGAGAACCCAUAACAAGAAAAACACAAUCGAUUGAAGAACAACACUUGCUAACCUGAUUUGCUUCGAAUUUUCUUUGAAAUCAUGAAUGGACGUGAGAAAGUAUGGUUUUGAAAAUCUUCGCAGAACACAAUCGAUCGGUUGGAGAAUUAUGGUUUUGGAAGAAGGGUUUUGGGGUGUAACCAAAAAAGAAGGAAUGGGCUUUUUGAAAAUCAAAUUUUAUGAAAGGGUAAUCUUGUCAUUUUGGGGUGCAACCAUGAUUAACUAGGGUGCAAGUAGAAAAACUCUUGUUUUUUUUCAUUUGAACAAAACAAUUAAUAAUGUAUUAUGAAUGAUGAUAUUUCAACAAUCAUUUUGUAACAGUUUUUAGAACAAUUUUCAUACGAAUAUCAUUUUUCUCAUGUAUUAUUCUAUAAAAUAUGUAUCUCUAGAGUAAGUAAUUUAUGUAACCAAAAAAAAAAAUAAGUAGGUAAUUUAAUUGCAAUUUUAACAUCUCUUACAAUUCCCUUUUAACUCAAAAAGAAUUGAAUUCAUUUUUUGUGUGCCUCAAAACCGUGUAUAACUAGAUCAGGUAGGAUUAAAUUUAUUUUCAAGUCAUUCAAAAUCGAAUCGAAUCGGAUAUUUUUUUUUAUCAACUGUACAUUGCUUCUAACUUUGGUUCAAAUGAUCUUUUGUGUGCCUCAAAACUGAUUUAAAUUGCACCAUAAACACUCUACCUACUAACCAAGGUUAGGUUCCGUUUGGAUUGGCUUAUUUUAAGCUUAUGUGGGCUUAUAUACUCUCAUAAGCCUUUUUAAAGGUGUUUGGGUAAAUAAAUAAAAAUAGCUUAUCAUAGUUUUAUAAGCUGCUUAUGUCAUAUUUCAAUAAGCCUAAAUUUUCAACUUACCCUCCGGCUUAACAAGGAGCUUAUGAAUUUAUGCAACCUCCUUCGAUUCUCUCUGGAUCCACUUUUUCAAAACAUAUAUUUUAAUUAUAAUGUUAGUUAUCUUUGACGGUGCAUGAGUAACAAAAUUGUUAUAUACUUAUCUUACUAAAGUAACACACGUAACUGAGAUUUUACUAUUAUUUUUUUAAGGAAGUUUUUUAUUAUUUUUUUGUUACGUAACAGAAUGAAACUGAAUAAAAAAACAAACUUAACUUAAUAACUUUUUUAAGGGCGAAUAUUGAUUAUACUAUAUAUAUAACUUUAUUGAUUAUACUAUAUAUAUAUAUAUAUAUAUAUAUAUAUAUAUAUAUAUAUAUAUAUAUAUAUAAUUAAUAUAUUAUAAUAUUGUUUUUUACAUCUUGAUUAAUUUUAUCAAAAAAAGUCAUGAUAAUUGUGGUUCGAUUCUCUGAUUUUUUUGUUAAAUUAAAAAUAUUUAAAAUUUUGAUAAUUGCUUAUGCAAUGUCACAUCCAAACACUUCAAUUUAUGUAAGUACUUUUUAGUGUACAUAUCCAAACAUAAAUAGUUUAUCAAGUAUAAGAGCUUAUGAUGUAAGCUCUAAUAUUAUAAGCUCUAAUGCUAUAAGCAUCUAUAUAAGUUGUUUGGAGUCUAAGUAUAGCAGAAUGAACUAGUUUUUAUACAACGUAAUAAAUCAAUGUUCAACUCUUAAUUGAAAGCGGUGUCACCUUUGUAUUCCAAUUUAUAGUGAAUGAUUUUAAAUAGAUUUUUAAUUAUCGCAUCCUAAUGUAAGGUUAUGUAAGAAACUUAAAUUUACAGUGGUGUAUUUACGGUGAAAACAAUGGAUCUGGAUCCUCUCCAAUUUGUUCUCUCCAGCAGUCCAUCCUGCGCCAAUAUAAGUCUUUGGAUUAAUCUGAAGACAAAAGGGAGAAAUAAUAAUUUAUAAUAAAAAAAUCUGCAUUAAAUUAAAUCAGAUAAACUGUGUUCAUCGUAUUUUUCCUUGUAUUCACAAAACCGUGAUUCGGGUUUAGGUCAAGGUUAAAAAAGGCAUUAGAUUUUAUUUUAUUAGAUUCAUUUUUUUAAUGAAUUUAAUAACUUAUUCAUUCCGUGUUCCCUUCAAUAAAAUAAAAAAAAAUAUUCAUUCUGCGUUAACAUAUUUAAUAUGGUCAUGCAAUCAUAUUUUACCGUCUUGUUGUAUUUUCUUCUCACCGCACCACCACUUUUCCGCCACCUAAGUCCCAAUCAAACCCGUUUUUGGAACUACGCCCAUGUUACGAAAAUUCUGCUCGACGACAACAUUGAAAGCAUGAAACAAAAGGAUCGUGAUGAGAUUGGUCGUGGAACAACGUCGUGACGGCGAUGUCUGGCCGCAUCUCCUCCGGUCGUUGUCCUUAUUCAAUCAAUUGGAAAGUAUAUUGUGAAGAUGAAUUUCAUUUUGUUUGUAUUUAGAUUGAUUUAAUUUUGUUUUACACAAAGUGAUUGAAAUUACAAACUUUAUACAUUGUGAAGUCCAUGGCCCCAUAAUGGUAAGAUUAGUUUGUUCCAUGUGAAAGGGUAUGAAAGAGGUCGAUCGAUAAUCCUUGCUCAAUUUUCUCCUUUGAGUUGCAGUGACUUGGACUGAUUUUUCAUAAGUGAAGAAGAGGAUGUGUUGCACAUUAGAAAAAAAAAUAACGAGAUACAUCUUUCUCUCUCCAUUAAUUGCCAUUUUCCCCCUUUUUUUGUGUGAACCGUUGGAGGAGAGAGGGCAGUAGACAAACAGCAGGAGGGGAUCCAAUUCCGAAAACACUAGUACUACUUCUUAACUGUGUACUAUUUGUGUAUAGAAGCGGGACUUGGUUCAGCUCAAACACUUUCAACAACUUAAACUAUGUUCACCAAAAAUUUCACUUCUCAACUUCCCUUCUACGAUAUCUAAAGUACAAGUAUUUCUUGUGUCUUUACGUGACAUAAAAGCCUAAAUUAACACAAACAAAACUAAAUAAAUGUACAAAAGUAUAAUUUCAUUUAAGGCAAAAGAUCAUGUUAGUUAUCCCACAUUCUCAUUGUUAGUGUGACCAAAAAAAGCAACUAGCUAGGAAGGUGUUUAAUUUACUAUUGACUUAAAAUUAAAUCUACAACUUAAACAAACCAAAAAAAGAAACAAAGAAAAACAAAAAAUAUUACAAUAUCACAAUACAGAGAGUUGGGUUUCUUGAUCUUCAUCAUCUACUUGAUGAAAUUCCUUAAUUGGAUGCCGUUUUCUACAUUCACUGUAAUAAACCGUCAUUAUGACGUAACUCAAAAGCACCACAAAUCCAUAACAAACUAUCACAUACACUUUCUCUUCAAAACCCAUCGACGAAUCCUCACCGUCCAUAGAUUUCUCUAUCCUCCACCUGAUCAAACUCGAAACCCACACAAAUAAACCCGAAAGAACAAACCCACAAACCCGGUUUCCCUCCAUCAAAUCGGAUCCGGUUUUUAUUGCUUCCCACCCGAAUCUCUCUUCCGCCACGGAAACCACCAAUCCGACGCUCAACACCGCCAUCAAGUAAACUUCGAGACCCGACCUGAAUAUGAGAACAAGGAGAUGCGAUCCAGUGAGUGCGUUGAGGAAGAACGGCAAGGAUGAAAAAACGAAGAGAGUGAAGUAUACGAAGAUCGACGUUACGAAAACACGCAUGAUGUUGGGUUUAAGGGAUGCGACGGCGGAGUUAACGGUGGGGGUAGGGAUGAGAGAGGAGUGAACGGCGGCGAGGGUGGCGAUGAGAGAGAAAACAUAAGCAGGGAAAGAGAAAAGGGCUUUGAUACGGAUGAGGAAAACAGCGUUGUCACGAGAUUCGUGCCAAACGUGACGAGCUUCGAAAUGGGUGGAAGCGAAGUGAGCGAGGGCUUCAAGGUGGCGGAUUUGGGAGGUGAGUUGGUGGGUGAAGAUGGAUUGGUAGAUUGAGAGGAUGGAGAGAGGGAGGGUUGUGAGGAGGAAGAUGGUUGUGAAAAGGAAUUUGUUUGUGGUUAGGAUUUGGAGAGAGUUGAAUAGGAUUUUGAAUGGGGUGAAGCAACGCCAUACAGCGCCGGCAUCGCACAUCUCUUACUGGCUACUGUCGGUGGAUCAUGGAGGAGGAAGAUGAUGAUGGUUUUAGGUUUCCUUCUUGGUUAGGACUGAGGAAGGUCGCGACCAAGUGGGGGUGGGGAAAAUGAUAAUUAAAUAAUAAAUAAUUAUAAAAAAAGAUGAUUUUAGGUUCCACUCUCUUUUCAUUUUUUGGGGUUUUAAUUUAUUAAAGCUGUUUUUUUUUUAAGCAAUUAAUUAUAAUUAGUUCAAGUUUUUUUUUUUUUUUUUUUUUACAAGAAAUAAUUAGUUGAAGUUAUCAAAGACAAAUACUAUAUUUUUCGUUCAAAUACAAAUAUGAUAUGAACCAUGCAUAAUAUAUGUAAGGUCUUUGAACCCGACACAAAAAAAAAAAAAAAAAUCUGUUCAAAAAUAUAUAUAAAUUAAAAUAAAUAUAUUAUUUUUUUGAAAAGAAAAAAAAAAAUCUAUACUCACAAAAUUUGUAUCAAAAGUUAAGUUAAUAUUGUGAACUAAAUUGGAACUAAAGUGGGUAAAGGGUCAAAAACUAUUGAAUCGAAAACUCCUUCAAAUUUUUAAUUAACUUAACUUUAGUUCUAAAAUGUGAAAAACUAUUGGGUCGAGGAAUGCUAGGACAGUUGGUCACACACUCUCUUAAGUGUAUGGUUCCACGUGUCCCUCCUUUUCAAUUUUUAUUUGCUAACCGGUUCAGCAGGUAGAGAUAUUUUUCAAACACUGUUUUUUUUUUUUUUUUUUUUUUUUUUAAUUCCUUAUUGUUUUUACACUUAUCAUUGUUGUGAAUCCAACUCCCCCGUCGUCUUCCUCGCCGUAUGCGGUACCCGGCGGUGGUUGUUUUCAGAUGAAGUAAAAACCUCUAAUGGUUAUUUGAUAUUUGGACUGGAAGCCAAGUGAACAUAUUUUUCCACUGUUUGGUCAAAUUCUUGUGUGCGGCGGAGUCCACUUGACCACCAUUGUAGAUUUCAUCCUCCCGCAACUGCAACCCAGAAAAUUUUGAGUGAUUCAGUGUUUUUUUUUAUGCAAUGUUUGAAUGUCAGCUAAUAUUUCAAUAGAAAAUCGAUUGAAUGCUUUGAUUUAUACAAUUAAUAAUUGAAGAUUUGAACAUAGGUAGUUGUGUAAGCUUUUCUCCAUGCAGGAUUAAAUAUUGAGACUUGUAUAUGGCAGUGGCGGUCCGUUUGCAGAGAUGGCUUGGCUUUUGAGAUGCCAAUAAUAAAAAAUAAAAAUAAAAAAGUAAUAAAAACAUUUCAUUCUUUAAAUGCCGGUAAACAAGGUAAGUAGAUAAAUAAGUGAAAACGUGGCACCAUACACAUAAAAAGUGUUUGUUGGAGAGUGUUUGAGUGAGUGACCAUAGCAUUAUUCAUUAUGGCUCGCCUUCUUUUGAACCUAUAUACUCUUUAUUUUGAAAGACAACAUUCAGGGUUAACUUCGGAAACCUCUUAGUCCUUAGAAUUCCAUUUGUUUUAUAGAGGACAUGGAUACACGCAUUGAUUAUCUACGAGAUUUCUCUAUAAAUUAUCUUGUGUUGAAUUGUUGAGGGGCUAAUGAUUGUAAUUUUCAUUCUAUUAUCUACGACAACGAGAUAAUUUGUCGUGUUGAUUUUUUAGCGCAUCUUGAGACAAGUUAUUAAGAAAAUUUGUAUGCAAACUGUUACAUUGGAUGUUGUUCACAUUUUUGCUCGGAUCUGGUGCCUCUGGAGAUCAAAUAAGUUUUGAGAUGAAAAAACAAAGAAAUAGGACAUAACACAAACUACACUUAGAAAAUAAGAAGUCACCAAAAAGAACAAAUACAGGUUCAACCUUGAGAAAAAUACAAAGCACAAAAAAACAAGUAGCUCCUAAAAGGGGAAAAAUACAAAAUCAACAUGACAUAAAAUCAUUAACACCCAAAAACAUCAAUCACGGUCUGCUGGAUCCUGAUCGAACCACCAUCUCCCGAAACAUCAAAGCUAGGAAGCACUUGACAACCUACAAAAGAAAUUAAAGUGAACAAUCCCCAACGGGAUGAGCGACUAGGACAAGGUCCCACUACCAGAGAUAGGGCGACCUAGAACGCCUCCUAUACAUAAUAAUAUUGGGCUCCAACAUACGACAUAGGUCACUUCUGACUCAUAAAAGGUACAUUGCCUAGCUUAACCACCCAAAGAUAUUAUAUCAAAUAUGGAGGGCCAUGUUACAAGUGACAAACACAUGAAUGACUGAUUCCUCAAUCAAUUCACAAAAGGAGGAUGAGGAAGCAUUCAGAUCCAUGAUCACCCUUAUUUUAAAAAGAUUAUCACGGGUAAUGAUCCUAUAACGGAUAAGCUUCCAAGAGAAUGCGAUCACCUUGACAUUUCCCUACAUAUGGUAUUUUGUGUUGUUAAAUACUAACAUGGUAACUUGUAUUAUGCAUACAUAUAUGUAAAAGGAAAUAUCUUCUUAAACACAGUUGAACACGCUAGGAAGGGACAAUGACAAAGAUCACACAUCUUAUCUGCAAACAUUAUGUUUACCACGCUCCUCGGAGACCAUCACUGUAAUUUAUAAAGAGAAAAUUUCAUUCGACUGAAAGGAUUUCAGAACAUAAUAAUUUACCAAGUGACAAGGUAGCAUAGAGAUGAUCAAUUGGAAGACGAACAUAGGAUUUGAAGUAAUAAGAAAGUCAUGAAUCCAACUAUUCACAAGUAACUUUGUUAUUUUUAGAAAAACACAUUAAUGAUUCUAUUUUAUCCAAAAGGUGGGAGAAAAUAUCUUUAUUCAUACAACUUUUAAAAUGGAUAUAUAAUGGACUUCACUUAUAUAUACCAUUAAAAUGGAAAUGUCAUUGACAUUGACCAAUCCAAUUAUAAUAAAUACAUCAAUUCAAUUAUUUUUUUUUUCUCUCUCUUUCACAUAUUUUUAUGUUCAAAAAAUUUAUAUUAAGUGUAGCACGGUGUUACAUUAAAUGGACCAAUGUCAUCUGAUAUUAUGUCACACAAUUGACAUCCUAUAAUACUCUAACUAUUUCAUUUUGAACUGCAACAAUAAUAAUAUUAAUAAUCCUUUAGGUGUUUUCCCUUUAAAUAAACACUAUAGUGUAGACACAUUGGAACCAAAAGAUAUAAAAAUAAAUACGGAGUAACCACUUUCAUAUUAUUUUUUUGUUUUGUCUUUCAUAGUUGCCACAAUGUUUACCAACAGGCAAUAACAACAUUAUCUAUUGCGGUGGUCUCCCCCCACAGAGAUAAGGUUGUCAUAAUCACAAGUCUAUCCCAGUCCUCAUCCAACUUCAAUUAAAAAUGUUGUAAGCAUGCACAAGAUCAGGCAUUGUCUCUAGCUAGUCGUAGAGGCCGUUGCAUCGUGCAAGAGGCAGUAGAUGGUAUCGUUUAAAUCUCCAUAAUAGUAUACAAAUAAUUUCUACUGACGAUUUAUGGGCAUAAAACUACUUUAGAAAUAGAAAACAAGGUUACAACACAACAGCGCACACUACUUUCAUAAUCUUUGACACAGGUCGAAUAUCAGCUAUCUCCCUGUAACUAUUAUGAACUUAUAUCUAGAUUAUAAGCAAAUAUUGUCUAAUCCCUACAACUUUACCAAAAUAUAUAAGUUUCCAGUACAAUGCAACCAUAAAUUGUCCGCAUAAACAAAAAAUACAACUAUAAACUGAUUAAGAAUAUAUAAUCUCAACACUUGUGUACUCCAAUGCAAAGUCAAUUUCGGGAAAUGCUACACUAAUCAAUUUGUCAUGCAUCUAACAAUGACAGAAUGUCUUAUUCAAUAUAUAAAAUGCUUUCUACUCAUUGUUUUUGUCUCUAUCUCCUUCAAACAUAAUAUCUGUUAUGUUAAAGAUCUUGGUAUUAAACAGGAGGAAAGAGUGAAGGAUUGCUUGAUAACAACAAUACAGUAAUUAACGAGCGAUCUAACUCUCAAGAUCGUACGAUCUUGCGAUUCAACAAGCCACCACCGAUCUGGAGCGGGUUGAAGAUCGGAGAUCGCGACGGAUUGGGCGUCGCGCCGAGGAAAAACGGAAACUCGGCGAAUCGUUUUUUUUUUUUUUCGAUUCAAAGAAGGGGUUUGGGCGGUUCAGAUGACGUUGACCUGAUCCGAUUUGGUUGCGACCCGGGUUGGUUAUUGCGAUUUCAACCCGUAUCGCUUUGAAAGGUCAUAAUCUAUCAUUAAUUUCGUUUUUUUGGGACUUGCUGGUGUUUAAUUGAAUCAUUAGGUUAGGAAAUUGGGAUUUUUUUCUCAUCUUCUCUGAAAUUGUAAUUCAUUCAAUGAAUCAAUUCCCUCUCAUAUUUUAUUUAUUCUAUAAAAACAAGUCCAUUGUGCAAUUCCUUCUCAAUCUCACUGUGCAAUUCCAAAAAGACAGUACUUCAAUUCCCUCACAUCUUUCACGUUUUUAGACGAUGUUUAUUAUGAUGUUUCAGAUGAUAUUAUAGAUUUUUGUAGUUACUUUUAUAAUUUUGUCUAUUAUGGAAGAUCUUACAAUCCUUGUUACUAUCCUACAAUCUACGCUUUUUCUAUAUCCCAAUGAUCUUUAGUCGGAUCCUGAUUUCGACAACCAUGCUCCCAUGCCCAAUCAGAAAAUAAUCAAUCUUCUUUAAUAUGUCCUUUGCUUCUUUAAUAUGUCCUUUAUAUAAAAAAAGAGCAAGGACUUCAUGUCAAAAUUUUACAGGGGGAUGCAUUCAUCAAGAACACAAGUUAAAACACCAAAUUUCAUUGGCUUUUUGGAUUGGUAUAUCUGAGUUUACCUACUACCAUAAACACUUAUGAGACAAUUUAAGAGAGCUUAUGGAAAUAUCUUAUAACAUGUCUAUAAGUUGUUCUCCGCUUAUUUUCAUAAUCUAUGAAGGAUAAAUAAAAACAAACGUAUAUCAAAAUAGCUAGCCUAUAUUUUAUCUUUUGUUUUGUUAUGGAAAUAGCUUAUUGCCAUACACAAACAGGACCUCUAACCAAUUAGAGAACGCAAUUGAUUAGGCAGAUUGUAAUCAUGAUCCAAACAAAUUGAACCAAGCAAUUGAGAGCAAACAAUAAAACUACCAAAAUCUAAGGAUCAAGGACUGUGCAAAAAUGAUGAAAUGAAACUCGGGUGAAGACAAUUCCAUUAAAAACUACUCUGAGAAUCAUAAGAUUACAAAAGCACAAUCCCCCACAAAUUAGCUUCCUCCAAAAUGGGAAACAUGUAAAAAAAAAUAACCUUCGUGCAAUUCAAGCACAAGGGUACUAACUACUAAUACUAUUCUACUAUACAUUCAUAGAUUAAAUUCAUUCAACAUUAAUAUUACAUAGCCUGAGAAAAAGCUAAAAAAAAAAACUCACAAGCUAUUUAUUAUUACAAAAGGGUGAAACCAUUGUUGUUAUUAGAGCAAUUCCAAAAUCGUGAAGAACCUUCUUCAUCUUGUUCUACAACCGAACCUUGAGAAGUUUGAGGGUUAGACCGAACCGGUGUACGGCAAGUAGGACACGUGGCAACCUUAAGAAGCCACGUAUCAAUACAUCUCCGAUGAAAAACAUGACCACAAGCAGCGAGAUUUCGACACCAUUGACCAUUACGAAAACCAUCCAAACAAACAGCACAACGAGAAUCGGGUUCGGAAACGGAUCCUUUGGUUAUCCGGAAGUUGGGGAGGUUGUUGAUUUCGCGAGGGAGGAAAGCGUCGGUGAGAGAUUGAAGACGUCGAGUUGGAGUAGGACGGAAACGGAGACGGUGGAGAGCACCGGCUAAGAGGAAGAGGUUGAGGAGGAGAAAGGCGGCGAAACCGAGGAAGAGGAAGAAGAGGGAUGUGAGAAGAAGCAUGAUGAUGGGUUUGAGGAAUAGGGAGAGGAGAUUAGGGUUUGGUUUUGGUUGUUCAGGAUCGCCAUGGUGAUGAUGAGGAGGCAUGGUCGUGGUUGAAAUUGAAGGUUUGAAAAAAUGGUGGCAAUAAUAACAGAAGCUUGGAAUAGGAAUUAAACAAAUAGGAAGGAAUAUAGAAGAAAUGAAGGAAGGGUCGGGAUACGCGUAGAUGUAGUUACAAAUCUAGCGGCGGGUACGGUCCACGGGUUUAUAAUAAAUCUAUGUUUGUUUGUUUGGGUUGGGGGUAUUGUUUAUAUUUAUCGUCGUUAUCUUUCUUUUUAUCUUCAAACCAAAUUAAUUCACGGAUUCCAUUUCAUUCCAAAGGGGCAUAUGCUGCUAUAGAUUCCCCUCCGUUAGAGAGUAAUUGAUGCCUCAUGAGUAAUGAAUGGGUGAGAUCAAAUCUCUGUAAAGUUGGUUAAACUACGGAUUUGAAUUUGGCGUUAUAGAAAAGCACACUGUUCCACACUGGAAUGAAUCACAGUCGUUCAAAUCACAUUGAAUGGCUCAGAUUGCACACAAAUUUAACGCAGUUAAAUAAUUUCAGUAAUUGAUUUAAAUCGAACGGUCCUCAUCUGUUACAGCGUCCUACUGUAAUAGCAGGAAAUCCAAACACUGCAUCAAUUGGGGUUGUUGGAUCGCUUUUAUAUUGUCGAGAUCAUCUAAUGUGUGAAGUAGUAGUUAUAGAGAGAGUAUUUGAUCUCGCAUCUAUUAAACAUUAAAAAUUGAGAUGUAAUGAUAGAGAUUUAUUGAUAGAUAAUGAUAUAAACUUAUUAAUUAUUAGUGAAUUCAUUUAAUGAUUUUUUUUCUAGUGAUGGGGUUACAGGAUAAAGUGCUUAUUUAGUACUAUUAUCGAAAAGUAAUAAAUGAAUGAUGUAUAUAUAUAUAUGAGACCCAAUUAAGUAAGGACUUUCAUGCAAUCCUUCGUCAAUGNCUGGAAACACCACUUCCCGUUCGACUUGCAUGUGUAAAGCAUGCCGCCAGCGUUCAUCCUGAGCCAGGAUCAAACUCUCCAUGAGAUUCCUAGUUACAUUACUUAUAGCUUCCUUGUUUGUAGACAAAGCUGAUUCGGAAAUUCAUUUCAAUGAAUAACUUGUAUUCAAGGGCUUAAUAUUCGCCGGGAGAUCCCUCCCAUAAAUAUUAUAUGGUCCUAUAUCACCUUAUGUCAACCCCAUAUCCAAUAUCCAUAAUGGUUAUUUGAUAUUUGGACUGGAAGCCAAGUGAACAUAUUUUUCCACUGUUUAGUCAAAUUCUUGUGUGCGGCGGAGUCCACUUGACCACCAUUGUAGAUCUCAUCCUCCCGCAACUGCAACCCAGAAAAUUUUGAGUGAUUCAGUGUUUUUUUUUAUGCAAUGUUUGAAUGUCAGCUAAUAUUUCAAUAGAAAAUCGAUUGAAUGCUUUGAUUUAUACAAUUAAUAAUUGAAGAUUUGAACAUAGGUAGUUGUGUAAGCUUUUCUCCAUGCAGGAUUAAAUAUUGAGACUUGUAUAUGGCAGUGGCGGUCCGUUUGCAGAGAUGGCUUGGCUUUUGAGAUGCCAAUAAUAAAAAAUAAAAAUAAAAAAGUAAUAAAAACAUUUCAUUCUUUAAAUGCCGGUAAACAAGGUAAGUAGAUAAAUAAGUGAAAACGUGGCACCAUACACAUAAAAAGUGUUUGUUGGAGAGUGUUUGAGUGAGUGACCAUAGCAUUAUUCAUUAUGGCUCGCCUUCUUUUGAACCUAUAUACUCUUUAUUUUGAAAGACAACAUUCAGGGUUAACUUCGGAAACCUCUUAGUCCUUAGAAUUCCAUUUGUUUUAUAGAGGACAUGGAUACACGCAUUGAUUAUCUACGAGAUUUCUCUAUAAAUUAUCUUGUGUUGAAUUGUUGAGGGGCUAAUGAUUGUAAUUUUCAUUCUAUUAUCUACGACAACGAGAUAAUUUGUCGUGUUGAUUUUUUAGCGCAUCUUGAGACAAGUUAUUAAGAAAAUUUGUAUGCAAACUGUUACAUUGGAUGUUGUUCACAUUUUUGCUCGGAUCUGGUGCCUCUGGAGAUCAAAUAAGUUUUGAGAUGAAAAAACAAAGAAAUAGGACAUAACACAAACUACACUUAGAAAAUAAGAAGUCACCAAAAAGAACAAAUAAAGGUUCAACCUUGAGAAAAAUACAAAGCACAAAAAAACAAGUAGCUACUAAAAGGGGAAAAAUACAAAAUCAACAUGACAUAAAAUCAUUAACACCCAAAAACAUCAAUCACGGUCUGCUGGAUCCUGAUCGAACCACCAUCUCCCGAAACAUCAAAGCUAGGAAGCACUUGACAACCUACAAAAGAAAUUAAAGUGAACAAUCCCCAACGGGAUGAGCGACUAGGACAAGGUCCCACUACCAGAGAUAGGGCGACCUAGAACGCCUCCUAUACAUAAUAAUAUUGGGCUCCAACAUACGACAUAGGUCACUUCUGACUCAUAAAAGGUACAUUGCCUAGCUUAACCACCCAAAGAUAUUAUAUCAAAUAUGGAGGGCCAUGUUACAAGUGACAAACACAUGAAUGACUGAUUCCUCAAUCAAUUCACAAAAGGAGGAUGAGGAAGCAUUCAGAUCCAUGAUCACCCUUAUUUUAAAAAGAUUAUCACGGGUAAUGAUCCUAUAACGGAUAAGCUUCCAAGAGAAUGCGAUCACCUUGACAUUUCCCUACAUAUGGUAUUUUGUGUUGUUAAAUACUAACAUGGUAACUUGUAUUAUGCAUACAUAUAUGUAAAAGGAAAUAUCUUCUUAAACACAGUUGAACACGCUAGGAAGGGACAAUGACAAAGAUCACACAUCUUAUCUGCAAACAUUAUGUUUACCACGCUCCUCGGAGACCAUCACUGUAAUUUAUAAAGAGAAAAUUUCAUUCGACUGAAAGGAUUUCAGAACAUAAUAAUUUACCAAGUGACAAGGUAGCAUAGAGAUGAUCAAUUGGAAGACGAACAUAGGAUUUGAAGUAAUAAGAAAGUCAUGAAUCCAACUAUUCACAAGUAACUUUGUUAUUUUUAGAAAAACACAUUAAUGAUUCUAUUUUAUCCAAAAGGUGGGAGAAAAUAUCUUUAUUCAUACAACUUUUAAAAUGGAUAUAUAAUGGACUUCACUUAUAUAUACCAUUAAAAUGGAAAUGUCAUUGACAUUGACCAAUCCAAUUAUAAUAAAUACAUCAAUUCAAUUAUUUUUUUUUUCUCUCUCUUUCACAUAUUUUUAUGUUCAAAAAAUUUAUAUUAAGUGUAGCACGGUGUUACAUUAAAUGGACCAAUGUCAUCUGAUAUUAUGUCACACAAUUGACAUCCUAUAAUACUCUAACUAUUUCAUUUUGAACUGCAACAAUAAUAAUAUUAAUAAUCCUUUAGGUGUUUUCCCUUUAAAUAAACACUAUAGUGUAGACACAUUGGAACCAAAAGAUAUAAAAAUAAAUACGGAGUAACCACUUUCAUAUUAUUUUUUUGUUUUGUCUUUCAUAGUUGCCACAAUGUUUACCAACAGGCAAUAACAACAUUAUCUAUUGCGGUGGUCUCCCCCCACAGAGAUAAGGUUGUCAUAAUCACAAGUCUAUCCCAGUCCUCAUCCAACUUCAAUUAAAAAUGUUGUAAGCAUGCACAAGAUCAGGCAUUGUCUCUAGCUAGUCGUAGAGGCCGUUGCAUCGUGCAAGAGGCAGUAGAUGGUAUCGUUUAAAUCUCCAUAAUAGUAUACAAAUAAUUUCUACUGACGAUUUAUGGGCAUAAAACUACUUUAGAAAUAGAAAACAAGGUUACAACACAACAGCGCACACUACUUUCAUAAUCUUUGACACAGGUCGAAUAUCAGCUAUCUCCCUGUAACUAUUAUGAACUUAUAUCUAGAUUAUAAGCAAAUAUUGUCUAAUCCCUACAACUUUACCAAAAUAUAUAAGUUUCCAGUACAAUGCAACCAUAAAUUGUCCGCAUAAACAAAAAAUACAACUAUAAACUGAUUAAGAAUAUAUAAUCUCAACACUUGUGUACUCCAAUGCAAAGUCAAUUUCGGGAAAUGCUACACUAAUCAAUUUGUCAUGCAUCUAACAAUGACAGAAUGUCUUAUUCAAUAUAUAAAAUGCUUUCUACUCAUUGUUUUUGUCUCUAUCUCCUUCAAACAUAAUAUCUGUUAUGUUAAAGAUCUUGGUAUUAAACAGGAGGAAAGAGUGAAGGAUUGCUUGAUAACAACAAUACAGUAAUUAACGAGCGAUCUAACUCUCAAGAUCGUACGAUCUUGCGAUUCAACAAGCCACCACCGAUCUGGAGCGGGUUGAAGAUCGGAGAUCGCGACGGAUUGGGCGUCGCGCCGAGGAAAAACGGAAACUCGGCGAAUCGUUUUUUUUUUUUUUCGAUUCAAAGAAGGGGUUUGGGCGGUUCAGAUGACGUUGACCUGAUCCGAUUUGGUUGCGACCCGGGUUGGUUAUUGCGAUUUCAACCCGUAUCGCUUUGAAAGGUCAUAAUCUAUCAUUAAUUUCGUUUUUUUGGGACUUGCUGGUGUUUAAUUGAAUCAUUAGGUUAGGAAAUUGGGAUUUUUUUCUCAUCUUCUCUGAAAUUGUAAUUCAUUCAAUGAAUCAAUUCCCUCUCAUAUUUUAUUUAUUCUAUAAAAACAAGUCCAUUGUGCAAUUCCUUCUCAAUCUCACUGUGCAAUUCCAAAAAGACAGUACUUCAAUUCCCUCACAUCUUUCACGUUUUUAGACGAUGUUUAUUAUGAUGUUUCAGAUGAUAUUAUAGAUUUUUGUAGUUACUUUUAUAAUUUUGUCUAUUAUGGAAGAUCUUACAAUCCUUGUUACUAUCCUACAAUCUACGCUUUUUCUAUAUCCCAAUGAUCUUUAGUCGGAUCCUGAUUUCGACAACCAUGCUCCCAUGCCCAAUCAGAAAAUAAUCAAUCUUCUUUAAUAUGUCCUUUGCUUCUUUAAUAUGUCCUUUAUAUAAAAAAAGAGCAAGGACUUCAUGUCAAAAUUUUACAGGGGGAUGCAUUCAUCAAGAACACAAGUUAAAACACCAAAUUUCAUUGGCUUUUUGGAUUGGUAUAUCUGAGUUUACCUACUACCAUAAACACUUAUGAGACAAUUUAAGAGAGCUUAUGGAAAUAUCUUAUAACAUGUCUAUAAGUUGUUCUCCGCUUAUUUUCAUAAUCUAUGAAGGAUAAAUAAAAACAAACGUAUAUCAAAAUAGCUAGCCUAUAUUUUAUCUUUUGUUUUGUUAUGGAAAUAGCUUAUUGCCAUACACAAACAGGACCUCUAACCAAUUAGAGAACGCAAUUGAUUAGGCAGAUUGUAAUCAUGAUCCAAACAAAUUGAACCAAGCAAUUGAGAGCAAACAAUAAAACUACCAAAAUCUAAGGAUCAAGGACUGUGCAAAAAUGAUGAAAUGAAACUCGGGUGAAGACAAUUCCAUUAAAAACUACUCUGAGAAUCAUAAGAUUACAAAAGCACAAUCCCCCACAAAUUAGCUUCCUCCAAAAUGGGAAACAUGUAAAAAAAAAUAACCUUCGUGCAAUUCAAGCACAAGGGUACUAACUACUAAUACUAUUCUACUAUACAUUCAUAGAUUAAAUUCAUUCAACAUUAAUAUUACAUAGCCUGAGAAAAAGCUAAAAAAAAAAACUCACAAGCUAUUUAUUAUUACAAAAGGGUGAAACCAUUGUUGUUAUUAGAGCAAUUCCAAAAUCGUGAAGAACCUUCUUCAUCUUGUUCUACAACCGAACCUUGAGAAGUUUGAGGGUUAGACCGAACCGGUGUACGGCAAGUAGGACACGUGGCAACCUUAAGAAGCCACGUAUCAAUACAUCUCCGAUGAAAAACAUGACCACAAGCAGCGAGAUUUCGACACCAUUGACCAUUACGAAAACCAUCCAAACAAACAGCACAACGAGAAUCGGGUUCGGAAACGGAUCCUUUGGUUAUCCGGAAGUUGGGGAGGUUGUUGAUUUCGCGAGGGAGGAAAGCGUCGGUGAGAGAUUGAAGACGUCGAGUUGGAGUAGGACGGAAACGGAGACGGUGGAGAGCACCGGCUAAGAGGAAGAGGUUGAGGAGGAGAAAGGCGGCGAAACCGAGGAAGAGGAAGAAGAGGGAUGUGAGAAGAAGCAUGAUGAUGGGUUUGAGGAAUAGGGAGAGGAGAUUAGGGUUUGGUUUUGGUUGUUCAGGAUCGCCAUGGUGAUGAUGAGGAGGCAUGGUCGUGGUUGAAAUUGAAGGUUUGAAAAAAUGGUGGCAAUAAUAACAGAAGCUUGGAAUAGGAAUUAAACAAAUAGGAAGGAAUAUAGAAGAAAUGAAGGAAGGGUCGGGAUACGCGUAGAUGUAGUUACAAAUCUAGCGGCGGGUACGGUCCACGGGUUUAUAAUAAAUCUAUGUUUGUUUGUUUGGGUUGGGGGUAUUGUUUAUAUUUAUCGUCGUUAUCUUUCUUUUUAUCUUCAAACCAAAUUAAUUC
rnacentral:lncRNA from 1 species